rnacentral:lncRNA from 1 species
AAAAUGGUUACAUGGAUACUUAAAAAAAAUAAAAAUGGUUACGUACUUACAUAGACAUUAGACACCAUUCAAUGAACCAAAAGGGAUUUUAUGGCAAAAUAGAUAUGCAAAGAAUAUCUUGUACUGUGGAACCAAAUUUUUAUUAUAUAUGAUUGAUAUACAUAGAAAAAUUAGUUUCACAACUUUAAUCGCCUUAAACCGGGUCUAUACAUUUCUUCUGAAUUAGUCCCACAAAAAAUCAUCAACCUGUCGAGGUUAUCUUAUCUAGAUCUCUCUGAUUCUUCAUUUUCUAGUCAAAUACUAUCAGAAAUAUUAGAGCUCUCGCCAACUAGGUGUCCUUGAAUUAUCAGAAAAUUUAGAUCUUCAACUGUCCAGAAGCCAAGUCUCGGAAAUCUAGUUGAAAAUUGUUAACCAUCCUAAAAGCACUUGAUUUUUUGUGUUGGCAGAUGCAAGCAUUAUUCAGGAUAGGCAGGGGUGAACUUCCUCCGGUUCCUAACUCAUUAUCGAGAGAUGCCUGGGAUUUUAUUCUUAAAUGCUUACAUGUUAACCCAAACGAUCGGCCUACUGCAGCUCAACUAAUGGAGCAUCCAUUUGUAAAGAGGCCACUGCAAACUAGGUAACUUCCUUCUCCUCAUUAUAACAUCAUACAGCCUUGAAAGUUUCUGAUCAUCCUUUGGGGUUUAUGUAUACCUUAGAGGUAGUCUGGCAGCAUCACGAAAUUAAACAAUUAACUGCAACCUGUAGUUCUAGGUUUGAUUUCUUGUCUGGAUUUAAUAUCAUGGACAUACUGAACGUAAUUGUUAAAUACAAUUAUAAAAUAUCCAUUUGGGUUUGCAACUUCACCGUAAAGCUUAUGGGGAAAGGAGCAAGAUUCCGAAGCAUCCAAUGGCUGCCUUGGCGAUCCCAAUUCAUAGUAUGAAGGGAAUGAACAAGUGCCUCUAGAUGUUUUAAUCCAACUCCUUCCUGUUGAUAACUGGACAAACCUUGAGAGAUUCACAUUAGAUCUGGCCACUUUGCUUUUUAUACUGGUUUGCUUUGAGGUUAACCUGCAUGAUGACAAGGUUGUUGUGUCGUUUGGUUCUAUAUCCAUUAGGAAUAAUUCUUUAGGGAUACUGGGUUCAUGAUUAUGAUUUAAUUUUAUCUUAUGAAAGAUUUCUUAUUGAUUUUAGGCCGAUGAUAUAGAUACGUAUUUGUUACUUAGGAUGUUAGGAGGUAAGUAAACUAGAUUUCUAAAUGAAUAACAAUAAAUAAUAUGUAUAUGUUUGACAUGUUUAAAAAGCCUAUUUUGGUAUAUAUGGAUAUGGAUUUAUAUGCUCUGCCCAUGUAUUUAUAUGAUGUGUUGUUAUGUGAUUUGUGUGUUUAUGGACAUGGGCAUAUGUAUGUGUGAAUCUUUCAUUAGCAUUAGCAUGGAAAUGAAUUAUGUUUUCUGUUAAAUGAGAAAGUGGAUUUUAGGCAAAACGGAAUUUGAAGAAAGAAAGUGAGUUUUACAGUUUUAGCUUGGAUGCUUGAAUUUGUUACUCAUUUAGUGAAAGCCACUCCGGAUGUUAUAUUAUGGUUAAGAGAUAAGUGGGUGAGGGACGUAUUGACGUGAAGCUCAAAGUGUAUGAAAGUCAUGAAAGUUAAGUGAGUGUUCUACUAAGCAGUAAUUGAAUGAAUGUAACUCAAGCAAGUGAUUUGAAAGAAAAUGUGAAAGCUUGAAAAUGACAAAAUGAGAUUUUGAUGAUUUGUUUUACAAUGUUUUCGAAUACCAUGGCAUGUCAUCCAUUUGCAUUAUAGAUACGUAUGUAUGUAUUUUGGUAUAUGAAAAACUUAUUUGCCUACUGAGUUUUGUACACAUUAUAUUUUAUUGUGAUUCAUCCCAAAAUUAGGAUUGAUUCACGAUGAGUCACAAGAAGAACUUGAAUUGAGGGCGGCAGAUGAUUUGACAUAAAUUUUAAAUUCUUCCGCUACAGUUUGUGUAAUAUCUUUGUAUUUGAAGCUCAAAUUUUUAUGGAUUGUAAAAUGUUUAUUUUUUUUAUUUUUUUAGUAUAUAUUUUUGAGUUGCAAUUAGAUUCACCCUGUGGAGUUUGGGGCGGGUUGUUUCAAUCAGUACUUUGUAAAUUUUAUAUGUUUAUGAGAAUCUGUUCAUAUGAAGCAAAUUGAGUAUAAAUGUGCUGUUAGAUGCUGACGUUUUGCGAUCUUGACAAUCUUAAACAGCUUUGGCUGUCGGGGAACUUAAAAAUGAGCAAAAGGAAAUUCAUUGUAUUAUGAUUGUUGAUAACAUACUUGUAGGAAAUAAACAGAUAACAUAAAGACAAGGUGUUGUUUGAUAUUAACCAAGUGAAUUCUUGUAAUUGAAUUUUAAUUCUGUAAAUUGAAAAGGGUAGUACAAACGGAGGUUACCCCUCCAUUUGUAGCCGAAUCAAGUGGUGUGUGAUGUGCGGGCAGGACGCGGGAAGCUCAUGCAAGUGAUCGAUGUGUGAUGUGGCUUGUUAUUUGGAAUUCAGGAAAAGUUUGCUUAACUGUUAUCAUCUUGCAAGUGUUAAUCAUAACUUAGCAGCCACAAAGUUUCAACAGGAUAAUAAUCUGAUAUCUUCUUAGUGCAUGUACUGGGGAUGAAUUUAUAGACAAGGCGAAUCUGAGUUGAAGAGAGUAGGAAAUUCUUCUCUCAGCAAAAUGUUAUAAAAAUGCUCAUUCAGAUCGCUCACUGAUUGUUAUAAAAAUCCUUUGGGGUUUAUGUAUAUCCUAGAGGUAGUCUAUCGGCAUCAUCAAAUUUAAACUGCAACCUGUAUUUGUAGAUUUGACUUCUUGUUUGGGUUUAGUACCAGGGACAUACUGAAAAUAAUUGUUAAAUACAUUUAUAAAAUAUCCAUUUGGGCUCGCAACUUCACAUGCAAGCUUACGGGGAACUGAGAAAUGGAGGAGCAAGAUUGUGAUGCAUCCAACGGCGGCCUUGGUGAUCCCAAUUCACUGCAUGAAGGGAAUAUACAAGUGCCUCUAGAUGUUUUAAUUCGACUCUUUCCUGUUGAUAACAGGGCGAACCUUGAGAGAUUCACAUUAGAUCUGGCUGCUUUGCUCUUUAUACUAAUUUGCUUUGAGGUUAACGUGCUUGUCGACAUGGUUAUUGUGUCAUUAGAUUCUAUAUCCAUUAGGAAUAAUAUUUUUUAUAGCUUGUGUUGCUCUUCUUUAUUUUGCAUGUGCCAUUUGUUCACAGGCGUGGCCAAGCGAAUUGCUAGUACUUUUAAGAGCUUUGAGAUGAGGCACAUGCGGUGUUAGUACAAUGCUAAGCAUCUUUUUGCCGUUGAAUCUACCUGCCAGGCAAUUCUUGGCACUGAAAACAGAGAUGGUGCAUUCUAGAUGAAUAUGCACAAGGCACAACUGCUCAUGAUGCAAAAUCUGAGAAACUGAGAUGGUGCACCCAUUCUUUCAUCGCUCAUCGACCUCCUGCGGACAGACCAGUGGCAUUUAAAUUGCUAGGUUUCCUUCCCUUCUUGUGGGCUAGGUUUUUUCUGUUACGAUUUUCUUUUCUUUGGCGGAGUGUGUGACAUCAAUUUGGUGUAAAUAACACUUUUUCAAAAAGUAAAAAUCGGCACAUGUGAAAUUUAUUUGUUGCAUUUUAUGGAGUCCUCAAAGGUAAAUUCUGUCAAUAUAUGCUUAUGCAUAGGCUGAGAAUCUGCUCAUACGAAGAAGCAGAUGAUGUGUAAAUAUGUAGAUAGAUGCCGAUAUUUUGUGGUGUUGAUAAUCGUAAACAUCUUUGGCUUUUGCGAAUCUUAAAAUGGUGUUAUAAGAAAGCAAAUUGUUGUCUAUUUUUUGAAUAUUUUUCAUACACUACUUCCAGCUGUGCCAGGGAGAAAACUGAAAUGCUGUUACCUUGGAAAUUUCUACCGGAGGAAGCAUUGUAAAUUUCAGUUUUACCAGAAAAGCAAUCCCUCUGCCUCAACCUAUUCAUUUUCUUUUUUAUUUAUUUUUAAUCCUUUUUUUUUUAAUUGAGCGAAAAGUGCAAUACCAUUUUUGCGCAUAAAAUUACCUGUAAAUUCGCACAAGAUUACCCAAGACAAACACAAGAUACUAAAAGAUAAAUUUAAUUUACUCAGGUCAUUAAUUUUUGCUUUAAAAAAUUAUUCAUGGCUGUAUGUCACCGCCUCCACCUAUCCUCCACAUUCCCCAUUCCAUCUGUCACGUGUAACACAACAAACCCUUUUCUUUUUUUUUUCCUAUUAUUUACAGUUAUAAAGCACUUUCCAGUUAUAAAGCACGAAAGGACAAAGGAGGGGGGUUUUUUUUUUUUUUUCCUCCAAGCGAAAAGGAUAAAGCAAAGUCAGCAGUACUACGGAGUACGGAGUACGGAGUACGGACACUUGUUGACAAUUAACAGCUCAACACUGUCUUACUCGGAAAUAUCCGUUUUCCAGCUGAAAAAGAUAAAUUGAAGUACACGGAAAUAUCCAUUUGUCGAGCUGAAAAAGAUAAAUAAAAGAGAAACCUGUUUGUUGUAUUAUUGUCUGCAAAACGCACAUNNNNNNNNNNNNNNNNNNNNNNNNNNNNNNNNNNNNNNNNNNNNNNNNNNNNNNNNNNNNNNNNNNNNNNNNNNNNNNNNNNNNNNNNNNNNNNNNNNNNACAGAGAGAGAAGAAAAAUUUUUAACAGCGCAAUGAGAAAACAAUUGAGCGAGUUAUUGAAUUCGAAGGACUUCGAUGAUGGUCAGAAAAUUGGGUCGGAGAAGACCUUGAGACGAUGGAGAUCUGCCUGCAAUGGCCGUAGAAGCUUCCAUAAGCUCGCUGGUCUCGACGAGCAUCUCAAAUUACAGGUGAAUUAUCCCUUUUAUUUAUUUUUUUUAAUUAUUAGUUAACUUAUGAUUCAAGUUAAUUUGGGUUAGCUUUAUUGAUUUAUUUAAAUUAUAUAAGUAAUUUUUGUAUUCACUUAUUUAGUUCUUUGCCUAAUUGCGUUGGGGUUAAUGCCUAAUGGGAAACUUUAAAAUCAACACUCAAGAAUUUAAAUGCAGAGUCAAGAGUAAAGGUGAAUAGUACUAAAUGAUUGAAUUUACGAUACCAAACUAAAGGCUUUCUGUGUGUUAUAUAGGAACAAGUUAGAGUUUUCUAUAUAUGUUGUUCAAAAGCUGUACUUUCACUUUACUGAAAAUCUGAGCCUGCAGUCAAAUGAAGAUGUGCCAUCAAGUGAAUGCAUUGUGACUGGGGCUGGCACUGAAGCUAGAAGAUUUCAAGAACCCAUUGAUGAUGUUGGAUCCACAAUCGGUGGCCUUGAUGUAAUGAUAAUUGAUACUGAAACUUUUGUAACCUCACUUAAAAUUGAAUUUAGGACACCGAACUAAAUGCCGUCUGUGUGUUACAGGAACAAGUUAGACUUUCACCUGUCGUUCUGAAAGUGGUACUUCACUGUACAGAAAAUCUGAGUCUGCGUUCAAAUGAAGAUGUGCCAUCAAGUGAAUACGUUGUGACCGAGGCUGCCACCGAAGCCGGAAUACUUCAAGAACCCCCCGUUGAUGACGUUGGAUCCACCGUCAAUGGCCUUGAGGUAAUGAUAAUUUAUACUGAAACUUUUAUUCCUCAUUUCAAUUUUCAAAUAUCAAAAUAUGCUCUUUUGUUAUUUGAAAAUCGCUCGAGUAUCCAGUUUUCUGUUUGUAUUUGGAUACAUCGAGGUAAGAAUAUUAAAGUUUUGCAUACAAUUGGCCUCCAAUUUCUGAGUUUAAAAUUUGUAACUUAAUGAAUGACAAUACAAUUCCAUUGAUUGAGAUGUAUAACUGCAUUCUUUGUAUAUUACAGAUUUGUGAGCUACUUGGUAAAUAUAAGAAACGUGCACUUGCUGUGUUUUAUCUUGUGUUGGAAGCAGCAUCCUUUUUACUGGAUAUAUUUGGGAAAAGUAAGAGGAGGAUCCUUCUUGCUGCAUUUCUAUUGUCAGCAUUUGGUUUUGCUAUUACUAUGAGUACGCAUUCUUGGACCGUGAGAAGAAACAUAGCUGCAACCAGAAUGCAUUUACAGAAGCGACUACUUAUGUUGUUGGAAAUGUCUUUCUCUUUGGUCCAGUUGAUUGUUACGCUUAUUUAUUUUAUUCUGGCGGAAUUGGGUGUCAAGAACAAUUUCAAUACAUCUGUUUUCCCACUGGUCUUUGCUAUAAUUGCUGCUGUGUUUACUUUCAAAUAUGAUGGGGAAGUUUCUGAAUCGGGCCUCGACAGUGCGCUUGUGGCCCUAGCUGCUGGUAAUCAGGUAUGAUUGUGAGCACAAUUGUAAUCAUCAAGCUGCACUUGGUGAAUUCGCAUAACUUAUCACCUCUAUGACUAUGAAUUCCUACAAAUAUAGAGAAAACUGCAUGAGACUGUAUGCUUUUGCAAUAUUGUGGAAAGAAGGAAAUAUAAAGAUUGUGAGAUUGCAUUGUGUAAGUCAAUAUAAAGAUUGUGAGGUCUAUAAAAGAUUGCUUUAAUAAUUUGUAUGCAUAAUGCUGGGGUGCCUCUGUAGAUUUGGAAAUCCUCUAUGUAAUUAACGAUUGUUGUGGCAGUAUGGCCAAAUCAGUACAGAUAUCAAAUCUUUGAUAGUUUGCACCUUUUUAGGUUCAUAUGCCAAAUAUUACUGGCAAUGAGGAUCCAGAAGCAAACGGCUGCAUGCCUAUGCUGGCAGACUUCCGAUGAUUAAUGAAGAUGAUUCUGAGAAACGAGGUCCAUAUGCUUGUUCUUCACUCUGCCUUCAGGCUUACUCUUUCUCUCACACUAUUUACACAAACUCUCUUUUCAGUACCGAAAGCUUUAUAUAUGUUAAUAGAUGAGUUUGUGAGUAAUGUUUCACUGGUUUAUUUUAGAAGUCUCACAAUUUGAUUUUUGUUUCAUGGUUAGGACCUAGAGGAGGCAUUUGCCCCCAUUUGCUCAUUUGAUUCAGAUUCAAGUUUUGGUCUUAGGUGUUACAAUUUCAAUUACUUUGUAUUCGAGUUGGAUAAAUACAUGUAAUUUGGAUUAUACCUACUCAAUAUAUAUGCAUUAUCUUCUCUGAGUAACUUUUUGUUUAUGGAGCUUGUUGAGGGUAUUAAAUGAUGGUGUUAGUAUUUUGGUGUCCAAGUCAUUUGAUGAAAUUCAUGAAACUUUUAUUAUGCCAAUUAGAAUAAAUGAAGCUGUUUUGAUUGGGUCACAGAAGAAACUUUUGAUGUGCCAAUUAACUAUUGAUCGGUAUGGUCAAUUAUCUUGGGUAAAAGGUACACUAUAUGAUAUGAAUCUUUUUGAAAAGUGAUUUUAUCAUUAUCAUUGUUAUUAUUAUUAUUAUUUAACAUAAGGAUUUUAUUAUUAUUAUUAACUUUAAAGCAUUAAUAGUAGGGUAAUAAUAGACCCUUAGAUUUGUAUGUUUUAAUCAUAAUCAUCCAACCUCCGGUGACCAAAUUCACUGCAAAUGUAGCUUUUGUUCCUGCAAAUGCAGCUUUUACCAGAAGUUUUGCAUUUCGCCUCCAGAAACUAGUUCAAAUAAUCAAUUAACGUCACCAUGCAAUCAAUAGGACAUCCCACUAGCUAUGUUCAUGUGCUAGUAGAUGUACAUUGGAUUAUUAUUUUCUUGUGGUUGAAGAUUCAUCUGAACCAAAUGGGCCCAUGUGUAAUAAAAAUAAAUAAAUAAAUAACAAAAAAGCAGAAGCACAAACAGAAAAUUUAAUAUUUUUCUGACAAAAUACAGAGAUAGGUGGGGGCAGUGGAAGACUGACUUUUGAUGACUCUUUGUCCGCCAUUAGAGAAUAACAGCAACCAAAUUAUGUUUUUCACUUCAAUUAUUAUUAGUAUUAUUAAUAAUUAGGACUUCUUUAUCAACAUAAAUCUUUCACCCAAAUUCAACAACCAAAGUUGCCGGUGGGUUGUGCUCGGCUAAUCAAAUGCAAGUAUUAUAUUUAGGGUUUAGUCUUAGAUAGAAGUUAAGUACCUGAAAUAUAAUCAUAGAUAACGCAUUGUACACCCACGUUCUCUGCCACUUUCUCAUUCACUUUUUAAAAAGUAAUCCAAUUUGACAAUAGAAGUAUAGAACUCAAAUUUACAAAGAAUUAUUAUUAAAUCGAUUAGAAUAACAACAUCAAUUUAGAUUAGUAAAAAAAUGUUAUAGAAUAAACAACGGUUGUGAAGAAUCCAAUUUCAAAUAAAAGAAUUUCACAUAUUGUAUUUUAACUUAUCUUUUUUUCCUUUUUUUUUAAUAAAUUUAAAAUAACUCUUUAACCAUUUGUCAAUUAAUUAUAUAGUUUUAGAAAUAAUUAAAAUUUUUUAUUAAUAAAAAUAAUGUUCAUCGUUGAUUAAAUUUAAUGGUAUAUAUUUAUGACAUUAUUGAUACUGAAAAAAAAAAGUUAUAGCAUCACAGAGGGACUAUAGAAUUAUCGUUUUCUACUGAAAAAGUUUAGCAACAAAAUUAGCAGCCCCCACAAUGGAGAGAUUUAUGUGCUUUACAUAUUUCUUUAGUUACCAGUUAUCAAAUUCGUGAUUAAGUUAUUUUCUUGAAAAUUAUCUUUCAAAAUUAUUGUGUUCCACAACAUAUUUCCCAGAUAGACUUAUGGAGUAAUUUAAUUUGAAUGCUACAAAAAGAUCACAAGCCAUAUAUUUAUGUGCAAUCAAGAUUAUCUUAUGUGUUAUUAUGUAAAUAAUUACUCCUAUUGAGAAUCUAUAAAUGGUCCAAUUAGUCUUGCAUGCACUUAAUUUGGAGGGCAUUAAUAUUUUAUAUGCAAUCAUAAUCCUGAUAAACUCACUAUGGGUUUAAUUGAAUAGUGAUAUGUUAAUCCACAUCUGGAUCAACCGACCCAAAUUGAUCAAGCAACUCUAGGAUUAAUAUUUGACUCUAGGUUAAUGGAUCAACUGUGAACCGACAUUAUCAAUCAAGGCACCGACUUCCUACUAGCCCAAACCAAUAAUGCCACCUAUAUUCAAAUAAUAGUAAGUGUCUAUUUGAUAUAUUUUAUCUAAUAGUUAUAAAUGUUUAUUCAAUCUCAUAAUCUCUUUUCAAAAUUUUUACUGUUGCUUUUUUUUUUUUGAGUAGAGCUUUUGAAAACUAAAUAAGUUAUUUUAUUUCUACUAGCAAAAACUUAAAUUUUAGUCCUUUUGGUGUAUAGGUUGAGAAGUUUUCUUAAAAUGUUAAAAUAUCUAAAAUAUCCUUACUAAUUUAAUAAUCUUAUUUGAUUCCUUUCAUAACAUGACGUUAAAUAAUUUACAUAUUAAUUAAUUUUAUAAUUAUUAAUAAAAGCUCUCAUUGACAAUUAAACAACCAAUUUUUUAUUUUUGUUAAAACCUCCACUUGCAAAAACUCUACUAACAAAAGCUCUACUUAAAAAAAUUUUGUAUGAAAAGUUAUACCAAACGAAGCCUUAAACUCCGUUUAAGGUGCAUAGCCAAAUCCACAAUGACAACUCAAUACAUACUGGCAUUAAGAUAUAGUUAUGUGAGAUAAUUGGUUGUUUAUGGAGUAAUCACAAUUAUUUGUCAGAUGAUAUCAAAAAAUUUAGCAGACUCAUUUAGUAACUAAAGGCCUUGUAAGGGUUGGGACUUCCAGCACCAUCUUAGUUAUCACCAGUGAUCAAGUCUAACCCAAUACUUAAAACAUUAAGAUCUUAGAUUCAAUGAGUAGAAGACAUGCAUUAUAAUUUUUCAAGAUACAUUCUAUGGUACAUGUGGUUCAUAUGAAAUGAAAAAUAGUUAAUUUAUAAAAUAUAUUAUCAUCAGAAGAUUUAUUUUCUUAUUAAAUUAAUCACAUAGAUUCAUUUGAUUUUGAAAAUGGUUACAUGGAUACUUAAAAGAAAAAUGGUUACAUACUUAACAAAGACAUUAGACACCAUUCAAUGAACCAGAAGGUAUUCUAUGGGAAAACAGAUACGCAAGGAACAUCUUACACGUUAACCCAAAUGAUUGGCCUACUGCAGCUCAACUAAUGGAGCAUCCAUUUGUAAAGAGGCCACUGCAAACUUCUAGGUAACUUCCUUCUCCUCAUUAUAACAUCAUACAGUCUUGAAAGCUUCUGAUCAUCCUUUUGGGUUUAUUUAUAUCCUAGAGGUAGUCUAGCAGCGUCGCCAAAUUAAACAAUUAACUGCAACCUGUAGUUCUAGGUUUGAUUUCUUGUUUGGAUUUAAUAUCAUGGACAUACUGAAAAGAAUUGUUAAAUACAUUUAUAAAAUAUCCAUUUGGGUUUGCAACUUCACUGUAAAGCUUAUGGGGAGAGGAGCAAGAUUCUGAUGCAUCCAGUGGCUGCCUUGGCGAUCGCAAUUCACAAUAUGAAGGGAAUAUGUAGUGAAUUGAAUGCUUUAUAGUUCACUAGCAAGAUGCUUAAGAACCAAUUUCAACAGCCUUGAUAAUUCAAUGAUUAACAACAAUUAUAAAUGAGAUUUAACAAAGAUCAAGACACAAGACUAAUCCAGCAACAAGAAGCAAUCACACAAUCAAAACAAAGACAGAUUUACGUGGUUCAAUUGUGCAAGAGAGCACAAUCUACAUCCACGGGAGAAGUCACCAGAAUGAGAUUUAUUGAUGAUUCCUGUGAAUGUUACAGAGCUACAAAAAAGUUGAUUAAAAAGAACAAGAUGACAAUUUCUCUCUCUUAUAACUCUCUCUAGAAUGCUCUUCGAUUGAUUAUGAAGCUGCUCUGUUGAUCAGCUUAUAUAUUAGCUUGUAUGAAACCCAGACUGCACAGAUUGAUGCCACCUGGAUAACAGCUUCUUAACUAACUUGAUUCCAUCCUCACGUGCUUGCUCACACGCUUCACUUAAACCACAGCCAAAACGCCUGUCUCUUGCCGAUUUGAUCUUCAGUAAGUCACAUGUUUAGCUCGUGGAAGUCUGGGCUUAUUAGCAUGCUGAAACGCUGCCGUUUAGCUAACCCAGGUUUUGAAUUCAUCAUUUUAGUCCACAGAAUAAACAAGUGCCUCUAGAUGUUUUAAAGCAACUCCUUGCUGUUGAUAACUGGACAAACCUUGAGAGAUUCGCAUUAGAUCUGGCCACUUUGCUUUUUAUACUGGUUUGCUUUGAGGUUAACCUACAUGUUUACAUGGUUGCUCUGUCGUUUGGUUCUAUAUCCAUUAGGAAUAAUUCUUUUAGAGCUUGUGUUAUCUGUUCUUUAUUUUGUAUGUGUCGUUUGUUUGCAGCUGUUGGUACAACGCUAAGCAUCUUUUUGCUGUUGAAUCUACCUGCAAGGCAAUUCUUGGCACUGAAAACAGAGAUGGAGGGUUCUUGGUGAGUAUGCACUGGACACAACUGCUUAUGGUGCAAAAUCUGAGAAGCUGAGAUGGUGCACACAUUCUAUCAUUGCUUAUGGACCCCCUGCAGACAGAUCGGUGGCAUUUAAAUUGCUAGGUUUCCUUCCCUUCAUGUGGGCUAGGUUUUUUCUGUUACGAUUUUCCUUUCUGGGCAGAGUGCUUGGCAUCAAUUUAGUGUAAAGAACUCUUUUUCAGAAGUAAAAAAAAGCAGUAUUUGUAAAAUUUAAAUGUUGCAUUUUAUGGCUCAAAGGUAAAUUCUGUCAGCAUAUGUUUUAUGCAUACGCUGAGAAUCUGUUCAUAUGACGAAGCAAAUGAAAUGUCAGCAUCUUUGGCUUUUGUGAAAAUGAAAAUUGAGUAAUAAAAAAUGGUGCUUUUUUGAAAAUAAUAAUUAAGAAUGAAAAUAGUGUUUUUAAAACAGUAAUUUUAAAAAUGGAAAGGAAAAUGCGUUGGUAGCAUUUUUUAAAAUAAAUUUUCUAAAACAGAAAAAUGGAAAAUGUAGAAAUAGUAGUGAAUUUCUACUAUUUGGGAUUGGUAGAUGAAGAAAGGUGGAGAGAUUUGGCCGCAACUGGGAACAAAAGAUUGUUUUGUAAAAUGCAUCGUAAAAUUAAAUAAAUUUAAAUUUUUAUAAUAUUUUUUAUAACAUGAUAAAUUAAGUGGAUUAUUAAUAAUUUUCUUAAAAAUGAAAUAGAAACCAAAAGGAAUUUAAAUUACAUGAUAAAAGGCUAUUUUAUAAGGGAAAGGUAAAGGGAAUUUAUUAAAAUGUAGUUUCUCUAAACAACUCCUUGUUAGUCGCUAAUAAGUUAAUAUUAUUUUAAUUAAAUAAAUAUUUUUUUUUUAAAAAAAUAAGUGAUAAUUAAAAUGUUUCUCUUUCUUUUUUUAAAUAUAAAAUAUAAAUUAAAAGGGAAGAAAAUAACUCUAUAAAAUUAGAAAGAGAGAAUCAUUUCUUAUUUAAAUAAUUUUAAUUAAAAUAAUUUUUAAAAAAAUUUAAAUAUUAAUAUAAUUUAUUAAAUAAAUAAUAAAAUUUUAUUUAAAAAGCGAGUAACGACACAUGGCAACAUAUACAAUUUUCUACAUGAGUGAGUGGGUCGCCCAAACGGCCACCAGGAUAAGGAGAGUGAUGUCCUCUUCAGUGUGUACGGACGCUUACUUGUCUUGGCUGGCCAGAAGGAUAAAUCAGUUUUUUAGGGAGAAAGGUCAAAAAAUCCAUACAGCUGAAUGGGGGUAAAAAUGGAGGAGUUAUUGAAUUUGAAAGCCUCGAGAAAAUGGAGAUCUGCCGGCAAUGCAAUUCGCUUCCUCACGAAACGCCGUAGAAGCUUCCGUAGGACCGCGGACCUCGACGCUGAGGCUAACAAUCCCAAAUUACCGGUCCAUGUUCCCUUUUUGUUAGUUACUCAUGAUUCAAGUUAAUUUAGGUUAGCUUGUUCAUGUUAUUUUCUCUAAUUACUAAUUAGUAGCAAUCUAGUAUUACUUAUUUAGUUCUUUGCCCUAAUAAGAACCAUUCAUAUGAAGAAGCAAAUGAAAUAUCAGCAUCUUUUGCGUUUGAGAAAACGAAAAUGGAGUGAUAAAAAAAUAUUUUUUUUAAAUAAUAAUUGAGAAUGAAUAUAAUGUUUUCAAAAUCAGUAAUUUUAAAAAUGGAAAAUGCGUUGGUGGCAUUUUUAAAUUAAAAUGGAAAAUGGAGAAAUUGUAGUAAAAUUUCUUACUACUAUUUGGGAUUGGUAGAUGAAGAAAAGUGGAGAGAUUUGGCCGCAAUUGAAGUGUACAGAUCCACUUGAUUUGUGCGGGAAUUUUUAUAGGUGAAAAAUUUCACUGUUGAGAUAGAUGCAGAGAAUCUCUAUUAUUGAGAUUGUGAGAAAAUUUAGUAUUGGUUUCUUUUUAAAGAAUCUCCCGUGAAGGAUCUUGUUGAGUUAUGAUAGAAAAGGUAAAAGAGGAUUAGUGAAUAAAAAUUUAAAAAAAAUGAUUGAAAAAGAAGAAGGAAUUUGCAGUCAAUAAAACAAAAGAAAAAAGAAUUUUUUUUUGUUAUUUUUAUUUUAGCGGUUUAUGUCGGGUGUUUUAUAAAAUAGAAGAAAACAAUAAAUUAGUGUUCUCUGAUUUUAUCUGAUAAGUGUUGGAAAACCUGAUUUUUUUAUUUUAAAAAUUUCUUUUAAAAACUGGUGCACCAAACACGUUUUUUAGCCUUUUUUUGUGUUUUUGAAAGCAGAAAAUUGUUUUGUAAAAUACAUCCAAAUGCACCCUUAAUUGUUAUUAUAUUAUCUGAAUAUUUUCCGUACACUUCCACCUCUGCCAGUUACAAACAUAUAGCGUAUUCAUGUUAUUUUCCCUAAUUACUAAUUAGUAGCAAUUUAGUAUUACUUAUUUAGUUCUUUGCCUAAUUUCAUUGAGGCUAAUGGGGAUCUUUAAAAUCAACACUCAAGAAUUUUAAAUGCAGUGUGGACAGUAAAGAUUAAUAGUACAAACUGAUUAAGAAAUUGAAUUUUCGGUACCGGACUAAAGGCUGUCUGUGUGUUACAGGAACAAGGUAGAGCUUCAUCUGUUGUUGUGGAAGCCGUACUUCACUUUACUGAAAGUCUGGGUGAAGAUGUGCCAUCAAGUGAGUACAUUGGGCCUGAGGCUGGCAUCGAAGCUAGAAGAUUUCACGAACCCGUUGAUGAUGUUGAAUCCACCGUCAAUGGCCAUGAUGUAAAUUUAACUGUUCCUGCUUCUUUGAUAUUAGAAAAUUGCUCAUGUAUCAAGGUAAGAAGUUUCUAAGUUUUGCAUACAAUUGGCCUCCAAUUUCUAAGCUUAAUAUUUUUCACUUAAUGAAUGCCAAUACAAUUUCAUUGAUGGGAAUGUAUAAUUGCAUUCUUUGUAUAUUACAGAUUUGUGAGUUACUUGGUAGAUAUGAGAAACGUGCACUUGCGAUGUUUUAUCUUGUGUUGGAAGCAGCAUCAUUUUUACUGGAUAUAUUUGGGAAAAGUAAGAGGAGCAUCCUUCUCGCUGCAUUUCUAUUGUCAGCAUUUGGUUUCGCUAUUACUAUGAGUAUGCCUACUUGUAUCAUGAGAAGAAUCAGAGCUGCUGCAGCCAGAAUGCAUAUUCAGAAGCUGCUACGUGUGGUGUUGGAAAUUUCUUUCUCUGUGGUCCAGUUGAUUGUUACGCUCAUUUAUUUUAUUCUGGCGGAAUUAGGUGUCAAGAACAGUUUUAAUGCAUCUGUUUUCCCACUAGUCUUUGCUAUAGUUGCUGCUGUGUUUACUUUCAAAUAUGAUGGGGAAGUUACUGAUUUGCCAGGCCUCGACAAUCCAGCUGCUGAUAAUCAGGUAUGAUUGUGGACAUAAUUGUAAUCAUCAAGCUGCACUUGGUGAAUUCGCAUAACUUAUUACCUCUAUGACUAUGAAUUCCUACAAAUAUAAAGAAACUACAUUAGACGGUAAGCUUUUGCAAUAUUGUGGAAAGAAGGAAAUACAAAGAUUGUGAGAUUGCAUUGUGUCAGUCAAUCAUUUAGUCAUAUGAGGUCUCUAAAGGAUUGCUCUAAUAAUUUGAAUGUAUAAUGCUCGGGUGCCUCUGUAGAUUUAGAAAUCCUUUAUGUAUGGCCAAAUGAGUACAGAUAUCAAAUCUUUGUUAGUUUGCAUCUUUUUAGGUGCCAAAUACCAAUCGCAAUGAGGAUCCGGAAGCAAACGGCAGCAUGCCUAUGUUGGCGGUAGUGACCAAUGAUGAUUCUAAGAGACAAGGUCCAUAUGCUCGUAGGACUGAUGGUCCAUAUGCUCGUAGGAGUCUGACAAUUUGAUUAUUGUUUCAUGGUUAGAGCCUAGAGGAGGCAUUUGCUCCCAUUUGUGCAUUUGAUUCAGAUUCGAGUUGACUAUAAUUAUAGAUAUCAAUUUUGACCAUAAAAGCACAUUAAUUGGGUCCAUGUUUUAGCCAUAGCUGUUACAAUUAAUUUCAAUUACUUUGUAGUCCAGUUGGAUAAAUAUCCGUAAUUUGGAUUAUAACUAAAUACAUAUGUAUUAUUUAGCUGAAUAGCUUUUUAUUUAUAGAACUCGUUGAGGGGGUUAAACGAUGGAGUUAAGUUAUCUGAGAUUCUUGAAAUUCAUGAAACUUGUAUUAUGCCAAUUAGAAACUUUUAAUGUGCUAAUUAAUUAUUGAUCGGCAUGGUUAAUCGUCUUGGGUAAAUGUACACUACGUGAAUCUUUUUUAAAAAGUGAGUUUAUUAUUAUCAUUAUCAUUAUUAUUAUUAUUAUUAUUUAACCUAAUUGCAAUAAAUUUUCCUAGUAUUUUAUGUGCGGGUUUCAACUACAGAACCAUCGCUUUCUACUUACAAAUUUUACCAACAAAAUUAGCGGCCCCCAGCCCCCCACAAUGGAGAGAUUUAUAUGUACCUCACAUAUUUCUCUAGUUAUUAGUUAUCAAUUUCAUGAUUGUGUUAUUUUCUUGAAAAUUAUCCUCAAAAUAAUUGUGUUCCACAGCAUAUCUCCUAAAGAAAAAUAAGGGCGUCUUCUAUUUUACCCAUAAUAUACGGGAGAUGUCGACGUAGUUUUAUAGACUCAUUUGAUCUGAAUAGUACAUAAAGAUCAUAAGCCAGAUAUUUAUAUGUUAUCAAGAUAAUAUUAAUGGCAUGUAUACAUUCCGGAUUGGGGAAUCAAAAUCAUUGACAGCGCGUACAUUGCAAAACAGAGGCGGGAAUCGGAAUCGUGGGAUUCACCCAAUUUGAGAAUGAGGAAUGAAAGAUUGAUUCUCGGGGGUUGAGAAUCAAUCUCUCAUUUCCUAGUCAAUCUCCCAUUCCUAAACUAUCCAUUUUACCCCAAUGAAUUUUCAUAAUUCCCAAAAUGCCCUUAAUCAAGUUUUGUCAUUUUUUCAUUUCAGUCCCUAUAAAAUUAUGAAAUUACCCAAAACUUUUGUAUUAUUUGUAAAUAAGUCCUCUAAUAAUAAUAGUAGUAGUAGUAAUAAUAUUAUUAUUAAUUUUAAUUUUAAAUAUUAUUAUUUAUUAUUAUUACUAUCAUUAAUGUCAUUAUUAUUAUUAUUGACUUUAUUAUUUUAAUUAUUAUUAUUUUUAUUAAAAUCAUCAUUAUUAAAAUCUAUUAAUAAUAGUAAUAUUAUCAUAAAUAAGAAAUUUAUUAUUAUUGUUAUUAUUAAUGAUAAAAGUAUUAUAAUCAAUUCUUAACGUUAAUAAUAAUUAUGACAAAAGUUAAUUAAGGACUUUUUAGUAAUUUGUAAUAAUCUAAUUCAUUCCGAUUAUGAUUUCAGGACAUAGUAAACAUUUUAAUGGUAAUAAAGUUUGUUUCGAUUUUGAUUCCUACAACUCAAGUAAAUAACUAAUUAUAAUUCCAAUUCCUCAUUCUGAUUCCAGCGCAUUUCGAUUCCAACCCAUUCCAAUUCUCGUGUAGUAAAUGCAUCAUAAGGGUGAUUAUGUAUAUAAUUACUCAUAUUGAGAAUCCAUAAAUGGUCUUGCAUGCACUUAAUUUCAAGGGCAUUAAUAUUUUAUAUGUUAUCAUAAUUAGGGGUGAGUAAGCCCAAUCCAAACUAAUGGACCCGAUCUAGCCCAAUCUAAUUUUCUUAAUUUUAAUAUAAUUAGUUUUUUAUCUUUCUUUAUCAAACACUAGCCAAUGAAUGAAAUUUUCAUGUUAUAAUAUAUUUAUAUUUAAUUUUAAUAAGUUUUAUAUCUUUUUUAUUUAAUUUUUAAUUUUAAUUUAACAUUCAAACUAACCUGAUGAUUUAAGGGUUAGAUUGAACAUGCUUAUUUAAUUGGGAUAGAUUGAUUUUAUCUCAAUCUAUUGAAUAAUGAGUUAGAUUGAAUAUUCACAAAUCUUAUUCACCGUAACCCAUGCCCAUCCCUAAUAAUACUCCUAAUAAGCACCCUAUGGGUUUUCAUUGAAUAAUGAUCUAUUAAUCCACAUCUACUUUGUGACUGGAUUAGCGAGCCAAGCGAUCUAGCCACUCCAGGACCAAUACUUGACUCUAGGUUAAUGGAUCAACAAUGGACUGAAAGAGUGAGACUAUUGGCACCCCUCUAAAUAUCUCUCAACACCUCUUUUCUUUAUUAACCCCAUUAAAAUAUUUAACAAUAUUAUAAAAUUCUUUUAACACCCUUUUAAUGACAAAAAUACCCUUAGUUUAAAUUUAUUAAUAUAAACCCCGUUUUAAUUUUUGACUGCUGAUUGUGAUUUUUUUUUUGAAAGCACCUUAUUAUGAAUUUUGAAACAAUUAAUCAUCUAUUGAAAAAGAAAGAAAGAAAAGGAAAAAAAAAAGGAAAAGGGAUCUUGCUCCAGAAACUUCUACUUUAAUGUGGCAAAUCAUUGAAACACCACAUGGCCAAAACUUUACUCUAAUGCAUGACAACUCAUUGUAAUUGAUAAUGACACCUCGCAAACACUUGGCUACCAUGCGUGUAAUUCUAAGGCCAAGUGCUAAUUUGGUUUACUGAUGAAGAUGAUGAGCACAAGCUUCUGAAAAUGCAGAAUCACGGAUUCUUCGAAAGACUGCGAGCCUUUGUGGAGAAAGACAACUGGGGCACUGGAAAACAUGUCGGUGGGAAAAUAAUUCUGAUGUUCGUUCAGCUCGUCCUUUGCUUCAUAAUUACUUUCUUCUUUCUUAAUUUCCCUCAUGGGCCUCAGUUUCUUCCUGAAGCUUGUUGAUGAUGAGUUGCAUAUGCCGAUAAUUCCUCACCAGAAAAUAAGAUUAAAAAGUAACUUUCUUAAUUUUUAAAAUGCUGAAUUUCAAUUUCAGGUACUAUUCAUUUUAUCUCUUAAUCAAGUUAUUUUUCAUUUUUCUGCUGAUAUUUUAAUAUUUACAGUCAAUUGUAGCAUUACUUAAAUCUAUAGUAUGUAGAUCAUAAUUCAUAAAUUAGUUUGUAGUUGGAGUAAACUCGGAAAUGUUAAAAAAAUAAUAAUAAAAACAAAAAGAGUACAGACAAGUUGUCAUCUUGAGUAACAAUAAAAUAAAAAAUUCCAGCUUAUACAAAGUCUUUCUUUAAAAAUAUGAAACGAAUAAAAUGACUAUUAAAAUGGUUCAAAAUUUUCUAAUACUGUCAUUGACUAGCUAGAUCAAUUGUUUCUUGUGUGGUAACUUCAAACACCAAAUCCUUAAAAGCAAUUAUAUUAGUUUUGUAUGGUGUUGCCCAGCCUUCUGCACAUGGUUCAUGAUAUUUGAUCCAACUAUUCGCAAUAGGAGGAAUAGGUGAAGCUGGAAGCAUGAACACGUGGAAAAAAAAAAGCCAUAAAAAAAUUAGUCCAAUAAUUAAGAUAUUGCAGCAUAAUUUGAAUUUCUAAACUUUUACAUACCUCUAUGAAAUGAUUUCUAUUAACAAAUCCAAUAGCAAUGAUUUUACGCGAGGAGCGUGAUAAUGGAAUAGAUCUAAGUGGAAGGAAUGUUAGAUUCAGCACAUCUGAUAUAUGUAGUAAUACCACAUUAUAUUUAGAAGCAAUAAUAUGACCAAUUUCAGGCAUGGUCAUCCAAUACUCUCUCCCUGGGUUAUUCUCAAAGUAUAAAAGUGAAUGAAGUACCUCCUCUGCUCUACCAGCAUAUUCAAAGACUCUUUUAUAAUCAUUAAAGUGACUUUGCAACUCAAAAACUAAGUCUUUCCUGACUUGUGCCCAGCUAUCUUCACCAAUACCUAUUAGGUCAGCCACUGCCCGAAAACCACAAUUACCAUCUGCAACAACAUCUCUAACACCACAAAUAUAAGGCCUCAAACCAAAUGGAAAUGAAUCAAUAUAAGAAGCAUGCUUUGGUGCUUUUGUUUGAGAAACACUCAUUUUUCGUUGCCCUUUUGGUUUUUUUGUAGUUGUACUUGAAGACAUAAUGUUUGGAGAAUGAUUAUCCUGUGCGGAUACUACAUACUCAAAUCUUGAUGGAUCUCGGCGGGUAGAUUUAUCAAGCUUUUGGGAGGGUCGUCCUCGAGUCUUAUCUUUAAUAGUUGGCUCAAUUAAAAAAGUUGAGGAUGGAUCAGUUAACUCUUUCAGUUUUCUUUUUAUUUGCAUUUUUCCGAAACCAUCUGAAUCUUCAAAACGCUUGAUAAUCAUUUCCAUUUUAGGGGUACAACUCAACUCUGCUGAUUUUUCAUAGCUGGUGCAGACAAGGUCUAAUUUCCUUCAAUGCGAAUGUACAGAAUCUAAAGGUAUUGGUCGACCUUCACGCUUAUACUCUCCAAUUUCAUGUGCACACGGUAGCCCAUGAGUGUGUCGAACUACACAACCACAUGCUGAAAUAUCUAUACCAAUUAAAUCAGCUCUUUUUGACUCACUUAGUAUCAUAUCUAAUGCAUUUCUAGCAACUAAUCCCCUUAAUUCUUUAAAAACUGAAGGUGUGAAACUAUGUUGCACAGUAGUCAAACUCUUCUCAAAUGAUGCCUUAAUUUCUGUAUGUUGCAACUCUACCAAAGAAUAAAGUUUUGUCCAUAACGUUACAAAGUUUCCUUGGGAUGAACAUAGUUGCCUUUUUAAUUUUGAAUGUGCAGUCUCAGCCCUGAAAAUAAACCAACAAAAAUUAAAAAAAUAAAAAGAUAUAUAAAAAAAUGGUGUUGAGUUUAGUUAUAAAAUCAUUGAAAACUAAAUAUUGUUUACCUGUUGGUUGUCAUAUUUCCGAAAUGCAUAAUAAAGUCUGUCCAUGCUGCAAUAAAUUUUUCUUUAUACUUAUCAAGCCAUGUUUGCUUUACAUAGACAAGUGCUUUUGGAUAUCUAGCAUAAUCACUCUAAAACAUACUCAAGUGUUGUAUGUACUCUUGCUCAGUGGCUGAGAACACCAGUACAUUCCAGCUGCUGUUGAAGGCUUCCCAUCUUUCAUUAGUCUCAAAUAGCUUCUUACAAUUAGCUAACACAUUUCUUGAAAUAUGCCAUCUACAAAGUAAAUUAGUUGCACUUGGAAAUAUCUUUUCAAUGGCAUUCAUCAGAGCUAAUUCUCUGUCUGUCACAAUCAUAGUUGGUAAUAUAUCAUCUUGCAUAAUGGUUUUCAAUCUUUCUAAUGCCCAAAUAUAGUUAUCUUCUCGCUCGGACUCAAGAUAUGCAAAACCAACAUUAAAUGUCAUUGCAGUCGAUGUGACACCAACUAUUUCCAACAACGAAAACUUAUACUUAUUGACUUUAUAAGUGCAGUCCAUUAUCAGAACACUUGGAAAAGCUUUUAACAAAUCAAAAGUAAGAGGAUGUGCCCAAAAUAUGUCUUUCACACAAUUUGUAUCAUCAUCACUCCGAUGCCACUCAAUGUAAUUAUGAUCAUGCAAUUUACUCAUAAGCUGUUGCAUUUGUGACCGUCCGCCCAAUUCGCGAACCUUAUAUUUAUACCGAGCAUUAUAAAUUGUCUUCAUUGUUGUAACAUUAAAUGUAUCCCUAGUCUUUAAAGUAUGUAAUAUCUCUUUUGGCCGAACAUUAUUUUUAGACAAAUCAACCAAUAUACUAACCUCUUCAUUAGUAAGUCUACCUGCAAAUGAGUGGCCCUCAAGAUAUUGUGCAGAAUGAUGGUUAUGCAAUCCACAGAUUACUUUUAACAUCCAAUCUUGAUUAUUCGCCAACAUUUGACCCUUUAAUAAAAAUGGACAGCCACACUUUUUUGUUCCAAUUGCAUUCGGUCUUUUCUUCUUUUCCAAGUCGUUGUUCUGCUUACACAUGCUGGUACUUCUUUUCGGAUAUGCACCACUUCUUUCACAAGCAAAAAUUAUCCUUGGUCUCCUUCCAAUCACAUUCACGUCAGAUCUUUUAAUAACAAUCACAAGUCCAUUUUUUUUCCCAACAUCAUGCGUCCAUCGAAUCAACUCUUCUCUACUGGUGAAAACCUAUGAAUAAGACAAUAAUAUAUUAGUUAAUGAUACAAAGAAAAGAGAAUAUAUGUAUGAAAAUUUAUUUAGUGUUUUACCUCUUCAGUAGUGAAUGCAGCAGUGUAAUCCAUAACAUCUACUUUAUUAUCAAGAAUGGCAACUAUGGUAGAACUUUCCUCCUUCACAAUCAUUGUAAGAUAUUACAUAAGUUAAUACAAGACACAAAACUCGAAUAAUAGCAAUUUAUUCAGCAAUAAUCAACCAAACAAUUAACAUUUGUUAAGGGGAUAUUUGUUGAACAUUGUUCAACGCUCUCCUUGUCAUUAUAAUUCUAAAACAAUAAAUUAAUAGCAAACUUACUUUUUUAUUAUCAUCCUCAUCUGUUUGCAUGAAUACUUUGCCCUAAAUUUGAAACUCUUAGAUUAGGGUUUAAGAAAGAAAAGAGAGUUUAUACCGUAUGCCGUAUAAAGAAUUUAAAACUCUUAAACAAAAAUAUGCCGUAUAAGAAAUUUUUAAGGGAAAAAAUUAUUUGAUUUUGAGUAGGGGUUUAAUUAGAAAUUGUCUUAUUAUGUAAUUUUAAUAAAGGUUGUAAUUGUAAAAUAACUAAAGGGGUGUUAAGAGGUAUUUAGGGGGGUGCCAAUAAUCCCACUCGGACUGAAAUUAUCAAUCAAUCGGACUGAAAUUAUCAAUCAAGACACAGAACUUCCAUCUAGCCCAAACCAAUACUUAUGUGAAACAAUUGGUCAUUGAUGGAGUAAUCGACUUUGUGACAUCAUGCCAAAAAGAAAAAUUAGUUGACCCUUUUACUGUGUAAGGGAUGCGACCUCUAGCAUCAUCUUUUCACCAGUGACCGAGAAUCAACACAAUGAACAUCAAGGUCUUGGAUUCAGUGAGUAGAAGGCAAACAUUAUAAUUAAUUAUUUUAGAUAUGUUCUAUGGUAUGUAUGUGCUUCACAAAAAAAAAAAAAAUAGUUAAGUUAUGAAAUAUAUUCUCACUUAAAGAUAUGUGACAAAUUUCUUAAAAAUUCAUAGGAGUUUAGAUCAUAAGAAGAUUUUAUUUUCUAAAUUCAUUUGAUUUUUGAAACGGUUACAUGGAUAAUUAAAAAAAAGUGUCACAUUUAAAUGGACACCAUUUAAUGAACUAAAAGAGUUUGUAUGACAAAAUAGGUAAGUAAGGAACAUCUUAUACUGUGGAACCAAAUUUUAAUUAUAUAGGAUUGAUAUACAUAGAAAAAUUCGUUUCACAACUUUAAUUGCCUUAAACUGGGUCCAUACAUUUAUCUAAUUUCAGCUUUCACAUUAUAAUUAAAGCUAAAUAAAUUUUUCUAACGUGUAGGAUAUUAACAAAGUGAAGACUUAAAGAAAGCCUCAACAUUGACACUUACACUUCUUAUGAUUGGUAUGAUCCAUGUCGUCCUAAAACAGAAUCAUGGAGGACAGAAGGAGGAGGAAAUAUUGAUUACUGCUUAUGGGACGGCGUUCAACGUAAUGAGAACACUGGUCAUGUCAUCAAGCUUGACCGUUCAAAUAGCUGCCUCCAAGGUUCUAUCAACUCUAGCAGCGGUCUUUUUGACCUUGUAAUUCUUGAGUGGCUUUAUCUUUCUUUUAAUAAUUAACUUCAAUUCUUCUAAAUUAAUCCUACAAAAAAUCAUCAACCUAUCGAGCUUAUCAUAUCUAGACCUCUUUGAUUCUUCAUUUUCUGGUCAAAUAACGUCAAAAAUAUUAAAGCUCUCAUAUUAAAGCUCUCGCCAAUUUGUUGUCCCUUGAAUUAUAAGGAAAUUUAUAUCUUGCACUCUCGAGAAGCCAUGUAUGGAAAUCUAUUUGAGAAUUGUUAACCAUCCUAAAAGAACUUGAUCUUAGUGCUGUGAAUGUGACAAUUGAUUCUUCAAUACUCAUAACUUGGCAAAUCUAUCUUAUUUGACAUUUUUAUCUCUUUCAAACUGCAUGCCAGUUGCAGAUCAUCAAUUGAAGGUGUGGCCAAGCCAGUUACUAGUAUUCUUAACAAGAGCUUCGAGAUAAGGCACAUGUGGUGUUGUUAGUACAGAGCCAAGGCAUCUCCUUGUCGUCGAAUCUACCAUGCAACGAGGCAAUUCUUUCAUCGAAAACAGUGUUGAUUCCUAGCUUCUAGGUGAAUAUUUACUAUGCACUACUGCUCGUGGUACAAAAUCUAAGAAAUUUAGAUGGUGCACAUAUUCUUUCGUCACUUAUCGAACCCCUGCAAACAGAUUAUUGACAUUUAAAUUGUUGGGUUUCCUUGCCAUCUUGUGGGGUAAGUUUUUUCAGUUAAAAUUUAAUUUCCAUUUUUUUCUUUUCUUGAGCAAAGUGGUUGGCGUUAAAAAUUUUUUUUUUUUCCUUGAAAAGUAUAAAUCGAUCCGUAGUUGUGAAGUUUAAGUGUUUAUGAGAAUUUGUUCAUAUGAAGCAAAUAAAGUAUAAAUUUGUCAUUAAAUGCUAAUGCUUUGCGGUCUUGACAUUCUUAAACAGCUUUGGCUUUUGGUAAACUUAAAAAUGAGCCAAAAAAAGUUCAUUAUAUUAAUUAGGUCACUCCAUAAUGCCGUAAUUAAAAUUACGGUAAAUAUAUUCAAUGUUAAACAUAAAUAAUGUAAUUUAAACGUAAGAUAUAUAAAUUUAACAUAAAAUUUAUAAAUCAACAUUAAGUGUAAAACAAAACAUUACCUAUAUAAAUAGAAUAUAAGACUUAUAAAUAAAAUGUAAAAUAAGUAAAUUAACAAGUAAACUUCUAAUUUAAUUUAAUUCUAAAAAUUAAUUCAUUUCAAUCCGACUUUUUUAAAAUAGCCCUCAUUCUUUUAAUUUAAAUUAGGACACUCUUUUAGACUUUUGAGGACAAUUUUAAAAAAAGAAAAACUACUAUGAUGGAACAUGUGUCCUAAAUCAAUUGGCCAACACCAUCACAUUAGCAUAUGAUAUGGAUGUGUUGGCAUCUGGAGGAGUAUAUUUUAUGAAAAUUCGUGUGGGACAGAAGAUGAAGAAAACUAAUAAUCCUCUCUCAUUCAUUCUUAACAGCUGAAUAAAAAAACACAUUGAAAUAUUUUUCAACUCGGAAGGAUUUCAAUGUGGUGCAUCCAUGGAGAUCUGUGCAAUCAUCGGAGGAAGCCUGAAAUGAUGGAGAUCUGACUAUGCUAUCGUAGAAGGUUCCGUAUGGUCGCCAAUCUCGCGAACCAUGCCCAGCCCAGUGAUAACAAGUUCAAAAUUACAAGUCCUAUUUUACUCGCUACUUUCAUGUCUUUGUUAUUUUUUCUUUGUUGAAAUAGUUUUUGUUUUGAAUAGAGUGUUAGUUCUACUCUCAUAUUUUCGUGGACUAUAAAAUGGUAGGCUUGCAAAAUUUAGAUAAAAUGUUCUCAUCCAGAUGGUGUGACUUAUACGGUCAUGUGAUGAUUAGCUAUUAAGCCUUGUCAAUUCUCAUAUGAAUGAUGAUUUUAUAUUGUUUGUGUAAUAGUAUCACUAUCCUUUUGUUAAAUUGUUGUAAUGGAGAGAGUUUCAGUACCUUAAGAAUUUAAAUGUAGUGUGAACUGGAUCUGGAUUUAUAAAUGGUACGUUUUGACAUUGAAUUUAUUAUUCUCAACUCAAGGUUGUCCAUUGUGUUAUAGGAAAAAAGUAAGAUUGCACUUUUUGUUUUUCCCAACUCAAGGCACUUAAAGAAAUGAAGAUAAAGCUGUUUUGUUUGCAGAAAAUAUUAGAGAAUAUUCCAGAUCUUUUUUUUUAAUUGCUUAACAACAAUUUUACAAUUAAAUUAAAUUCAUGUAUGAUGCUUAAGCAUCAUUAUUAUAACUAAUUCAUAACUAACUAAAAUGAUUAAUGCAUGCUAAACUUCAUCAUAUGUACGUAACAAAUUGUAACAGACUUUAACAACUUAUGUUGAGCUAGCAGCUGAGCUGUCACUUUGAUUUCAACCAUUUGAUGUCAUUGUUAGCCUAUAUGGCUAUAAAUAUUGAUUUUGAUGAUAACAAACCACAUGUGUUAGUUAAACAAAGAUUUAUGAAUUAUGUUUUUAUAAUAAAAAAAAUGAUUUUAUGGAAUUAAAGUUGUGGACUAAAAUGAAAGAAUUUUAUAAUCCUUGAUUUUAAUAAAUGUUGUUUUCAAUUUCGGAUUUGGACCUAUUUAAAAUUAUUUAAAUAUUUUGGGUCAUUCUAUAAUUUUAAAAAUUUUUGAGAUUGACAAAAUAUUAUUUAGAAAUUCUGAAAUUGGACUUAUUUGAAAAUUUUCAUAACAUUUUAGGCCAUAAUAUAAUUUUAUAAAGUUUUGAGGCUAAACUGUAAUUUUAGAAAAUAUUUCACUGUAGUAGUUGCUGUCGCAAGCGGUUAACCGGAUAUGAUAAGCAGCUAUCCGAAUUCUGGGUGAUAAGCUUCUGGAGUAUAAAUGACUAUCCGGAUUUCGUAAGCGGCAUACCGGAUGUUUUGAAAUUCAAAUUUUUACUGUAAUGGUAACAAAAAGCGACUAACCAGAUUCUGAAAUCAGCAAGCUGGUUAUCAUCAGAAAAUACAUAACGGCUAGUUUUUGGGCUCAAACUAUAUAAACUCAAAUUCAAUUCAUUUUCAAGCACUCUAGCAAGAAAAAAUAAAAAGCACACGAGAUAUCUUAAGCUCUCAAUUCGUAAAUCAUAAAACAUUGAAUCAUCUCUUGUUUUUCAUUUUGAAUAUCUACUCUUUGAGAGAAUUUUGUUGUAAUUUUUAUUUCCUCAUAAAUUUGUGAGUGUGUGAGACACUUGAGUGAAGAGAUUAGGAGAUAAUCUCUUUGUUGUAAAGGUUCAUUGACACCUUGAAGUCAAUUGUAAACAUUUGAAGCCUUGGAAGGCUUGGAUAGUGAAAUCCUCAAGCUUGGAUUGCUUGGAGGCGUGGACGUAGGCGGGGAUUGUCGAACCACGUAAAAAUUCGUGUGUUUGUUUCUCUUCUCUCUUACUCAUUUGUUAUUGUGCUUUUAUUGAAUUUAUUACUUUCAAAUUUAUUAAGGCGUUAGAUUGGAUUGUUGUGUGGUUUUGUUAGGAUAAUUUUUAAAAUACCAAUUCACCCACCCCCCCUCUUGGAUUGCACACUUGUAUUUCAAACAUCAGCUCCUCCUCCUCCUCCUCCUCCUUCUUCUCUAUACAGCGAGCUUACUUAUAGUCCUCCUCAAACUCAAGGGACAGGGAUGAACAUUAAGUUUGGCUCUUAAGUAGUUAACUAUAUGAAUGAAAGAGAAUAUUCCAAAUCUUUUUUUUAUUGCUUAACAACAAAUAUCUGCAACUUGUUAUGCACUUGGUACAUAAUGAAUGCUAAGCUCUCCUACAAGAACUUUAUUGCGGAUAAAAUGGAUAUCAAUUUCAAUAUGCUUUAUCCUUGAAUGAUAAACAUGGUUCCUAGCUAGCUUAGUUGUACUAAUAUUGUCACACCAAAUUGUAGGUCUUUCUAUGCAACACAUUCCAAUCUCAGUGAAUAAGAACAGUAGCUAAAUCAAUUCUGCACUAGAUGAUGCCAAGGCUCUAUAUUCACUUUUUGUACUUGAUCGAUCUAUGACAGACUGCUUCUUAGAAGACCAUGAUAUCAUAUUGUUGCCUAGAUAGAUGCAAUAUGCACUCUUUGAUUUCUUGUCAUCCAAAUCACAUGUCCAAUCAGUAUCUGUAAGCUAGUAAACUUCAAAUUGUCUUCUUUGAUGAACUUCAAGCCAAAGUCUUGAGUGGCCUUCAAAUAUAUUAAAACCCUUUUAGAAGCCAUGAGAUGUUAUAAUGUAGGUGACUAAGCUUAUUAACCGCAAAUGCAAUUUCAACCCUUGUUAAAAUCAGAUAUUGCAUUCCCUAACAAUGCUUUUGUAGUUUGUUGGAUCUUUAAGAAAAUAAGUAAGUUUUCCUUGAACAACUUUCUGCAAUUUCAAGUCUACCCUUAUAGUCAAUCAUAUCAACCCUGGCCAAUAAAUCCUUAAUAUACUUUCUCUGUGAUAAGUACAUGUAACCUAUAUCAUACAAUACUUCAAUCCCAAGAAAAUAAGAUAGGAUUCUAAGAUCUUUUAAAGAAAAGCUUUACUAAAUGUAGCUGCAAAGCUUUCUAAUUCUACACUGCUAGUUCUUAUAAUCAAGAUAUCAUCAAUAUAGAGAAGAACAAGGAUUAUAAAGGUUUGACUCCUUCUUAAAAACAUAGAUGUAUUAGAACUAGUGUAGAUAAAUGCUCAGUGCAGCAAGCAACUUUUAAGUUUAUUAUACCAAGCUCUAGGAGCUAAGUUGAUUCCAUAUAGAGUUUUAUGCAAUUUAUACAUAAAAUCGGGCUUUGUACUGUCAAUGAAGCCUUUUGGUUCUGACAUAUAGAACUCCUCUGUCAAUUAUCUAUUGAUAAAUGUAUUGUUGACAUCAACUUGCCUUAUUUUCCACUUAUUUAUUACUACUAAACUUAAAACUACUCUAACAGUGUUUGGUUUCACCUGUGGACUAAAAAUUUCAAAGUAAUUCACCCCUGCAACUUGUUAAAAAUCUUUAGCAACUAGCCAAACUUUAUAUUUAGCCACACUUAUAUCAAUGUUGUGUUUAACUUUAUACAUCCAUUUAUUGCCAACAACCUUAAGCCUGUCGAUAGGCUAAAGACCAUAUGCCAUUAUAAAUCAAAGCAUCAUACUCAUCUUGCAUAGCUUUGAUCUAUUUGGAAUCAAUUAAAGCUUCCUAAACUAAAUUUGGUUCUUUGUGAGCAAGGACAACUGUAUAGACUUUAGCUUUAAAGAUACUUGAUUUUCUUCUAGUGGUCAUAGGAUGGAUGUUGGAGUUUAUAUGAGGUGGAGAGUGUGGCGAUGAUGAAUCAUUAUCAGAAGCAGAUAAUGGCUGAUGUGAGGUUUGAAUAGGAGCAGAAUUUGGCUAAUAUGUGUUUCGAGAUGAAGAAGUAGAGAAGGUAAUUUGCUGUGAAUGUUGAUCAGCUGCUUGUUGUGCAAGAAUAUCUAAGUGAGUUGAAAUGCUACUGUCAGAACUUGCAGAGUUAGGAUGAAUGGUGCUGUUAUUGGUAAAGUGGAGAGUGACAUAUUUUUUAAGGAGAAAAUGAAUAUUAUAAAGAAGAAGUAGAUUUAGUUGAACUACGGAAAAUAAAUUGCAGUGGAAUAAGGAAUUGUAAAUUUAUAAAAAAUGAAAUGUCUUGCUAUAUAAAGUUGACUUGAAGGAUGUAAACACUUAUACCCUUAUGUGAUGGAUUGUAACCAAGAAAAGUACACUUGGUAGAGUGAUAAUUAAAUUUUGUUUAUUAUUGUCUCUCAAAUAAGGAUAAUAAGUACAACUAAAACACUUGAGUAUGUCAUAGUUAGUUUUUGUUGGAAUAUUUUCUCACAUAGAGAUAAAAGGUUGAGAACAACAGAGGGCAAUCUAUUGAUAAGAUAGACAACUAUAUGGAAAUCAUCCCACUAAAACUUGAAGGGUAAUUGAGAUUGAGCCAAUAAAGUGAGUCCCAUUUCAACAAUGUAUCUAUGUUUCCUUUAAACCAAUCUAUUUUGAUGAUGUGUGUGUGGACAUGAGUGUCCGAAUAUGAUAUCAGAUUGAUUCAAAAAUCAGUAAAAGAUCUUAAUGAUUGUUUGAAACUAAUUUUAAAAGAUCUUAAUGAUUGUUUGAAACUAAUUUAAACUUGCAUUUUAAAAAGUUUAAAGACAUCUAGAGCUUCUAACUUGAGCUUUAAAGGAUAAAUCUAGGUGUAUCUAGUGAAAUCUUCAACAAGACUAAUAUAAUAGUGAUAACCAUCUUUAGAAAAGGUAGGUAAGGGAACUUAAAAGUCUGUGUGAAUCAGCUCUAGAACUUUAGAAGUUUUAGUUGCAGUUGAUGGAAAAUGAAGUUUAUGAACCCUGUCCGUUUGACAAACUUCACAAGUAUAUUGUAGUGCUUGUUGUAUUUGAUUUCCAGAAAAUAAGCAAACUUAACAUUUUUUUAGAAUAUGCUUCAAAAUAUAUUAAUUUGGAUAGCCAAGUCUAGUAUGAAAUAAAGUAAUUUUAUUCACUAACGUUUUAUAAGGAGAAGUAGUAGAUUGAUAACAAGACUUCAAAUCUGCAUUAUUAACAUCAGUAACAAAAUUGAAAUGACAACAAGACCACACUGGCAAUGGCUUAUUUGAAAUGAUAUGAGAAAGAAAGGAUGAUGGUGAUGACUUAAAUGAUGAAGACAGUUUGAGUAACAACCUGAGUAAACUUUUCUCUGCAAUGCCUUUUAAAAGCACUUCCCCUUUUAGAGAAUCCUUCAUAUCACAGAUGUUUCCAAGAAAUUCAACAGACAAAUUAUUAUCAUAUGUAAGUUUGGAAAUGCUUAAUAAAUUUUUGGUAAUGGGAGGAACAAGUAGAAUAUCGUUCAGUGCUAUAUGUGGAUGUAUUUGUUUAAUAGUUGAGCUUUUAAAAGUAAAAAGAUGCAUCACCAGUAUGAGUUAUAGCAAACCCUGUCCAUUUCUAAUGAUAAGGUGAUAUAGCCCACUAAACUACUCUCUGAUAUGCAUAUUGGCCAUGUUAUUUGUUAAGGAUGAGUUGCUCCACUGUGAAGAUACCACUCAUCAUCAGCAAGCUUUCAAAGUUAGCAAGAUAAGCAGCUCCAGUUGCAGAGAAUGUUUCAGGUGACUAGAAAGGCAAGGAAUUCAUAUUAGAUAACUAGUAGCUGGAACCACUCGUAGCAUAAAAGUCAUGAAAAUAUGGUGCGAUUUAAGCAUAUGGCUCAAAGCUAGCCCUAUAGGCAGACUUAGAUCUUCUUCCUCUACCAAAGUGUCUUGAUUGAGGUAUAUAAUUUUCAAUGUACUUAUGCCAACAAGCAUUAGUUUUAUGACUAGAUUUAUGACAAAUCUGACAUCCAAGAAUGCUUUCAUCAAAUCCAUCUCUAUUAGGUAUGAAACUUUGACCAUGAGAUAUAUUGAAAGUAGGUCUGGAAUGUGAUGCUGACUUGUGAAAUUGCAUCUUUAGUGAGUGUCCUCUGCCAAAGUUAUUACCAUCAAAGGGAAAGCCUUUGGGAUAUGUAUGAUAAAACAAUCCUCUUCCAGAAUUAUGAUUAAUUCUUGUUUCCAUUAUGAAAAUGUCCCUAGUAUCUCCUAUAACCAAAGCCUCCUCUUUUACCAUUACCUCUAAUUGGAGGAUAGUUAGAGUUCACCAUUCUAUAAUCGGCAUUAAAUAUUGAUUUAGCAUUUUGAUUUUAUUGUAAUAUAGCCUUAUGCAUAAAAAACAAUGCAUAUGCAUCAUAUUAUGUCACUUUAUUAGCAAUAAUAAUAAAGCAAGAUCCAAAUAUCCAGGCCUCAGUCCAUUCAAAACUCGCAUUAAUAGAUCUCUGUCUGAUACAGGACUACUAGCACAUGCAAGUUUAUCGACAAGUAUUGUGAAUUUCAAGCAAUAUUCUUCAAUAGAUAUGGAAUUUUUUCUAAGAACAUUCAUCUCAUAACAAAAUUGCAUUAUCUUAGCUUCGAAUUGAGCUCCAAAUUGCUUCUAAAUAGACUUCCAUACAUCAUAUAAAUUAUUACAAUUAAAAACAGAGCUCAAAAUACAUUCAUUGAUGGAUGAUAAAAGCCAGCCAAGAAGAAUUUAAUCUUGAGUUCUUCAAUUGAUGUAAGCUGGAUUAUCAACCUUCUGCACCAAUCCAUCGGCUACAGUGUGAAAGAUCUAUUGUUCUAGUACAAUUUGAUCACUAGAUAUGAAUCUUCAAGUUGAUUCCCUCUAAUUGAAGUAAGAACCUACUUUCUUUAGAGUAAGAAAUUGAAUCGAUCAAGCUUAACUCGACCGCUAAAUGAAAAAGAGAUAUGUGAAUUUUGAUUCGUUUGUAUUAAAUUUUGAUUUGAUGUUGUACUACUUGAGCUAGCCAUUAUUGGCUCCGAUACCAUGAAAGAAAUGAAGAUGAAGUGUUUGGUUGCUAAGAAAAUAUUAGAGAAUGUUCCAGAUCUUCUCAUUUUUAUUGCUUAACAACAAAUGUUACAAUUACAUGUAAAUUAUAUACGAUGCUUAAGCAUCAUUAUUGUAAAGUAUGAGAAAAAAGUAUAAUGGGCAGAAUAAUUUUCAUUGAUAUUUGAUUGAGUAUAUAUACAUGCUAGGAUCCCUAUAAUUAAGCUAUGCAAUCAAAGUCUACUGUAAUUUAGGAAUACAUAUAGAAAGAUAUAUUUAUAGCUCAAUAUAAUGAAUAAAUGGAUUCUACUUUCCAAUACUCCCCCUCAAGUUGGAGAGUGAAUGUCCAACACUCCCAACUUGGGAACCAUAGGCAUGAAAACUUCUUUUCCCAAAGCUUUGGUCAGUACAUCAACAAGCUGAUUUGCGGAACUUACAAAUUUCGUUAUCACACAAUCUUCUUGUAACUUGUCUCUUAUAUAAUGACAAUCCAUCUCUAUGUGCCUUGUGCGUUCAUGAAAAACUGGAUUAACUGCUAUAUGUAAUACAGCCUUAUUGUCACAAUAUAGCAAUGCAACAUCUUGAUGUAAAAUCCCAAAAUCUCUAAGUAACUAACAAAGCCAUGUCAAUUCACAAUAAGCUCUAGUCAAUGCACGAUACUCUGCUUCGGCUGAGGAAAGGGAGACGUUUUCUGGCGCUUCGAUCUCCACAAAAUCAACGAAGGGCCUAAGAACACACAAUACCCUGUAGUAGAUCUUCUUGUAAGGGGGCAUCCUGCCCAAUUCGAGUCACAGUAUGCUCGCAACCAAAGAUCACUAAUUAAUAAGAAGAAGAAGCCUUGGCCAGGAGCAGAUUUUAAAUAGCGUACAACCCGUAAGGCUGCCUCCCAAUGAUCCUUCCAGGGUUGGUGCAUAAAUCUGCUCAAUAUAUGGACAACGUACGUGAUAUCGGGCCUCGAAACUGUGAGAUAUAUUAAUCUUCCAACUAAUCGCCUAUAUCGCCAUGGAUAUUUAAGUGGCUCACUUUAUCAGACAACUUUAAGCCACGUUCCAUGGGAGUAUCAAUGGGAGCUGCCCCUAAUAACCCUGCAUCCUUAAUAAGUUCCAAUGCAUACUUUCUAUGAGAAAUAAAAAUGCCCUUCCUAGAUGCAGAAAUCUCAAUACCAAGGAAAUACUUCAAGUCUCUUAGAUUUUUAAGGUGAAAUUGAUUAUGCAAGAAUUUUGAUAUCGGCUGUACUCACAGGAUCAUUCCCAGUGAUUAAAAUGUCGUCAACAUCUAUCAAAAGGGCAAUAAAGGACUUGCCUUGCUUCCUAGUGAACAGAGAGUAGUCAGCUUUUGAUUGUACAAAUCCAGCUGAACGUAUGGCCUCGGAGAAUUUAGCAAACCAUUGACGAGAGGCAUGUUUCAACCCAUAUAAUGACUUGUGGAGGCGACAAACCAAGUGUUCCUCCCCCUGUCACCGAAGCCCUAGCGGCAGAGACAUGUAGAUUUCUUCUUGGAGGUCACCAUAAAGAAAGGCAUUAUUGACGUCGAGUUGAUGAAGAGACAAACCACGGGCAGCAACUAACGCCAAUAAGCAACGAACAUAAAUUAUUUUUGCUGUCGGAGAAAAAGUAUCCUGGUAGUCAACUCCCUCUAAUUGAGUGAAACCCUUGGCUACAAGCCGCGCCUUAUACCGUUCAAUAGACCCAUCAGACUUAUGUUUGAUUUGUAAACCCAACGACAACCAAUUGGAGUUUUACUAGCCAGAAGAGAGGUAAGAGACCAAGUACCAUUUUUCUGUAGUGCCUGCAAUUCAGAACGCAUUACUGCUUGCAACUCAGGGAGAACGACAGCUUCUGAAUAAGACCUGGGUUCUGUGAGAUUAUUGAUUUGAGCAAUAAAGGACUAAUAAGCAGGCUUAUAUCGGUGAUAUGAAAUAUAAUUAGCCAGUGGAUAUUGUGUACCUUUGGUCGGACUUGGAAUUAAGGAGGCCGAUUGGUCGGAGUAAACAUGCGAGCAGACGUAGUCGUGGAGCUUGACCGGUGGACCGGUGUUGCGGCUGGAGCGACGAAGUUCAGGUACGGGUUCGGGUUCGGGUUCGGGUGCUUGUGAUGCAGCAGGUUCAGGGAAUGAAAGAAGGUGGGUCAGUUAAGACUAGUAAGGCAACAAGUUUAGGACGGUAGGAAUAAGUGCGAAGGACAGCUUAGGGAGGGGAAGAUGGUGGUUCUACCACGGGAGGAGAAGAGGAAAUUUGAUCGGGAGAAUUGGGAGAGAGUUGGGAUGAGGGAAUGGGGCUUGGUGGAAUUACGUGAGAGUUGAAUGAUGAGUCAAAGGAAGAAGGAAUUAAAGGAAUUGGGUUUGAUUGAUGGGCUGUCAAGGGAAGAGAAAAUUUGGGUUGGACGGAUGAGUAAGGAAAAAUGGUUUUGUGGAAUUUGACAUCCCGGCUGGUAAAAAUCUCUUUAGUUGAUAAAUUAAAUAAUUUGUAGCCCUUUUGAGCAAUGGGAUAACCGAUGAAUAUGGAUGGUAUGGCAUGAGAGUCGAAUUUGUGAGAAGUGUGAACAUUAGUGGCAUAGGUCAAACACCCAAAAACACGAAGAUGGAAAAAGGAAGGUGGUUUUGAAUAGAAAAGUUCGUAAGGAGUUUUGAAAGAAAUAACCGGAGAAGGUAACCUAUUGAUGAUGUGUACAACAGUGAGUGCACAUUCGCCCCAAAAUUGGGUUGGUAGGUGUGCUUGGAAUUUUAAUACUCGGGCUACUUGUAAGAUAUGGCGAUGUUUGCGUUCCACAACCCUGUUUUGUUGAGGAGUGUAAACGCAUGAAGUUUGGAAAACAACACCAUGAUCUUGAAAGAAAGAUCGGAGUGAGAUAAAUUCUCCAUCAUUGUCACUUCGAAAUGUUUUAAUACGACGAUCAAAUUGAGUGAAAACAUGGUUGAAAAAGCGUUUUAAAAGAGAUUGUGUUUCGUUUUUGUGUCGCAUAAAACAAAUCCAUGUGAAACGAGUAUAAUCAUCAACAAUAGUGUGGAAAUAAUAAGCUCCGGUAAGGGAAGGGUGUUGAUAACGACCCCAAAUAUCAUAAUGAAUUAUUUCAAAAGGUUUUGUAGAAGAAAUAACACUAUGAUUGAAAGGAAAACGACUUUGCUUAGCCAACGGACAUACGGGGCAAGCAUUAUUAGACUGAACAAAAAAAUUCAAAAAGUUCUUGGCAAUAAAACUUAAACGAGAAGGUGAUAUAUGACCUAAGCGAUUAUGCUAGAGGUCGGUGGAUGAGAUGGUGAGAUUGCAGGCUGGUCGAUUUUUUGGUGAGGAAGGUUUUGUCACAGAUUGCUUCGUCGCUAAUGCCACAAAAAAAUAUAGCCCAUCUCGUUGUUUACCCAAACCAAUCUUCCUCCUAAUAGCCAGAUCCUGUAAAAUACACUAAGACGGGAAAAACGUCACUGAACAACCCAAACCUCUUGUCAAGCGACUAACUGACAUCAAAUCAACUUUAAAUGUAGGCACGGAUAACACAUUAUGUAGAUAAUAGACGGAAUUGAGAGGUAAAGAACCUUUUUGCAACAAUAUUUGCUCUUUCUCCACUAGGCAACAACACGGGCGGUAACGAGCAAUUGUUAUCUUUAUGCAAUAAAUUAAAUGAUGAAGUAAUAUGAUCUGUCGCCCCGCUAUCAAUAAUCCAAUUUCGGGAAACAAUCUUAGACAAACCUAGCUUUGUUACCGUAUUUGCUUUGGAGUGAGAACCUUCAUUUUGAUUAUUCAGGAGUGACAAAAGUUGCUUAAGUUGAGCAUCGGAUAUUGUAAGUGAGCCUUCAUUUGUGUUUGAGCCCUCUCCAACUUAAUUAGCCACAGAAAUACCUUUAUGCCGAUUUGAAUUUUGGCCUGAGUUUAUUUUAGCUUUAGGAUGGCCUGGUGGGUAUCCAUGCAGCUUAUAACAUUUCUGGAUCCAAUGGCCAAAAUUUCCACAUUGGUCACAAAAAGGCCUACCUCUCUUAGAGCCAGAUCGACGCCGAUCUCCAUCUUGAGGUCCUGCAAGUUCCGGCGCUUGAGAGUAUGUUCGAUCGCGAGAAUCUGGGAACCCAUGAGAGCGAGUUUGUUAAGUUUUUCCUGUUGCUGAAGGAGUCGGCUUGCUAUGUACAGCCAUGGCAGCAGCGCUGCUGCUUGAAUCAGUGUUCGUAUGCACUGAACUAAGGAGGCACUGUUUCUCUUCUUGGGAGAUUGAAGAGUAGGCUUGGCGAAUAGAAGGCAAAUGAUUCAUGAGCAGGAUUUGACCUCGAAUUGCACUAUAAGUUUCGUUUAGACCCAUUAGAAACUGCAUCAAUUUCUGUCGAUCGGCUUGUGCUAUGUCUGAAUGUGUUGCCAAUUCAUCCCAUAAACUUUUCAACUUAGUGUAGUAAGCUGACACAGAGAGUUGGUCUUGUCAAAGAGAAGCAAUAUCUCGUUGUAUCUCGAAGAUGCGAGUUGCAUUGCCUUGAGAGAAAUGCUCAUAGAGAUCUUCCCAAACCUCAUGAGCAAUAGGAUAAUAAGUCACACUGUGAGCUAUUUCUAGAUCGCAAGAAUUGACGAUCCAGGAAUGAACCAUAUCAUUGCAUCUCGACCAAAUCGCAUAGCCUUCGGGAUCGGUUUCUUCUGAAGGAACUUUGAUAGAACCAUUGACAAAUCCAAGCUUGUUCUUGGAGUUUAAAGCUUGAACCAUAGCCCUUUUCCAACCAAAAUAAUUAUCUCCAUUUAGAGGUUUGGAGAUGAGAAUCAAUUCGGGGUUAUCCGAAUGGUGAGUGAAGAAGGGAUUAAAGAGAUCUGCCUUGGAGAAAUAUGUAGAAAUCUCUUAUUUUUGCGGAUCAGAACUGCUGGUUUUUGGAAUAUCUUCAAGGGCCAUGAUGGCUGAAAGAGAGAUGCUACAUGAGAGAUUAAAGUGUAGCAAGUCCUUGCUCUGAUACCAUGUAAAGUAUGAGAGAAAAGUAGAAUGGGCAGAAUAAUUUUCAUUAAUAUUUGAUUGAGUAUAUAUACAUGCUAAGAUCCCUAUAAUUAAGCUAUGCAAUCGAAAUCUACUGUAAUUUAGGAAUACAUAUAGAAAGAUGUAUUUACAGCUCAAUAUAAUGAAUAAAUGGAUUCUACUUUCCAAUAAUUAUUGUGACUAAUCCAUAACUAACUAUAAUGAUUAACGCAUGCUAAACUUCAGCACAAUGUACAUAACAAAUUGUAACAGACUUUAACAACUUAUGCUGAGUUGGCAGCUGAGCUGUCACUUUGCUUACAACCAUCUGACGACAUCAGCUUCUCCUUCUCCUUCUUCUCUGUAUAGUGAGCUUCCUUAACAGACACCAAGGUUAGUAGUACAUUGAGAGAUAACAUCAAGAGAUAAUUGAAGAGAUGCCUGAGGAUAGAGGGAAGACCAACUAAAAAAGAGGGAUCUUGUUGAGCAUACCAUUAGUCCAUUACUUUGUGACUUUAAAGAGCUUGAUGAGGAGACUCUCACUUCUUCCUUUCUAUUUCUAUCACAAAGGACCAAUCAUGAAGGUGGUAGUGAUCAAUGUCGACUUAAAAGCAAAGGAGCUUGCUGGUGUUAUAUGUUUUUUUUUUUAAUGUAUUUGUAUCAUUGGAUAUAUUUUUUUUGUAACUAUAAAAGCAAGCCAAAAGUUAGCAAACACAUUUUUCAUGUACGAUAUUUUAUGUAAGGUCGUCACCACCAAGCUCAUUUUGCCCUCCUGCUAGUGCAAAAACAUUCUUGCAUUAACAAGCAAGAUUCUCUAGCUUAUACAUUCUAUACGUAGAAAAUGUUAAAAGGGAAAAUAUCCACCGUCCACCCGUUUUUUACACCUUUUUCAAAAAUACACAAUUCCUUCAUUUUUUUGGUGGAAUCCACCUAAAGUUACAUUUUGUUUCACUUUCCACUUCCGUUGAAAUGACGANNNNNNNNNNNNNNNNNNNNNNNNNNNNNNNNNNNNNNNNNNNNNNNNNNNNNNNNNNNNNNNNNNNNNNNNNNNNNNNNNNNNNNNNNNNNNNNNNNNNNNNNNNNNNNNNNNNNNNNNNNNNNNNNNNNNNNNNNNNNNNNNNNNNNNNNNNNNNNNNNNNNNNNNNNNNNNNNNNNNNNNNNNNNNNNNNNNNNNNNNNNNNNNNNNNNNNNNNNNNNNNNNNNNNNNNNNNNNNNNNNNNNNNNNNNNNNNNNNNNNNNNNNNNNNNNNNNNNNNNNNNNNNNNNNNNNNNNNNNNNNNNNNNNNNNNNNNNNNNNNNNNNNNNNNNNNNNNNNNNNNNNNNNNNNNNNNNNNNNNNNNNNNNNNNNNNNNNNNNNNNNNNNNNNNNNNNNNNNNNNNNNNNNNNNNNNNNNNNNNNNNNNNNNNNNNNNNNNNNNNNNNNNNNNNNNNNNNNNNNNNNNNNNNNNNNNNNNNNNNNNNNNNNNNNNNNNNNNNNNNNNNNNNNNNNNNNNNNNNNNNNNNNNNNNNNNNNNNNNNNNNNNNNNNNNNNNNNNNNNNNNNNNNNNNNNNNNNNNNNNNNNNNNNNNNNNNNNNNNNNNNNNNNNNNNNNNNNNNNNNNNNNNNNNNNNNNNNNNNNNNNNNNNNNNNNNNNNNNNNNNNNNNNNNNNNNNNNNNNNNNNNNNNNNNNNNNNNNNNNNNNNNNNNNNNNNNNNNNNNNNNNNNNNNNNNNNNNNNNNNNNNNNNNNNNNNNNNNNNNNNNNNNNNNNNNNNNNNNNNNNNNNNNNNNNNNNNNNNNNNNNNNNNNNNNNNNNNNNNNNNNNNNNNNNNNNNNNNNNNNNNNNNNNNNNNNNNNNNNNNNNNNNNNNNNNNNNNNNNNNNNNNNNNNNNNNNNNNNNNNNNNNNNNNNNNNNNNNNNNNNNNNNNNNNNNNNNNNNNNNNNNNNNNNNNNNNNNNNNNNNNNNNNNNNNNNNNNNNNNNNNNNNNNNNNNNNNNNNNNNNNNNNNNNNNNNNNNNNNNNNNNNNNNNNNNNNNNNNNNNNNNNNNNNNNNNNNNNNNNNNNNNNNNNNNNNNNNNNNNNNNNNNNNNNNNNNNNNNNNNNNNNNNNNNNNNNNNNNNNNNNNNNNNNNNNNNNNNNNNNNNNNNNNNNNNNNNNNNNNNNNNNNNNNNNNNNNNNNNNNNNNNNNNNNNNNNNNNNNNNNNNNNNNNNNNNNNNNNNNNNNNNNNNNNNNNNNNNNNNNNNNNNNNNNNNNNNNNNNNNNNNNNNNNNNNNNNNNNNNNNNNNNNNNNNNNNNNNNNNNNNNNNNNNNNNNNNNNNNNNNNNNNNNNNNNNNNNNNNNNNNNNNNNNNNNNNNNNNNNNNNNNNNNNNNNNNNNNNNNNNNNNNNNNNNNNNNNNNNNNNNNNNNNNNNNNNNNNNNNNNNNNNNNNNNNNNNNNNNNNNNNNNNNNNNNNNNNNNNNNNNNNNNNNNNNNNNNNNNNNNNNNNNNNNNNNNNNNNNNNNNNNNNNNNNNNNNNNNNNNNNNNNNNNNNNNNNNNNNNNNNNNNNNNNNNNNNNNNNNNNNNNNNNNNNNNNNNNNNNNNNNNNNNNNNNNNNNNNNNNNNNNNNNNNNNNNNNNNNNNNNNNNNNNNNNNNNNNNNNNNNNNNNNNNNNNNNNNNNNNNNNNNNNNNNNNNNNNNNNNNNNNNNNNNNNNNNNNNNNNNNNNNNNNNNNNNNNNNNNNNNNNNNNNNNNNNNNNNNNNNNNNNNNNNNNNNNNNNNNNNNNNNNNNNNNNNNNNNNNNNNNNNNNNNNNNNNNNNNNNNNNNNNNNNNNNNNNNNNNNNNNNNNNNNNNNNNNNNNNNNNNNNNNNNNNNNNNNNNNNNNNNNNNNNNNNNNNNNNNNNNNNNNNNNNNNNNNNNNNNNNNNNNNNNNNNNNNNNNNNNNNNNNNNNNNNNNNNNNNNNNNNNNNNNNNNNNNNNNNNNNNNNNNNNNNNNNNNNNNNNNNNNNNNNNNNNNNNNNNNNNNNNNNNNNNNNNNNNNNNNNNNNNNNNNNNNNNNNNNNNNNNNNNNNNNNNNNNNNNNNNNNNNNNNNNNNNNNNNNNNNNNNNNNNNNNNNNNNNNNNNNNNNNNNNNNNNNNNNNNNNNNNNNNNNNNNNNNNNNNNNNNNNNNNNNNNNNNNNNNNNNNNNNNNNNNNNNNNNNNNNNNNNNNNNNNNNNNNNNNNNNNNNNNNNNNNNNNNNNNNNNNNNNNNNNNNNNNNNNNNNNNNNNNNNNNNNNNNNNNNNNNNNNNNNNNNNNNNNNNNNNNNNNNNNNNNNNNNNNNNNNNNNNNNNNNNNNNNNNNNNNNNNNNNNNNNNNNNNNNNNNNNNNNNNNNNNNNNNNNNNNNNNNNNNNNNNNNNNNNNNNNNNNNNNNNNNNNNNNNNNNNNNNNNNNNNNNNNNNNNNNNNNNNNNNNNNNNNNNNNNNNNNNNNNNNNNNNNNNNNNNNNNNNNNNNNNNNNNNNNNNNNNNNNNNNNNNNNNNNNNNNNNNNNNNNNNNNNNNNNNNNNNNNNNNNNNNNNNNNNNNNNNNNNNNNNNNNNNNNNNNNNNNNNNNNNNNNNNNNNNNNNNNNNNNNNNNNNNNNNNNNNNNNNNNNNNNNNNNNNNNNNNNNNNNNNNNNNNNNNNNNNNNNNNNNNNNNNNNNNNNNNNNNNNNNNNNNNNNNNNNNNNNNNNNNNNNNNNNNNNNNNNNNNNNNNNNNNNNNNNNNNNNNNNNNNNNNNNNNNNNNNNNNNNNNNNNNNNNNNNNNNNNNNNNNNNNNNNNNNNNNNNNNNNNNNNNNNNNNNNNNNNNNNNNNNNNNNNNNNNNNNNNNNNNNNNNNNNNNNNNNNNNNNNNNNNNNNNNNNNNNNNNNNNNNNNNNNNNNNNNNNNNNNNNNNNNNNNNNNNNNNNNNNNNNNNNNNNNNNNNNNNNNNNNNNNNNNNNNNNCUAACGGAAACUUAAAAAAAUGCCCAUUUUGCCCCCAAAACGAAAAUUAUAAUUUUACCCAAAAAAAUGCCAAAAAUAAUAAGAUUUAAUGAUGAGUAUCAUUAUUGGUACGUUAAUGAAGUACAAAAAAAUCUUAACUACUAGAGAUUAUAACUCAAUGAAUAAUAAAACUCUACUUAUCUUAAAUUCAAUUGAUGGUUUGCAAGAUUGGGCUAUUUUUAAAACUACUGUUAUAAUUUAGCAUUCUAAUUACAGACAUAUUUAAAAAAAAAAAACCUGUAUUUGAUAGUUGUGGAAUUAAUUUCUUUAUUGACCAAUGAAAAAAAUAAUUAGAUUUAAUCUGAUUAUUUUUUGUAAUUUUUAAGGUGAAAUUGUAAUUUUCGUUUUGGGGGUAAAAUGGUCAUUUUUUAAAGUUUCCGUUAGUUUUCUUAACGGAUUUCAAACGGAAGUGGAAAAGUGAAACAAAAUGUAACUUUAGGUGGAUUCCAGCCAAAAAAUGAAGGAAUUGUGUAUUUUUGAAAAAGGUGUAAAAAACAGGUGGACGGUGGAUAUUUUCCCAUGUUAAAAUUCUUUUGAGGAAAAGAAGACGCUGCAAAUUCUUCAAAGAAAAACACUGUAUUAUGUUUUGCGUGCACGCACUCGCACAACAUAAAGCCAACUCAUUCUAUAAUUAUAGUAAUAAAAUUUAAAAAUUACGGUUUUGAAGUGAUUGUAAAAAUAUUUAUAUAGGUCAGUCCGACCAUUUCUACCCACCAAGAUGGUUGGUUAAUCAUUGAUGUUGUGACACUUGAUAGAGCAGGAAGUACUAUAAAUUUUUAAUAUUAAAUUUUGAUGGUCGUACGUUCGACCCGAUUGCGAUCGCUCAAUAAUACUCACUGGUGAUCCCAUAACGGUACUUAUCGAGAGUAGUACGACUAACAUUUAAAAGUUUUUCUGGAAUUGCGAUGCUCAUGUGCCAACAAAUGCCACAAAACAAUUGGCAAACACGACCAAAUCAGCGGGUGAUGUGGUGGUAUUGGCACCACAGUAAUUAUAUUAUCUCUACCAACGUGUCGCCGCCAGAAUGAAGAGAAUACGAGGAAUACCAACAAAUAUUCUAUCACCCCUGUACAAGCACACACAGAAACACUCCAUUUAUUCCUGUUUUGACUGUUUUGUUGAGAGGGAAGAUGGAGACAACUAAUAUCGAAUAAUCCUCUCUCGCGCAGUCACUCUCAACUGAACAUUUCUCUAUGUACGGACACUUCAAAAGAAAUUGAAAUGUUUCUCAAAUUGGGAGAUUUCGAUGGGAACCGGUGGAGACCUAAACAGCUGUGGGAGCAAGCCUUGAAUCGAUGGAGAUCUGCCUGCGCUGCAGUCAAGAACCGCCGUGGAAGAUUCCGCGUGGUUGUACAAACAAAUAAGCUGCUGUUCUUUGUGUUGUUAUUUAAUCUCUCUGCUUCAGCUUAUGAUAUUCCGUUUCUUUAUGUCUUCUUGGCUGCUUCUUUUUCUUCUUGGUUGCUUGACUUUAAGGCCUCUUUGAAGUUCUACCUCGUUUGGUCUUUCUUUUUCCUCUUGGUCCUGCUUUUGUUCUUUAAUUCUUUUGCUGCCUUGGCUUUUUCGAAUUGAAUUCUUGUUGCUGCUUUUCUCUGCCUUGUUGCCUCCUUGUUGCCCCCCCCCCCCCCGGUCGCCCUCAUAAUCUUGCCCCUUUUAUAGAUAAUUUUGUGCUUAUCUAUUACAGGUGUCAAUACAAGUUACACAUGCCCAACACCUUGACUCUCCAGCACACUAGACUUAUGUUCUUUUAUUGUCCAACACGUUGCCACUUCAGCACACUAGGCUUAUACUUAAUUAAUUCAUUAACAGUUGCCAAUCUCGCCAAGCGUGCGGAGACAAGGGAUAACAAGCUCAAAAUGCAAGUUCUAUUUUACUCGCACUUUCAUUCCUUUAUUAUCUUCUUUUGUUGAAACAAUUUUUGUUUGAACUGAGGGUUAAUCCAACUCUCAUAUUUUCGUUAACUAUAAUGAUAGGCUUACAAAGCUGGAUACAAAGUCUGUAUCCCAGAUGAUGUGACUUUAUCUUGUGUGGUCAUGUGAUGAUUAGUUAUUAAGCCUUAUCACUUCUCAUCCGAAUGGUGAUUUUGUGUUGUUUCUGUUGGGGUACGAACUUUGUGAGUUUUGUUAAAUUGGUGUAAUGUAGAGAGUUUCAGUACCUUAAGAAUUUAAAGGGAGUGUGAACUGAAUUGAUAAAUGGUACAAAAUGAUUUUGACAUUGAAAUUAGUAGACCAAACUCAAGGCUGUCUGUUGUGUUACAGGAAAAAGUAGGAAUUGCGCUUUAUGUUCAAAAAGCUGCAUUGCAGUUGAUUGAUGAUGUGCCAUAAAGUGAAUACGUUGUGACCCACGUUCCAUAUUAUUUUCAAAAAGCUGCACUUAAUUUUACUAGAUCAUAUGACGAUGUGCCAUCAAGUGAAUACUAUGUGAAUGAGCCUGCCAAAGCUAGCAGAUUUCAAGAAUUUGUUGAUGACAUAGGAUCCACCAUUGAAGGCCAUGGUUUAAGGAUAGUCGAGCAUACAAACGCGGUCUUUUCCCGCCAUGUAGGGAAUCCAUUAACUUAUCCUGAAUUGAAGGCAACAUGCUUUGGGGUAUAUCUACAAAGUCAUCUUGUGUUGGAAGCAUCUUCAUCUAUGUGGAAUAUAUUUAGUAAUUCUUGUUCGGGUUCGCAUUGGUAUGACAUAAAUUUCAAUAUUAUAUGUCAUUACGUGAAUAUAUUGUGACCAAGGCUUCCAAAGUUAGAAGAAUUCAAGAUUUUGCUGAUGAUGUAGGAAGAAUUCAAGAUUGUGCUGAUGAUGUAGAAUAUGUUCCACACAAUGAUGAUGAUGAUGAUGAUGAUGAUUCUAAAGGUCAUCCAAUUAGCGUAAAUAUGGAACCGGUUUAUAUUGUUUCUCCGAAUGGGAAAUUUAGAAGAAGAUUGCUUUCAUGGCAAAAUGGUGAGCUUUUGGGAAGUGGGUCAUUUGGAUCUGUGUAUGAAGGCCUCGCUGAGUAAGUGAAAUCUGUUCCUGUGUUGAUAUACUUGCAACUCGUGAACAGGAGUUUUAUUGUUUUGAUUGUAUUUUAAUAUCCAUUUGAUUACAUAGCCUUAUUGAUAUGUACCUGCUGAAAGUUUUUAAUAAGUUAAAAGGAUGUACAAUGUCGGAUUGGAAGGAAGUUUCUAGGAAUUUAUUGAAUACUUUUUCUGCUUUCUGAACGAUUCUACAGGAAAAGUGAUAGACUUAACGAUGAGACCUCAAUGGGUUUUGGGUGUGCUACUUGUAAAUCUACUCGUCUUAUUUCUCAAGAUAAUCAUGCUAGACGAAUUCAAUUUUGUUUUUGAGGCAGGGAAAGUUGAUGAUGAGCUAGAUUGGAUAUUCUUUUCCGUAUUCUUACUUGAAACAAUGGCCUUUUGCAACUAUUUUACCAUUUACUUCUAAAUAUUUUUUAUAUUUUGAGGUGUAUUUUAUUUGUUUUGCUAUGCAUCCAUCUUGAAAGUGGUUAGGAUUAUAUUUAUACGGUCAGAUUAACUUGGCCUUGCUUUACUAUCUUUGAUAUGCAUGUUCAUGUGCACGCAUCCAUGAGCAUAUGCUUAUUUUUUAGCAAUUUCUGUCAUGCUUUCUGGUUUGUUUGUAGUGAUUUAUUCUUUUUUGCUGUGAAGGAGAUUUAUUUGCAGGAUCAAGGAACUCAGGGAAAACAGAGCAUUCUUCAAAUUAAGCAGGUGGUAUGAUUUCUCUAGUCCUGCUGGAAGUCCAGUACGGUACAUAUUGUUCUGUAGUUUUUUCUCUCCUUUAAAUUACAAAUAUGCAGUUGCUUAUUUUUAUUCUGCCUCUAAAUAGCUACAGGAUAAGAUCAUUUUUCUAAUAAUCUGUUUGAUAACCUACAUAUCGACAUGGUUGCUGUGUGGUUUGGUUCUAUAUCCAUUAGGAAUAAUUCUUUUAGAGCUUGUGUCAGUGUUCUUUAUUUUGCAUGCGUCAUUUGUUCGCAGGUGUGGCCAAGCCAGUUGCUAGUACCUUUAAGAAGAGCUUUGACAUGAGAAACACACUGUGUUAGUACAAUGCUAAGCAUCUUUUUUCUGUUGAAUCUGCCUGCCUGGCAAUUCUUGGCACUGAAAACAGAGAUGGUGCAUUCUAGGUGAAUAUGCACAAGGCACAACUGCUCAUGAUGCAAAAUCUGAGAAACUGAGAUGGUGCACACAUUCUUUCAUCGCUCAUCGACCUCCUGCGGACAGACCAGUGGCAUUUAAANNNNNNNNNNNNNNNNNNNNNNNNNNNNNNNNNNNNNNNNNNNNNNNNNNNNNNNNNNNNNNNNNNNNNNNNNNNNNNNNNNNNNNNNNNNNNNNNNNNNUUUACUAUGAGUACGCAUCCUCGGAUGGUAAGAAGAACCAUAGCUGCACCCAGAAUCAUUUACAGAAGCGACUACUUAUGGUGUUGGAAAAUGACUUUCUCUUUGGUCCAGUUGAUUGUUGCUCAUUUCUUUUAUUCUGGCAGAAUUUGCGUGUCAAGAACAAAUUUUAAUACAUCUGUUUUCCCAUUGGUCUUUCAUCUUUGCUAUAAUUGCUGCUGUGUUUACUUUCAAAUACGAUGGGGAAGUUUCUGACUCGUCGGGCCUCGACAGUGCGCUGUUGCCCUAGCUUCUGGUAAUCAGGUAUGAUUGUGAAAACAAUUGUAAUCAUCAAGCUGCACUAGGUGAAUUCGCAUAACUUAUCACCUCUAUGACUAUGAAUUCCUACAAAUAUAAAGAAAACUGCAUGAGACUGUAAGCUUUUGCAAGAUUGUGGAAAGAAGGAAAUAUAAAGAUUAUGAGAUUGCAUUUUGUAAGUCAAUAAUUUAGUCAUAUGAUGUCUAUAAAAGAUUGCUUUAAUAUUUUUUUUGUAUAAUGCUAGGGUGCCUCUGUAGAUUUAGAAAUCCUCUUAUGUAAUAAACGAUUGUUAUAGCAGUAUGGCUAAAUCAGUACAGAUAUCAAAUCUUUGAUAGUUUGCAUCUUUUUAGGUUCAUAUGCUAGAUGCUAUUCGCAAUGAGGAUCUAGAAGCAAACGGCAGCAUGCCUAUGUUGGCAGACUUCCGAUGAUUAAUGAAGAUGAUUCUGAGAAACGAGGUCCACAUGCUUGUUCUUCACUCUGCCUUCUGGCUUGCUUUUUCUCUCAAACUAUUUACACAAACUCCCUUUUCAGUACCAGAAGCUUUAUAUAUGUUAAUAGAUGGGUUUGUGAGUAAUGUAUCGGUGGUUUAUUUUAGGAGUCUCACAAUUUGAUUUUUGUUUCAUGGUUAGGGCCUAGAGGAGGCAUUUGCCCCCAUUUGCUAAUUUGAUUCAGAUUCAAAGUUUUAGUCUUAGGUGUUACAAUUUCAAUUACUUUGUAUUCGAGUCGGAUAAAAAUCUGUAACUUCGAUUAUAACUACUCAAUAUAUACAUGUAUUAUCUUAUCUAUAGAGCUCGUUGAGGGGGUUAAAUGAUGGUGUUAGUCUUUUCGUGUAAAGUUAUUUGAGAUUCCUGAAAUUCAUGAAAUUGUAUUAUGCCAAUUAGAACAAAUGAAACUGCUUUGAUUGGGUCACACAAGAAACUUUUGAUGUGCCAAUUAAUUAUCAUUGGCAUGGUCAAUUGUAUUGGGUAAAGAUACACUAUAUGAUAUGAAUCUUUUUAAAAAGUGAUUUUAUUAUUAUUAUUAUCAUUAUUAUUAUUUAACAUAAGAAUUUUAUUAUUAUUAUUAAUUUUAAAACAUUAUAAUCGGGUAAUUAUAGACCCUUAGAUUUGUAUGUUUUAAUCAUAAUCAUCCAACUUCCUGUUGAUCAAAUUCACUGCAAAAGUAGCUAUUGUUCCUGCUGCAUAGCGGCUUUUUAACCAGAAGUUUUGCAUGCAGCCUCCAGAAACUAGUUCAAAUAAUCAAUUAACAUCACCACGCAAUCAACAGAACAUCCUGCUAGCUAUAUUCUUGUCGCUAGUAGAUGUACAUUGGAUUAUUUCCUUGUGGUUGAAGAUUCAUCGAACCAAAUGGACCCAUAUGUAAUAAAAAAAUUAAUAAAUAACAAAAAAAGCUGGAGCACAAACAGAAAAUUAUAUAUUUUUCUGACAAAAUAAAGAGAUAGAUGGGGUAGUGAAAGAUUGAUUUUUGAUGACUCUUUUUCCACCAUUAGAGAAUAACAGCAACCAAAUUAUGUUUUUCACUUCAAUUAUUAUUAGUAUUAUUAAUAAUUAGGACUUCUUUAUCAACAUAAAUCUUUCGCUCAAAUUCAACAACCAAAGUUGCCGGUGGGUUGUGCUCGGCUAAUCAAAUGCAAUUAGUAUAUUUAGGGUUUAGUCUUAGAUAGAAGUUAAGUACUUGAAAUGUAAUCAUAGAUAACGCAUUUCUUUUCCAAUCUAUAUAAUUCUUGCCAGUGAGUUUGUUUUGAUUCAGAAUAAUAGUAAGUGGGUCAGGGAAGACAUUUUCUGAAAAAUAAAACAUCCAUAUAUAAAUAAUUUGAUAUAAUAUUCACAAUAAAUAAUAAAAAUGCAAAAAACCAUAAAUGUGUUUUAAUUUAUUGUAACGAUAAUCUAGUACCGCUUUGACAAGCUAUCCGUUGGGGAAGUUGUGUCUGCACUUACUAGACCCAAUUAUCCAUUGGAUUAUAUACUUUCAUGUAAAGACAUGAUAAAUAAUUAUCGUUAUCUUUUUGGGCCUAAAUUUGUUAGUAGAGCUUCGUUGGGAAGGUUAAUAACAAAUUUUAAUUGAUUGUAUAACCAUUGUUUCAUUCUAUGUAUCUUCCAUACCAUGCCGCCGCCGUUAGGGUAAUCAACAUAUUGAAAAAUAUGUCAAUCUUAUCUAUAAAGAAGUUCAUCAAAUAAAAUGUCUAAUAUAUAUACCCUCCGUAGGGAGCAUCACCGUAUCAUGAAGUCAAAGUAUAUAUAUAAUUUUAUUAUUGAACUAACAAUGGAGCCCGUGGGAAAAAUUAUCUUGAAUUUUCCCUCUCCCACUCAAUAUUUUAAAAUUGGUUUUUCCUUUUUAGAACAUACAUUGAUUAUAUAUUGUUAAUUGCAUGCUUAUAAUAUUAUCUAGAUGAUAUCCAAUAUUAUUAAGCAUUUGCAAAUUGCAAACAAUAUAAUGAGAUUCAUAAUUUAUGAAUGACAUGUAUCAUUAUGCAUAGAGUGACACUAUUUAUUCUAUAUGACAUGUUAUCAUGGCAUGCUAUCAUCCAAAACAUAACAUAAAGAAAAAUAAUUAAAUAAUCUUAAUUCAUGGCUUUCCUAAAAUGAAAAAUACAUUAAUCCUAAGCCUAAUCUUCAUUAGGUUUCUUGUCAGUGUCCAUUUUCCAUAGGCUUUUCUUUGUUAAUGGAAUAGGGAAAAUUGGACUUUUAAAUUUAUUAUUGGUCCAAUUUUAAUUUUGAAAGAAAAUAAAUAUUUUUUUUAAAAUAAAACUUUUGGACCAAAAAUAGAUUUAAUGUGUUAAACUUUAUCUAUGCAUUUUAAUCCAUUAAGCCCAAUUUCAAUUGGACCUAAAACUAUGAUUCAUUAAGUCCAAAAUUAUUUUUGAACUUAAAUGCAGAAAAUUAAAACUUGUCUGCCCAAAAAAUAAAACUAUGAAACUAUAGGGACUUCAACAAUAUAAAUCAUUGAAAAACCCUAAAAUCCAUAUUUUUCUUCCCAGCCGCCAUCACCACAAAGACCAGCCACUGUUCAGAUGCCUCACCCUUCUCUAACAUCGAGUUAACCGCUGCCACACCGGAAAGCUACCAAGAUGCCGUCUGCUUCGAGCAUGCGACCAGCCCACGCAUGCAUUACUGGCAGCGUUGCUUACAGCACGCGCUACUGGGCAUGCACUGUUUGGUGGCUGCCGCUGAAAUUUUCGGCCUUCGUUUCUUGAUUUCCUCAUGUCGUGAUUAUUCUCCAGUGAUUUACAAAUAUCUUAAGCCAAUUUUUGGCUUACAAAAUUUCUAUAACAGUAAAUUAAAUCAAGAGGGAAACAUGGUGAUAAAAAACCACCCCUCUUGUUAUAGAUCCAAAGAAAGAAAUACAACAGAGAAUCUAACCAUGAAUUAAGACAAACCAAAAGCAUGCUUUAUUCAUAUAUUAAACAAAUAAUAGUUAUCUAAAUAAAUCGUGCCACUCUAAUACAUAAAUGUCAAGAUUGAUUUCAUAUGAAAUUUUUAUGUAUUAAUAUGAGAUGGCUCUGAUACUAAUUGUUAGGGAAAAUUAGUUUUUUUUUUUAAAAUUUUAUACAAACUUUUAGGACAGAUCUCAUAUAGUAGAUAAGAGUUCGUAAUCUAGAAAAUGAUACCUUGAUAAUCCGACUUUGCUUUUUCACUGAAAUAAUCUAGGCGCCUAGAUCAUGAUUCAUCACCACCACUCCUUGUUAAAUCACGAUCCACCACCUAUGAUCUUCCAGGUUAUAACUCAAGUUUGAUCUGCACUUGACGUGUGGGCGCCUUUAUCAUCACUAAAAGCAACUAGCAAGAGAAACUAUUCCUUUCAAAAUUGGAGAGAAAAAUUCUUUUUCCUCUAAUCUGUAUAUUGUGGCUUCUGUAUCUUUUUUUUUUUUUUAAAGAAAACAAACCCUUUUAUAUCUCUAUUUGGUGGAAACCCUAGGCUCCAUAUUAAUAUAUCUUUUAAGUCUAUUAAAUCAAAUUUGAUUUAAAUUAAAAAAUAAUAAAACCAAAAGUGGCAUUACUUGUUCUUUAUUAUAGGGGCUCACCUUGUAAAAUAACACAAAACCCCUUACACAUAAACAUAUUAAAUAGAGCCUCUCACUAAAUAAUAUAUUUAGGCUUUUAACCCAAAUAGCUAGUUAUCUUGCUUAUUAAUCUAGCAGUGGUGCAAUCAAUUAAAUCUACCCAGGGAUCAUAUUGGUACAUACAAUAGUGGCUAUAAUAAUUAGGCAUGUAAUUAAAUUAUCCCAAUUAUUUAAUUCCAAAUCUACUCCACUAAAAGAUUGGAACUUACCUCCAAACUUUUAUGUUAUCAAAGAUAGUGUUCUCGAAUAAUAAUUCAACCCAUGCCGCAUUGAUUUCUUUACUAUACAAUUCUUUGUAUCACAUCGUUAAUUAAAUCAAUAUCUUAACUGUCCAAUCAAUUUAAUUACAUCUUGUUCCUUGAUACUUACUGGUUCCCUCUAAUAAUCAUUUUCAAUAUACUAAAUAUGUUGACACACUCUGGUAAGAGAAUUCUAUGAUCAAGUGCCGAAAACUUAUCAAGAGACGUGUCGUACAAAUUCUAUGUUGUUAAUUUAUAACUUCAAUACUCAUAAUUGCUCCCACCAAGAUAAUGAGUAAUCUUGACUACAAGUGUAUGUCGUGCCCAUUGGUAACUCAAAUGGAAUAACAAUUACAAUCAUGAAAUUAUAACUAACUGAAGAUUAAGAUUACAUUAAAAUAAAUGCUUAUGAGAUUUAAUACAUCUGACAGUUAUUACAAAGUUAAGAGAAAUAGAUUUACUAGAAGAAUAAGAAAUUGAUCUAAAUAGUCAACCUACUCUUAUUAAGGGAAAUACUACAAAAUCCAUAGAAUAUGCUCCAGAGGGAAGAAUCAUCAUAGGAAAUAAAAGAUCAUUCUCUAUUCCUAAACGAGAAUCGGAAUUAAGUAGAACCCAAAGUUUUACUAGAUGUAGUCAUCUUGUGAUACCACCUUCACAUAAAAUAUUAACUACAGUAAGAAAAAAUAACCAAAAUCUAAAAAUUAAGAUUGAAUACAAUAAUGGAAAAUCUUGGCAUGAGACUUUUGUUAUUCCUGAUACAGGAGCCUCAAAAAUCUUACGUAGAUGCCAAAAUGAUCAAAUAUUUAGAAAGAAAAGUUCUAAUUUAACCUCAUAUUUAUAUAGGAUUUACUGGAGAAAGAAAAACGUUAAGUCAAUAUUGUGAUAUACCAUUAAAAUUAAAAGGAAUAGAAUUCAUCUUUCCUUUCUUCAUAGAACCAGAUUAUAAAAUAGAAGUAAGUCCUUUGUUAUUAGGGAUGAACUUUCUUGAGAAUUUAUCACCUUAUUGCAUAGGAGAUAGAGAAAUAAGCAUAACAAUUGAAGGAAUUUAACAAACCCUAUUAAGAUAUGUCUAAUCCUUUUAUAGUUUAUAUAAAAGUGAUUGUACCAUAUUAUAAGCAUAAACCAGAAUGGUUCCAUGCUUUAAUAGAUACUGGUUCAGGAGUUAGUUUAGCCAACUCCAGGAUUUAUCCAAAAUCAUAUUGGAAAGAUUAUAAACCUUUAAUAGUGCAAGGAAUAAAUGGUGAAUAGAUCACUUUAGGAACAUGUAGGAUUAAGACUUUAAUCCAAAUUGAAGAUUACAUCUUAAGUAUCCCUAUAUUAUAGUCUUAUAAUCAUAUGGGAGUAGAUAAACUUUUAGGAGUUAAUUUUCUUCGAUAGUUCAUUUAUAUAAUGACUAAUGAAGCAAUUACACUUAAAACACCAUGUAAUCAUUCUAUUACUGCCCCUAGGAUUUAUAGCCCGAUUAGGCGAACAACUCGAAAAUUACAUUUUCGAAGCAGCUAGCGUGGUGAAUAUAAUAUAAAAUUUAAUCAAAUCAUAUCAUAUUAUGAAAAAAUCUUAGAAAAACUUGAUAAAAAUUUUGGUGAAAACCCAAUUCAAUUAUGGGAAAUAGCUAAAACAUAUGCUAAAAUAGAAUUAAAAGAUCCAAAUGUUAUUAUAAGAGUCAAACCUAUGAGGUAUGGACAAGAAGAUAGACAAGAAUUUGAUAAACAAAUUAAAGAGUUAUUAGAACUCAAGAUAAUUCGAGAAUCUAAAAGUCCUCAUAGUAGUCCAGCCUUUAUAGUUAGAAAUCAUGCAGAAAUCAAAUAAGGAAAAGCUUGUAUGGAUAUUAAUUAUAAAGAAUUAAAUAAAUAUACCAAAUUUGAUGGAUACUUUUUACCUCACAAAGAUACAUUAAUUAUUUUUGUGAUCAAUAAACAGAUGUUUAGUAAGUUUGAUUACAAAUAAGGAUUUUGGCAAAUCAAACUUGAAGAAGAAAUUAUACCACUUACUGCCUUUAGUACACCUCAAGGAUAAUAUGAAUGGAUUAUAAUGCCUUUUGGAUUAAAAAAUGCACUACAAAUAUUUCAAAGAAGGAUGGAUAAAAUCUUUAAAGAAUUUCAUGAAUUCUGCAUAGUUUAUGUAGAUCACAUACUAAUAUUCUCAUAUAAUAAGAUAGACCAUAUUAAUUAUCUCGUUUCUUUUGCAGAAAAAUGUAAGAAACAUGGAAUAUUACUUUCUAAAAAGAAAGCUGAAAUAAUAAAACCCAGAAUAGAAUUUCUAGCAUUAAUAAUAGAUGAAACAGGAAUAGAAAUGCAACCUCAUAUUUCUGAAAAAAAUAUAUUUAUUUCCAAAUAAAUUAGAAUCUAAAGAACAAAUUCAAAGAUUUUUAGGAUGUCUUAAUUAUGCUGAAGGUUUCAUAGAAAACUUAGCUAAAGAAAGACAACCCUUACAAGGAUUAUUGAAAAGGAAUAAUACAAUAUCAUAGGAAGAACUCUAUACCAAAGUAGUAAAAAGAUUAAAAGAAAAAUGUAAAAAUCUUCCAAGGUUAGGAUUCCCUACCUCUAGUGAUAAUUUAAUUCUUAAAACAGCUGCUUUAGAUAAUCACUGGGGUGUAAUAGAUCAAGAAAAGAUUUUUAGAAAUGCCAGUGGAACAUUCAAACCCGCAGAAAAGAAUUAUCAUAGUAAUGAAAAGGAAUUAUUAGCUAUUAAAAACGGUAGCUAAAUUUACCUUCUUUUUAUUACUAAAGAAAUUCAAGGUAAGAUCUGAUAACAAUCAGGUAAAAAGAUUUAUAUUUAAUAAAUUACCUAAUCUCCCCCAAUAUAAAAGAUUAAUUAGAUGGCAACAGUUUUUUGCUGGAUAUGAUUUUGAAAUUUAAUAUAUUAAAGGAUCUAACAAUUGUAUUGCAGAUUUUCUUAGCCGAGAAUACAAUGGAGAAGAGUCUUUCCAAAAUAAUUAAGGGCAUAAUGAUGUGCUCUGAAGGAUAAGAAUUGCUUCUCAAAGGCAACAAUAUGAUUUAUGAUGGGCUUGCCAUGAUUGAUGAUGCCCAUGAAGAAUUGAGCAAACUUUGCCUAGACAAAAGUUUGCAAAAUCAUCUAAAAUCAAGACUUCAGAACAAUAUCUUAGCAACAUGCUAAAAAAGGUCCUUUACAAGGAUCAAACUGAGGGACAGAUCGCCUAGAGUUCUUCACAGAACUCAAAGAUGACUCAUCUAGAGAACUUUCCCACAAUCAAGGAUCUUAAAGAACAAUAUGUGAAGAAAGAAGAAUUACAAGGGUCUAUAGUAAACUUAAGGCCCAAAUAUGAUAAAAGCGGACAAUCUGUUCCUAUGGUUAAAAUUUCAUUAGGAAGUGACUACGCUUAUGAUUAUAAAAGAAUUGGUAAAAUAGCCUAUGGCAUUCGUCCUAGCCAGGUUAUAAUACCAGAUCAUUUAAGGUUAUACUUAAGGAUAAACUUUAUACCAAGAGCUUAUCCAAAAUUGAUAAAGGACAUGUUUGAUUAUGGUUUUCUUAACCUUGUAUAUGUUAGUGAUGAUUGUAGGGAAAUAAAAGAACUCCCAGAAAAAAAUUACAGAGGCUGCCAAUGACCUCAAAAGGAUAUCCAAAACAAAAGAAAUGAUUUUUGUCAAGAUCCUCAUUGCUUGUCCUGAAUACUGUGGAAACAAGUGGUAUCCAGCUCAACACAUGAUUCAAGUUGGAAUUAGCAGCAAAAAAGUUAGUCCAACUAUUUGUCUAGAUCAAGUCUACAAUGAUUAUGAUCCUAAAUUAUUCGAGCCUAAAGCACUCACCAGCAAAAGGCCUAUAGGAAUGAAAGUCCUCUAUGAAUCUCUUGAGAGGAUAAGUAAAGAAAAAAUAUGGCUCCACGAAGCCACAAGCCACAAAAGAGCAUAUAAUCUUUUCUAUGAGUAGAAAAGAUAACAUUUUAUUCAGACAAGCCAAAUCAAAAAAGGAAAAAGCAAUAUAUUAAAAUCUCGUGGAAUCCAGCUUGCCGACAUAACACGAGAUAUGCAAGGUGCUAAAGCAUCAGUCAUCAUAUGGCUACUGCUAUGAAGGAUCAAAAAGGGAAUCUAAUGGGGAAGACAUAUAGCUAGAUGAAGAUAUGGUAAUUGGCAUGUGACGAGAACCACCAGAAAAGAUAAAAGAUGCUAUCCAAAUAGCGUCAAUAAUUCAUAAAGCAAGAUUCCAAAAAGAUAAAGGCUUUCUACCACGAAGAAAAGAGGACAACCAUUGUCUUCAAUUAUAGAAGGAGGAGGGGUCACCUUAUCAAGAGGAAAUCCAUGAUCCACCAGAAAAAUCAAACAAGUGUCAUGUAAAAGAGAACCUUAUCUCUUUAGAAUUAUAAAUAGAAUCAUAAAAGAAGGGAAGGACAUCACUUGUUCAUCACAUGUCCAACUUUCACCCUCUGUUGUAUAUUCUUUAUAACCAAUCCCUGUAAACAAUUCCAUGUUAACAUUUAUAUAUUCAUAAUGUUGAUUUUUGAUGAUAACAAACAAAAUUAAGAAUGAUUCAGUUUUUAAAAGCUCAAAUUAUUUUUAUACAUUUUAAAUAAAUCAUUAUUUUCACAUUUUAAAGGUUUUAUAUUUAAUGGAAAAAUGAUUUUAUGAAAUUAUUUGUUUUUCAGGUUUAUGGUUUAAUUGAAAGAGUUUUGAAAACUUUGAAAUCAACAAGUAUUGCUUGAAAUUUUGGAGAAGGAUUUAUUUGAAAAGUAUUCAUAGCAUUUUGGGCUAUAUCAUAAUUUCAGAAAGUUUUGAGAAUAGUAAGCAUUAUUUAGAAAUUCUGAAAUUGGACUUAUUUGCUAAAUGUAUAAUGUUUUGGGUUAUAGUACAGUUAUAUAAAGUUUUGGGGUCAAACUAUUAUUUUAUAAAAUAGUUCACUGUAGUAGUAACUGUAGCAGUUACUGUAGAAAACGGCGAUCUGACAAUUUUGAUAAACGGCUCGCCGAUAUCGAACAUAACUAAAGAUUAGCCUCUGGACCUAAAGGGCAAUCCGACAUCUAGAUAACGGCGAUCCGACAAUUUAAAAAUUCAGCCCAACGGUCAUAUUGACCAGUCAAACAACGAUCCGACAUCUAGUUAACGGCGAUCCGACAGUGAGCAAAAAAUCAAUAAUGGCUAGUUUUCAGCUCCAACUAUAAAUAAACUCAAUCUAAUUCAAACAAAGACAAAUCCAAGAGUUAUCAUUGAGUUUUCUAUUGAGCAUAAAACUAUUAUUGAGCUUUGAACUUGUUUCUAUUUCUUUGAUUCACACAUUGGGUAUUCAUUUGUAAUCAAACACAUUGUGUGAGAGAAAAUUCAUUUGUAAUAUUUAUCCUUGAGAGGUUGUAAGUGUUGAAAUACACUUGGAUUAAGAGAUUGAGGAUAAUCUCUUGUUGUAAAGGUCCAUUGUGUUUGCUUGUUUUUCUUUUGUUUCUUUGUGUGUUUCUCCUUGGGUGACGGCUCUCUUCCAUUCCUUAUGAUGUGUGCUUCUUUUAUAGUUGAAAAUUAGGGUAAACGAAAGCCUAAGUCGCGCAUAAGUCAGAUUAGGAAACUGCAGAUCCCAAGUCUGCAGUUAUCCCGCACAAAAUUUUCUCUGUCGUUGUUCCAGGAUUGCUACAGCAAUGGUUGCUACAACAAUAUCUACAGCAAUUGCACUGUUCCAGAUUUGUUUCAACUCUUUUGUAGCCAUGUUCUUUUCUUAUUUUUUGCAAGCCUAUUGCAUAGCAUUCCUUCCAUGAAUUAUAAGCUUCUGGAAACCUACAAUUAUGCACACAAUUUAAGCACAAAUUACUUUAAAUCGAGCAAAACUUAUUAAGAUUGACUAAAAUGAUUAUUUAUGCAAAAUGUAACAAAAAUGCAAUAGAAACACAUAAUUUACUCUCUAAGUAGUAUUGAUUUAAAUCUAAAAGUGCCAUGAUAACUCUCAUUUCAUAGAGUUAUCACCGAUAUCGAACAGAACUGAAGAUUAGCCUCUGGACCUAAACGACGAUCUGACAUCUAGAUAACGACGAUCCGAAAAUUUGAAAAUUCAGCCCAACGGUCAUAUUGACCAGUCAAUUGGUGAUCCGACAUCUAGUUAACGGCGAUCCGACAGUGAGUAGAAAAUCAAUAACUGCUAGUUUUCAGCUCCAACUAUAAAUAAGCUCAAUCUAAUUCAAACAAAGAUAGAUCCACGAGUUAUCAUUGAGCUUGCUAUUGAGCAUAAAACUAUUAUUGAGCUUUGAACUUAUUUUUGUUUCUUUGAUUCACCCAUUGAGUAUUCAUUUGUAAUCAAACACAUUGUGUGAGAGAAAAUUCAUUUAUAAUAUUUAUCCUUGAGAGGUUGUAAGUGUUGAGAUACACUUGGGUUAAGAGAUUGGGGAUAAUCUCUUGUUGUAAAGGUCCAUUGACACCUUGGAAGUCAAUCGUAAGCGUUUGAAGCCUUGGGAGGCUAGCUUAGUGAAAUCCUCAAGCCCGGUGAGCUUGGAGGCGUGGAUGUAGGCGGGGGUUGCCGAACCACGUAAAAAUCAUUGUGUUUGCUCUCUCUUCCCUUAUCUUUUUAUAUUGUGAUUGAUUUAUUUGUUAUUGCUUUAAAUUAGUUUUGGAUUUGCAUUGAGUUUUGUUUUAAAAUUGAAUAAUUUUUAAUAUCCCCAUUCACCCCCCUUGGGUUGCCUAGUUAAUAUUUCAUUCCAGUUAUGAAAUAAAUAAAACCCUUUUGAGUGAAAUUAUCAUCUUCCAGAUAUCUUAUAUACUUUUAGAAAAUAAUGAAGAAUCUUACAUGCGAAUACUUGUGCUAUCAUGUUAGGCCAAUUUGCUAUGUGUUGCGUUAGUCCGUGUGGAACAGUCGCUGAAGUGAUCUUGUAUGAUGUGUGGAGCUAUGGCAGUGCUAACCAUGGACCUCUCCAUGGUUGGAGGCAAUUAAUGAAUCUAUCUUAGAAUUCCGAGGGAUAGUACAUUGGUUAGUAAUCUUGAACUCUUCUUUCAUUUUAGCAACAAACGAAAGCCUGUUGGGCCUUGUUUGUUUUAUGAGAUGUUAUAAGAAAGGAAGUGAUAAAAGUAACUCACUUUCAUAAAAAUGGAAAGAUUUGUUAAUAAAUUUCUAGAUGCAAUUGAUCAUUUAGACUUUUGUCAAGGAUACCAGGUUGCUUAUACAAUUUCGAUAAUAAAAACUAGAUUAAAUACAAGUAAAUGUUUUUAUGAAGAAAUGAAAAGAAUUAAUGAUCCAUAAAUAUUUGAUUCAUUUGAAGAAAACAAGAUAACAUUAAUAGAAUCAAUUCUAUCUUGUCUUGAAGUAAUCCAAGACAGGUGUAAGACUAAUAAUAGAACUCAAAAUCGAGUGUAAUGGAUAAUAAUAAUAAUAUGGAAAUAUUGAUUCAAGAUGCAAAUCUCAAUUUACAAUUUAUAUUUGAUAGUUUUGAUAGGAUAUAUCUAAGUUGGGAAGAUAGCUUAGGAAUAUAUAUAGAUAUGUUAGAAGAAAAGAUUUGGUCUAUGUCUCAAAAGAGACAAAUGAUUAUAAAUACAGGAAUUAAUUCACACAUAGAUCUCUAUGAACGAGAUAAUCAUUUAACACUUUAUAAAGAUAUAGUUAAAACAUUAAAGAAAUUUGAGGAUAGAUGCAGAAGAGAUUGAAGGAGAAAUGCUCCAAUCAAUCAAAAUUAAUAAGAUCUAUAAAUUCUAAAAUAGGAUAAAAUUUUGAAAUAAUUUGCAAAAUGGUCCUUUUUGUACAAAUUUAUGUAAGAAUAUCAUUAUUGAAGGUGAAAACAAACAAGAUUCUAAUAUUUCAGCCACUAAAGUUGCCUCCUUCAAUCGAUUCUUCCAAGUGUCAUUUUGGUUUUGGGGGUUUAAAUUUGUCAAUUAUAUACAUUCUUUUUUUAUCACAAGCAUAAACUAGCAUAUGACAAUCUAACUUCUAUAUCUAAAGUUGCAAUUUCAAUUUUGUCAAUGGAAUAACUAAACCUUUAAGAGUCAUAUAAAUGUCAUUUCAAUUUUGGUUGCUUCUAAUUUCAAAGUUUAUCACUACGUGGAUUUUAGUUACUAAUUAGCAUCACAAAUACUCUGUUUUGUACUUUAAACAUAUCUAUUAGCUACGUCUAUCGCCACAUGUAAUCAUCGCUAGAUUAUCAAGUAAUAAUAACAAUUAAAGCAAUCGCCUUCCAACUUUUGGAAAUAUCGGCAAAAAUCGUUGUACAAGAGCAUAGAGAUGGCAUACAAUUAUAUUAUAAUGAAACUUUAAUAAAUUUAAAAUGUUCUAGUUUCAAAAGACAUCUUGGACUAACUUCUGUUAUCGUUUCAUUCUUAUACCUUUAUUUAUUUUUUUCAUUGCUUUACUUCUAGAUUAAUUGGCCUUGGAACUUUGGGUAUUGUUAUAAAAGCUCAAAUGAGCUUAAUCUCUUUGUUUGGAAGCUGAGAAAAUGAAAAGGAAUAUUUUGGAUCUUUGAUUUUUGUUUCCUGCAUAAAAAUGAUAAUUACAUCCGUAUUUAUACUAAGCUAAUUACACAAGAAAGAAUUACAACGUAAGCUUAACAAGCUAAAAUAGAAUGCAGAGCAUGUAUAACUAUAUUCAUUUAGCUAGCAUAUACAAGUAGCUAACACUGCUGACUAGGCUAAACCAACGCGUGCUGAGUGUGCAAUUAUAUACAACAUGUGUUUCCUUUUAUAGCCCCCUCAAGCUCAAGAGGCAUGACGCACAUUGAGUUUGGCUCUAAAACAGUUGGAAUAAUAUACUCUUUACUUAGAAUGUAGUUAAUUUUCAACUCUUUUGCCAACACUUUGUCUCUAAUGAAAUGCAUAUCUAAUUCAAUAUGCUUAGUUAUUGAAUGGUAAAUAGAGCUCUUAGCUAGCUUUAUUGCAUUCAUAUUAUUACACCACAUUGUAGGCAAUAAAGUACAAUUAAUCUUGAGUUCACUGAACAAUGACUGAAGCUAUGUUACACUUAUUUCAGAACUUGUAGAAGCAAGAGCUCUUUAUUCACUUUCUACGCUACAACUUGUAACGUAAGAUUACUUCUUAGAUGACCAGGAUAUCAGGUUGUUUCCCAACUAAAUCCAAUAUUCACCUAUUAACUUUCUAUCAUCAAUGUCACAUGCCCAAUCUAUGUCCAUAUAACCUAUAAGCUUUAUUUUUCCUCCAACUGAGAAUUUCAACCUAUAAUGUUGAAUAUCCUUCAAAUAUCUAAGAGCUCUUUUAUAGGCCAUUACUUCUCCAAUUUUCUAAUAUUAUGGCCUAUAAUUAAUAUAUCAACAUGACAGCAUAGAUUAAGACCAAUAUCAUUGAGCCUUGUAUCUCUUGAAAAAAGAGAAGUAUCUACUUUAGGAUUUUGAAAUCCCCAAUUAGCAACCAAACAAGUCUUUAGCUUAUCAUAACCAGCCCUAGGAGCUUAUUUCAAUCCAUGCAAUGCUUUCUUUAACUUACACACAUAAUUGGAUUUCUGUAAAUCAACAAAUCUCUUAAGUUGAUACAUGUAAACAUCCUUUAUUAAUUUUCCAUUCAAAAAAGCAUUAUUCACAUCAACUUGUCUUAUUAUCCACCUGUUCAUUAUAGCCCAACUCAACAUAACCUUAGUGUUGAAGCUUUCACAACAUGACUAAAUGUUUCAAAGUAAUUCACACAUUCAGUCUGCUGAAAGCCCUUUACUACUAGCCUAGAUGUUUUGCUUAAUUCUGAAUACUCACUUGUUAUCAACAACUUUGUGUUCAACUAAAGGUGGCACCAAUGACAAUGUCUCACUCCUCGUUAAUGCUUCGUAUUAAUCUCUCAUAGCUUAAUGACAGUUCUAAUCCUUUAGAGUAUUUUUUUUUACUAUAUUAGGUUCUUUGUUGGUUAAAAUGGCUAUAUGAAUCUUUGGUUUUCAAAUUCUAGCCUUUGAUCUUGUAAUCAUUUUGUGAGAGAGUUGUGGAGGUAAGGUUAAAGUUGGAUUUUGAUUUGUAUGUUAUUGGUGGCUAAUUAUGCUUCAAUUGAAGACUGAGUUUGUCCUGGAUUUGUAAGAGGUUUAUAAGAUGGAGAUGAAUGAUGGCUGUCGAAGCCAGCAAAAAUAAAUACAUACUCUAAAUAAAUUGUGUAUAGUGAUUGAGCAGGGUCGUGUCCACAAAGAUCGGUAAUUAUUUAAAUCCUUUUAAAUUGUAAAAUGCAAAAUGGGGGGGAUUGUUGACAAUAAUAAAAAUCAAAUUAAAAUAACAAGAAUGCAAAUUAAAAUUGUAAUUCAAAUUGGUAAAAGCUCUGGUUGAAGGAAUUAAUUCAGCUUGAUUCGACUACUGAUCAUGGAUUCAAAUAUAAAUUAUUUCUACUUAUGAAUAGACCGGUUAUAGCUAAUGAGACCCUCUAAUAGCCAAUAUCUCCUUAACUAGUCGAUAACCAAAGUACGACCAUUGGUUAUUUCCCUAAUCAAUAGACAACCCUAGAUAAGAUCAUAGGAUUUAAUCAAUUAACAACCUGAAAAACUAGAGAGACCCAAAUCCUAAUCAACAAAUGCAUAUGAUGGUUAAUUUAAAUUAGAUUGUUUAUUCUCAUAACACAACACACUGCUAUGCUAUUUGUCACAAACAUUAAAAUCUUCAUACAAUAAAUCUUUUAAUUGACAAUAGAUUAAGUUGAUAAUUAAAUAGUGGCUAAUUAUCUAAUUAACAAACAUAAUCAUGACAAUAAUUUAGAGAAUAAACAAAUACCUAAAAAGCAAUAAAACAAUUAAAGCAUAAGAAAGAUCUCACAGUAUUGAUGAAUCAAAGCUUUAUUAACCUUCAACCAGAAUAAUAGGUUUAGUUCUUCAUAGAAAGAAGAGAAAAAUUUAGAUCUAGGCUUUCUUUUUCUUUCUUUCUUUGACAAUAGAUUCCUCUCUUCAAUUCUCUUCCCUCCCUUCUCCUCUAGAGUUCUUUUUAAAAUAAAAUACUAAUAUUUAAAAUAUUAUCUAAAUAUUAAAUUCGUAAUUACAAAAAUAACCAAAAAGACAAAACACAUUAAAAUAAAAAUUGCAGGUCCUUAGUUGACAGCACGCGCCCACGCCUUAUGAACAAAGUUCUUCUGAAGCUUAUAAUUUCUCCAGGAAAACAAUCAUCCUCAAACAUCAUCUUGUAGCUCAAUUUUAGCACCAAUCAAUAGAAUUGAACCUGCAAAAAUAAAACACAAGUAAAUCACUAUUAUUAAGUGCCAAACAUCGAUAUUAAAGGAAGUAAACAAUGCAAAACUAGUGCAUAAAUUGCACUCUAACAAAUUCCCCCACAUCAAGAUAAUGCUUGUUCUCAAGCAUAUAACUCUAGACUAAUCCCAAAUCUCCACUCAAUUCUCAUCUCAACUCAUCCAAAAACAAUCUUAAGCAAGCAUACCUCAAGAAUUUAAGUCAAUCAACAUUCGAGAGAUAAGGAUUUUAAAGCAUAGAAUCUCAUAAGCUAGAAUAAAAACAUUCAACCACCAAGAAGAUCCAUUCAAAAUUCAAGUGCAACAAGAUUUAAUAGCCCUCUCAUUGACUUCACUCCAUGCACUCAAAGUGUUUAGGGUAUCAUUUAUGCACUCAAAUCAAAUCAAAGAAUGCUAUUACUAUAAGCUUGCUCAUAUAUCACAUCUCAAUCCACAAAAAAUGAAUUAAAUGCAAAAAUCUAAGGGUCUUAGAAAGGUUGUAACAGGGUUAAAUGGAUUAAAUGAAAAAAAAAAGGUCUAUGAAAGAAAAAGAGAUCAAAAUGAGAAGAAUGAACUCAUUGAAUGAACCUUAUGAUAUCAAAACGCUUAUUUCUACUCAAGUCGCCAAGAAUGUAAACAUUUUUUUUUCUCUUUUCUUUUUUUUUUUUGAUUUUUUUGUUGUUUUUUUUUUGUUUUUUGUUUUAAUCAAACAAAAGAAAUGAACCUUCCACAAUUUAAUUCAAGCAUAAUGCUUGUUGAUCUAAUUGAGAAACUUUAAUUCAAGGUAGCAAGAGAAACAAAAUAUAUACAAAAUAUAUCCAAACAAUUGAGUCCAAAAAUCUCCUUAAAUUGAGGCUCAAAAAGAAGGAAAAUGGGUAAGUAGAUGGAGAAAAUUAGAUGGGUAAUGGUUAAGGCUCAAACAAAGAUAACAAAUAAAGGUCUUCGGGUGGAGAAAAAGAAGAAAAAUGCGAAAAUAGAAAAAUGAAAAGUGGUUUGCCCUUAUCAUUUUAAUGCAUAAAAUCUCAUAAUGCGGCUUCAACAUGCAUAACAAAGCAAGUUCUAAAAUAUACAAACUAAGAUUUAUAUUCACAUAACAAAAAUAAUUAGAGCAAAGUGGUUGCUCAUAGGCUCAAAUCCUCACAAAGUUGGUAAAUUUGCCAUCAAAUCAUUUACACUCUUUAAAUGAAUCAACCAUCAAUAGUGGUGUAGAAUGAGAAGAAGGUAUGAGUGAUAUAUAAAAGGAAAGGUAAAAAGGAUAAGAAGCGAGAAAGAUUUAUGUAGUAAGAUAAAAAGUGAAAGAUAAAAUGUGAGUGAUGAAAGAGUAUGAUAGAAUAAAAAUAGAUGUAAAUAAUUUGAGAUAGAUGGGAAAAGAGUAGUGAGAAAGAAAAGAAAAGAAAAUAUAUGAAGCAUACUAACUCCAAAAUCAUUUAAGGAUGAGCAGAGUGAAAAUAUUACUUCUAGACAUCAAUAUUGCAAAAAUCCCUCCCCCACACCAAGAACUUACAUUGUCCCCAAUGUAAGAUAAUCAAAGUUCACUUAAAAAAAAAUAAAGCAUAACGAUAAAAGACUAAAGGAAAAACUUUCCUGAAUUGUGAGCUUUGAUCCACAUAACGUCUAUGGGCUUAGCGGAAAUGGUGGGAUAAAUCCCACACUCUCGAAGUAUGCGGUAAAAUUCUGCUCCAUCUUGUUCAACUUGUGUUCCAUUUUCUCUAACUGAAUGCUCAAAGGUGUUGCAGAUGCAGAAGGAAUAGUUGGUGGGGCAGCAAUUUCGUCAUCAAACUCGUCAUCAGAGGUAGCACCACUUCUAGCAUAAAGCUUCUUUGGAAGUUGAGUGGGUCCUAGUUCAGUAAAUUGAAAUCUUCCCUCCUUGAAUUCGACCACACCUGUUCUUUCAAAGACACACAUAUCCAAAAAUUCCUUUUUGCAAGCAGGAUGCAAAUCAUUAUUGUCAGGAUCAAGCACACAUAAGUUUAUAGCUAACAGAGUAAUGUAUGGACCAAGAAAUAAAGUCAUCUACCGUUUAACACACUCUGAAAUUGAUCUGCUAACCAAAAACCUAAAUUAGGCCUCACAUCAUUUAACAUGCACCAGAUAAAAUAAAACUCAGUUUUAGAGAAAACUCCCUAGUGAUUUUUUUUCCUAAAAAAUUAUAUGCUAAGAACCGAUGCACACAUUUCAAAACAGGAUCACGUAAGAAAGAGCUCUUUGAUUUACUCGGGUCAUAGGCAUUGUGAUCAAAAGAUAAAUUACGCCAAAGACCAUAAGGCUCAAAAUUUUCGCUAAAGGCACAAGUUGUCCCAAAAUAUGCAUCACUAGAAGAAUAAUCAUCAUCAAUGAAUCCUAAAGCUAUGUUAAAAUCUGUGAUAGAUUGUGAAAAAUUUUGUCCCAUUAACCUAAACUUUAUAACAUCCGGAGUAUGAAAAGUAAAAUCAUUCGGUAUAUUAAAUUGAAAAAUAGCAUAGAACUCCCUAAUCAACUCAACAUAUCCCAAACAAUCAAUAUCAACAAAUUUACGCAAACCAAUCUUAUCGAUCAAAGAAUUAAAAUUAUCCUUAACAUUUAAUUUUUCAAGAGUCGGGUAAUGAAUGUACUUAACUGGAAGUAUUUUUCGCUUGGAAAUAUCUUUGUACCUUUCUUUCUCUAGUUGAGUCGUGAAUGUGAGGCACUCUCCGAGAUUGGAUUCAGCAAGUGGCAAAACACUCAUGCUUUUUCCAUGUUUCGAUCUUUGUCUCACGGCUUGGCGUGAAUCUGAAACUGUGCUCCAUGGAACCGUAGUGGGAGCGGCAAUCUUGGAUUUCUUUGCGACGCGUUUCUUUUUAGACGUUGAUGACUUGGAAGUUGAUGCUUUUCUCUUCGGCAUUGUUACAAUAAUUUCACUCACGGGCAAUGAUUCACGCGGCUAGAAUGCUGGGCGUGGACUGCUUGCCAAUGCGGCUGGGAUUUGGGAUGCACGACUGCUGGUGAUUGUAGGCACGCGACUGUUGGUUGUUGGAUACGUGGGCUGGAGACGCGGGCUGCUACGCGCGGGCUGGUUGGUGAGCGCGGCUGCUGCUCUGGUGUUGUGCUGCUGGUUGCACGCGCGGGACGGAGCUGGAGAAUUUUUUAUUUUCGAAUUUUUUUUUACUAAAAGCUAAAAGAGACACUUAAGACACCAAAAAAAAUUUACAGAAGUAUUUUUUUAAUAAACAUAUGGGCACGCUUAACCAAAAAUUUUCUUCUGGCCAAAAUAAGCAAAAACAUUAUUUAAACAAUCUGAAUCAAAAUUAAAAACAAAAGAUAUAACAAAAAUCAAAAUAAAUAAAUCCUUUGGGUUGCCUCCCAAAAAGCGCAUUUGUUUUAUGUCUUUGGCUAGACACAUUCAUGCAUCAAUCUCUAUAAAUGGGACUCUCGAGAGCCACAUCCUCCACAAUAUUCACCGAAAAACCUUCAUAAAAAGGUUUUAAGCGAUGACCAUUAACCUUAAAAACUUUGUCAGAGGUCGGACUCCGAAUCUCAACUGCACCAUGAGAAAAAAUAUUAGUAACAAUAAAAGGUCCUACCCAGGAAGAACGUAAUUUAUCAGGAAAAAGUUUAAGCUUAGAAUGAAAAAGAAGAACUUUUUGACCAACAGAGAACUCUUUUCUUAAAAUCAUUAUGUCAUGAAAUGUCUUCGUCUUUUCCUUGUAAAAUCGCGAACUCUCACAGGAUUCGUUUUUAAUCUCCUUCAACUCUUGCAGCUGCAACUUUCUAUGUUUUCCUGCUUCAUCCAUCCACAUAUUGCAUUGCUUAGCUGCCCAGUAUGCUCUGUGCUCAAGCUCUACAGGUAAAUGACAAAGCUUACUAAAUACUAAACGAUAAGGAGACAUACCUAUAGGAGUUUUGUACGCGGUACGAUACGCCCACAGUGCAUCAUCUAAUCGUAAGCUCCAAUCCUUCGAUUUGGACUAAUCGUCUUUUCAAGAAUAGACUUGAUUUCUCUGUUUGAUAUCUCAGCUUGUCCACUUGUCUGUGGAUGAUAGGCGGUAGACACUCGAUGGGUAACAUGAUAUCUCUUGAACAAAGCCUCCACCACUCGAUUACAGUUUUGAGUGCCUUUAUCACUUAUCACCGCUCUUGAUACACCAAACCUGGUAAAAAUAUUAGACUUGACAAAAUCUACAACAACUUUAGUAUUGUCAGUCCGGGUGGCUUUAGCCUCUACCCACUUAGAAACGUAAUCCACUGCUAAAAGAAUGUAAGCAUUGUUAAAAGAUGAGGGAAAAUGUCCUAUAAAAUCAAUGCCCCACACAUCGAAUAUUUCACACACAAGAAUAGGGGUAAGUGGUGUUUGAUUCCUAUGACUUAAAUUACUAGUCUUUUGACAAUUCUCACACGACUUACAAAACAUGUAUGAAUCACAAAAUAAAGUAGGCCAAAAUAGACCACAUUCUAACACCUUAGAUGCUGUCUUUUUGGGACCAAAAUGACCACCACAUGCAUAUGAGUGACAAAACUGAAGAAUAUAAGGAAUUUCAAACUCAUAUACGCACCUUCUGAUGACUUGGUCAGAGCAAUGUUUCCACAAGUAAGGGUCAUCCAAAACAUAGUACUUAGCAUCGCUCUUAAUCUUAUCUUUUUGAGCCCUUGUCAGAUCACUAGGUAGUGUUCUUGUAACUAAGUAAUUGACAAUGUUAGCGUACCAAGGAACCAUACGUUGAGUUACAAAGAGAUGCUCAUUUGGAAAAUCAUCCUUCAAAGGUGCUGUUUCUUCACUCGUGGUCAAUCUACUAAGAUGGUAUGCAACCAAGUUUUCUACUCAUUUCUUGUCACGGAUCUCCAAGUUGAACUCUUGAAGUAGUAGGAUCCAGCGGAUGAGUCUCGGUUUCGCCUCCUUCUUGGCGAGCAAAUAUCUGAGAGCUGCAUGAUCAGAAAAAACAAUCACUUUAGUACCUAAUAAAAAUGAACGAAAUUUUUCUAAAGUAAAAACAAUAGCCAAAAGUUCUUUUUUUGUUGUUGAGUAAUUGCACUGAGCACUAUCAAGUGUCCUUGAUGCGUAAUAUAUCACAUGAGCAGCUCUUCCAACCCUUUGUCUGAGAACAGCACCAACAACAUAGUUACUAGCGUCGCACAUUAUCUCAAAAGGGAGGCUCUAGUCGGGUGUCUGUAUAAUUGGAGUUAAAGUCAAUAACUCCUUAAGCUUAUCAAAUGCUACCUCACAUGCUUCAUUAAAAUCAAAUGUCACAUCUUUCUGAAGCAGCUUGCAUAAAGGCUGAGCUAUCUUCGAAAAGUCCUUGAUAAAACGUCGAUAGAAACCUGCGUGACCAAGGAAAGAACGAACUUCCCGCACACAUGUGGGAUAAGGUAAAGAUUUAAUAACAUCUAUCUUAGCUUUAUCUACCUCAAUUCCUCUAGCAAAGACUACAUGACCCAAAAUAAUGCCUUGAUCUACCAUAAAAUGACAUUUUUCAUAAUUCAAGACAAAGUUUGUUUCAAUGCAUAUUUCAAGCACUUUCUUCAUAUUAUAGAGACAAUCAUCAAAAGAAUCAGCAUAGACUAUAAAAUCGUCCAUAAAUACCUCUAUAAUGUUCUCGACAUAGUCUAGAAAAAUAUUGACCAUACACCUCUGAAACGUGGCAGGAGCGUUACAAAGACCAAAUGGCAUACGUCGGUAUGCAAAGGUUCCCAAAGGACAUGUGAAGGUAAUCUUCUCCUGAUUCUCAGGCGCAACUGGUAUCUGAUGAAAACCUGAAUAGCCAUCAAGACAACAAAAGUGAGAUUUUCCCGCCAACCUUUCAAGCAUCUGAUCAAUAAAAGGAAUAGGAAAAUGAUCCUUCUUAGUGAGUAAAUUAAGUUUUCUAAAAUCAAUACAAACCCUCCACCCAUUCUGAACUCGGGUGGGUUUGUAUUGAUUUUAGAUUAUACCUGCAUUUGUUAUCCGAAAUUGGAUAGAUUAUACCUACAUCAAGAAGUUUCAGAAUUUCUUUCUUCACUACUUCCAUCAUGAGUUGAUUCAAACGGUGUUGAGCUUGAAUCGAAGGUUUGGCAUCUUCCUCCAGCAAUAUUCUAUGCAUGCACGUGGACGAACUUAUCCCUUUAAUAUCAGCAAUUGUCCACCCAAUAGCCUUUUUGUAAUCCUUCAGCACUCCAAUAAGCUUUUUUUCCUCUAAAGUACUAAGCUUUGAAGAGAUGAUCACCGGAAGUGUCUUCCCAUCUCGUAGAAACAUGUACUUUAGAUGACUCGGCAAUGGUUUAAGCUCUAUUUUCGGUGCCUGCAAAAUAGAUGGAAGAAGUUUUGCAUAAGAUGAAGGUAAUUCAAUAUAAGGCAUAUGAUGAGUUAAAGUUCUCAAAGAAUUUAAUUCAUAAAUUUUCUCUUGCAAUACAGAAUUUAAAACAAACUCAUUUUCAUCCUUUUGCAAUCCUUUGAGGCCCAAACUGUUAUUUAAAGCAGCUACCAAUGAAUCUUCAACAUCCAAAUAAAAAACUUCCUGCACUAUAGGGUUAAUAACAUCAACAGAAAAUACCGAAUGUUCCUCACUAGGAUAUUUCAUGGCAUCAUUCAUAUUGAAUUCUAUAACCUCUCCAUCAAACUCCAUAGUGAGAGUCCCUUUAUGUACAUCUAUUUUAGUCAUAGCAGUCUUAAGAAAAGGUCUUCAUAGCAAAAUUGGGACAGAAUUAGAGGAGUUAUCCUGUUCCAUAUCAAGUACAUAAAAAUCAGCAGGAAAAACCAACUCAUUAACUUGUACUAAGACAUCUUCUAAUACCCCAUCAGGAUAUACAUUAGACCUAUCAGCUAGUUUAAUUAUCACGCCAGUUUCUUUUAAUGGACCAACAUUCAAAGAUGAAUAAAUGGAACAAGGCAUGACAUUAAUAGAAGCUCAUAUAUCUAACAUAGCCUUCUCAACUUUAACACUACCAAUUUUGCAAGGGAUAGUAAACAUACCUGGAUCCUUGCACUUAUGAGGUAGUUUCUUUUGGAGAACUGCUGAAACAUUCUCCCCCAUGUGAACUCUUUCAUCUCCUCUUAAUUUUCUCUUGGUGGUGCACAGUUUCUUAAGGAAUUUAGUAUAUCGAGGUAUUUGUUUUAUAGCAUUUAAUAAAGGAAUAUUUACCUCAACCUUGCGAAAUGUCUCAAGGAUGUCUUUCUAUUGUUCCUUCUUCUUGGAUUUUGCAAACCGGCUUGGAAAAGGAUGAGGUAUCACCACAGGUAGAGGUUUCGCUCUGGUGGAUUGCGCAUCUUGAGAUUUAGGCAUCAAUUCAUUCUUUUCAAGCUCAUCUUUUACAUGCUUUGUCACUUUCUUAUUAGGAUCUUGCAACUCCUUCCCACUUCUAAGGAUGACAACACUAGCGUUUUGCUUUGGAUUCACCUCAGAUUGUGAAGGCAAUCUCCCUGAUGAUUGAGACUCCAGACGGCUCACUGUAGUCGCCAAUUGACUCAUUUGGUUCUCCAAAUUCUGAAUGCUUGUUGUAGUUGCCUGCUGAAAUUGUUGAGUGUUAGUCGCAAGUGAUUUAACAAUUUCUUUAAGAGAUAUACCUGACUUGGAGUUUGACUGUGGAGGUGCUGGUUGUCUUGGUGGGUAUUGUUGUAGGAAUCCUGAUGGCCUAACUCCAUAGCUGAAGUUGGGAUGAUCCUUCCAUCCCAGAUUGUAUGUUUGUGCAUGAGGAUCAUACCUCCUCUGGGGCAUGCUUGGAAAUCCUCCAACUGCAUUAGCUUGUUCAACGGGUUCUUCUUAAAGUGUAGGACACAUAUCAGUUGAAUGACCCAUAUUGGAACAAAUGCCACAAGCCUUCACCUAUUGCACAUUACCUACAAUAAACUUUUCCACAAGAGAAGUAAGUUUAUCUAAACGUUAUUUAAUAGAAGAAAUAUUUACCUCAUUCACCUUUCUUAAAGUGGGAUCUUGCUUGCUGCCAAAUUAUUGUGCAUUGGCAGCCAUAUUUGAGAUCAACUCCCUUGCUUGAGUAGGGGUCUUGUUCACCAACACACCUCCACUAGCCACAUCUAUCAUACUCCUAUCCAUCAAUGACAGUCCUUCGUAAAAGUAUUGAAUAAGAAGUUGAUCAGAAAUCUGAUCAUGAGGACAACUGGCACACAAUUGUUUGAAUCGCUCCCAAUACUCAUACAAAGUCUCCCCAGGAAGUUCUCUGAUCCCACAAAUGUCUUUUCUGAUGUUGGCAGCUCUUGAAGCAGGAAAGUACUUCUUAAGGAACUGCUUCUUCAAACCAUUCCACGUUGUAAUCGAUCCAGGAGGUAAAUAGUACAACCAGUCUUUAGAUAGCCCAUCUAAAGAGAAAGGAAAAGCACGCAGCUUAAUCUGCUCUUCAGUCACGCCUUGUGGUCUUAUACUUGAACAUAUGGCAUGAAACUCCUUGAGAUGUUUAUGAGGAUCUUCACCUGCAAAACCAUGAAACUUGGGUAAUAAAUGAAUAAGACCAGACUUUAAUUCAAAAUUUACCUCCAAGUCUACAUAUUGAAUGCAGAGUGGUUGCUGAUUCAAGUCUGGUUAAGCUAACUCUCUAAGAGUUCUUUCUAUGUUGGCAGCUCUAUCCAUCACUUGUUCUUCUGAAUCGCUAAAUGAUUCAACCAAAUCAGGCACCAUAUCUGUUCCAGAAAGCAAAGGCGACGAGGAUCGUUGCUUAGCUCGCUUCGUCUGCUGUCUUAGCUGGCAAGCUGUCUUCUCAAUUUCAGGAUCAAACGAAAGUGUACCUGUACGGGAAGAACGAACCAUACACCAAGUAAAACGUAAAAAGGAUUAAAUAAACGACACCAAUCCCCGGCAACGGUGCCAAAAUUUGAUGGUUGUCGAAGCCAGCAAAAAUAAAUAUUUACUUUAAAUAAAUUGUGUAUAGUGAUUAAGCAGGGUCGUGUCCACAGAGAUCGGUAAUUAUUUAAAUCCUUUUAAAUUGUAAAAUGCAAAAUGGGGGGGAUUGUUGACAAUAAUAAAAAUCAAAUUAAAAUAAAAAGAAUACAAAUUCAAAUUGUAAUUCAAAUUGGUAAAAGCUCUGGUUGAAGGAAUUAACUCAGCUUGAUUCGACUACUGAUCAUUGAUUCAAAUAUAAAUCAUUACUACUUAUGAAUAGACCGGUUAUAACUACUGAGACCCUCUAAUAGCCAAUCUCUCCUUAACUAGUCGAUAACCAAAGUACGACCAUUGGUUAUUUUCCUAAUCAAUAGACAACCCUAGAUACGAUCAUAGAAUUUAAUCAAUUGACAGCCUGAAAAACCAGAGAGACUCAAAUCAUAAUCAACACACGCAUACGAUGGUUCAUUUAAAUUAGAUUGUUUAUUCUCAUAACACAACACACUGCUAUGCUAUUUGUCACAAACAUUAAAAUCUUCAUACGAUGAAUCUUUUAAUUGACAAUAGAUUAAGUUGAUAAUUAAAUAGUGGCCAAUUAUCUAAUUAACAAACAUAAUCAUGACAAUAAUUUAGAGAAUAAACAAAUACCCAAAAAGCAAUAAAACAAUUAAAGCAUAAGAAAGAUCUCACAGUAAUGAUGAAUCAAAGCUUUAUUAACCUUUAACCAGAAUAAUAGGUUUAGUUCUUCAUAGAGAGAAGAGAAAAAUUUAGAUCUAGGCUUUCUUUUUCUUUCUUUCUUUGACAAUAGAUUCAUCUCUUCAAUUCUCUUCCCUCCCUUCUCCUCUAGAGUUCUUUUUAAAAUAAAAUACUAAUAUCUAAAAUAUUAUCUAAAUAUUAAAUUCAUAAUUACAAAAAUAACCAAAAAGACAAAACACGUUAAAAUAAAAAUUGCAGGUCCUUAGUUGACAGCACGCGCCCACGCUUUAUCAACAAAAUUCUUCUGAAGCUUAUAAUUUCUCCAGGAAAACAAUCAUCCUCAAAUAUCAUCUUGUAGCUCAAUUUUAGCACCAAUCAAUAGAAUUGGACCUACAAAAAUAAAACACAAGUAAAUCACUAUUAUUAAAUGCCAAACAUCGAUAUUAAAGGAAGUAAACAAUACAAAACUAGUGCAUAAAUUGCACUCUAACAAUGAAUCAGGCGAUAUUUGAUUGGGUAAUUAUGGUUGAUGAGAAUACAUGUAUGUACGGAAUCAUUAGGAAAAGAAUAUAUUAUGGAAAGCUGAUAGACCUGCUGUUGUGAGAAGUUUGGCACCAUUGUUCAGAUACUAGAUCAGUUGUAGAUGAAGAGAAUGCAUUGGUUAUUGAGUAAGAGAGCAUAUAUGGUUCUAUAAAAAACAUGUCUAAGGAUAUAAACAUGGUCAUUACUAGUUAAUCAUUUGCAACCUUUAAGAGAAGAACUGCAAGUUGGUAAUCUGUUAAUAUGAUAUAGUACUAUAUAAAUAGCAUUUUAGAAAAAUUUGAAAAGGGAGAUUAGCUUAAACUAACAAUAUUAAUGCUAAUUCAGUUAUAUGUUUGUGUUUACUCUCAACUGUAUUAUUUUGAUAAUGAGUACAUGGACAAGAGUGUCUAAAGACAAUCCCAUUUUGAUUUAGAAACUUAGCAAAAACUCUAUGCUCUCCUCCCUUUAGUUAGAUUACAAUAUUGCAAUUGUUGUAUUGAAUUGAUUUUCCGCCUGAGGUUUAAACAAUUAAACACUUUAAAGGUUUUAGACUUAAGCUUUAAUGGAUAAAUCUAAGUAUAUUUGCUAGAAUCAUCAACAAAACUGAUAUAAUAUUUGUAUCAAUUUCUAGACAAAGUAGGUAAACGCCCUCUAAGUCAGAAUGUAUCAUUUCCAACACAUAUAAAGUUUUGGUUUUGAUUGUAAAGAAAUGUUGUCGAUGAACCUUGCCUAAUUGACAUGCUUCACACAAAGAAUUUACAGAUGACUAGAUAUCCUUUUAAGAGAAUUGAAUGGAUUACAAGACUUUAGUAAAUGUAUCAUUACUGUUGGAUUUGGAUAACUAAAUCUUCUAUUCAACAUAGUUACUGUAUCAAGUUUUGAAGUACAACUGUUUGAGACAGAAUGAAAACAGGCCUUAGUCAAGAUAUUUCACUUAUGGAAAAUAGGAGAAACAACUGUAAAGAAUUUAUUCAACUAGAAUUGAGAGAGACAAGACUCAUAUGAAGAUAGAGUAAGCUUGAAAAAAAAAUUAAAAAGACCUUUCUCAGCAAGGCCUUGCAGAAGAACAUAUCCCUUCAUGUCUUUUAUAGAGCCGAUAGUACCCCAACAUUCAACAGUGAGACUUAUCAAAAGUGAGCCCACAAACACUUAAUAGAUUUUUAGUUGUUGAAGGCACAUGUAACAUUCUCUAAGUGCAAUUACAAUAUGGUUAGAUGAGUAAUUUGAAGCUCUAAACGAUGGAAAAGCAUGUCCAACAUGAGUGAUAUACAACCUUUGGCUAUUUCGAAUAAUGAGUUGGUCAGUACCUUUAAAUUCUCCCUUGAGGUGCAUGUUUUCCAUAUUUUUAGUCAAAUGAUGUGUUGCUCCACUGUCUAAAUGCCAACCAUCAUUAACAGGUCCUUCAAAGUUAGCACAAAGGCUGCUCUAAGAGCAUUAGCACUAAUUAUAGACUAGUAACCAAUUUUAGAGUCAAGAAAAUAAGCCAGUGACAUGUAAUUGGUUUUGACAUAAUCUUCAUAACUUUGAGGAGAAGCAGAUCCUUCAAAGUUUGCAAUGUAACUUGUUCUUACUAUUUUUCCCUUUUCAAAACCACUUGGCAUAGGUACAUUGUCUUCCACAAACUUAUGCCAGUAAACAUUUGCUAUGUGUAUAGAUUUGAACAAAUUUGACACAUAAGUUCCUCCAUAAUAGCUCUUUGUGACCUAUUUAUGCCAUUGAAUCCACUCUUAGCAAAUUGAGAUGGAUUCUUAUGAACUUGAAAAGGAUAAAGGCCACUGGAGUUUUGACUAUAUGACUGUCCUCUAAUAUAUCCCCUACUAAAACCUUCAUUGAACAAUCUUUAAGAACAAUUCAUGCUUCUCUACCAAGUAGAUUUCCUUUACCUCCAAAGUUACCAAAAUCACCAUUAUAUCCUCAUCUUCUAAAGCGACACUUAGGUUGUGCAUAGUAUGCCUUGGGAUAAUAUGAAUUCGUAUAUGCAUAAGUAGCAUUAAACAUAGUUUGAUCAUCAUGUUCUUACUCCAAUCUAGUUUAUGUGUAAGCAACAAAGCAUAUGCACCAUCAUAUUCCAUAUGGAAACCAGUAAUAAAAGUGGCAAUAUCAUGAUAUCCAGAUACUAGUCUAUUAUAAUGGUCAACAUAACAUCUUUCUCUGUUUCAUUUUAAUAAAAUAAUCUUCAACACUCAACAACACUUUUUUAAGAGCAUUCAAUUCAUACCUAAGUUGAAGAACUAUAGCCUUUGAUUGCACACUAAACUUCUUCUCAAGUGUUCUCCAAACAUCAAAGGAAUUUACAUAAUUUAUAACGAGACUUAGAGUACUUUCAUUUAUUAAUGACAGUAGCCAUCUAAGAAGAGUCUGAUCUUGUGAUCUCCAAUUGUCAUACUCUAGAUUAUCAACUUGAGUAGAUCCAUCAACUCUAGCUGGAAGAAGAUAUUGCUCAGGUGGUAAUUUUUCUGCAGUGAUAAAAUCCUCCAAUCAAUUGCCUCUAAUUAAAGCUAAGACUUGAGAUCUUCAAAGCCAAUAGUUCGAUCAAUCUAAUUUCAUUGGAAUAUUAAAGGAGAAAUUAAUUUGAGUUUGUUGAUGUUGUGGAUUUGUGUUGUUUAUGGUUAAAUUGUGAAAUGUUGUGUUCUGAUUACUAGAACUAGCCAUGGCCGGCUCUAGUACCAUGUUAUAAUAGCUCAAAUGAGCUUAAUCUCUUUGUUUGGAAGCCGAGAAAAUGGAAAGGAAUAUUCUGGAUCUCUAAUUUUUAAUUCUCGAGUAAAAAUGAAGACUACGUUAGUAUCCAUAAUGAGCUAAUUACACACACGAAAGAAUUACAAAGCAAGCUUAUACAUGUAACUAACAACAUUACUGACCAGGCUUAACCAACACGUGCUGAGCGUGGAACUUCUUUAUAUGUAGUAUGUGCUUUCUUUACAACAUUUCAGCAGAGCAAUUUAGAAAGUCGAAAAUGAUCCUCUUAGGCACUAUAAGGCAGAGUUUAUUUAUUUAUUUAUUAAUGCUAUAAUUUAGGAGUGUCCAUAAUACGAUCUUAUAGUCAUGAUUUAUUAUCAUUUUAUCUUGAGACAAAAGGACUGUUGUUGAAUCCUCAUUAGCAAAUGUUCAUUGCUUUCAUUUUUGGAUUGGUAGAAACAAAAAACAUAAGAAGAAAAUAAAUUAAACAAGAUUACUGGAAAUUAGUAUCUUUUUCUUUUCUUGAACAAAGUCUUUCUUUCUCUAGUUUUUGUUAAGAUAAUUUCUUAACCUUCCUCUUAUCUCUUUCAUUUCUUGAACCAAGAUGCGUGCCUUUACUUACAAGGAAAGUUUAAAUGCUCUUUCCUUCCUUUUCUCUUAACUUCUGUUUUUCUUAAGAAAUCAUUUUCAAUUCUGCCAACACCAUCCAUUUAUCAAUAACCAAUUUGAAUAAAGUUCUACAUUUUGAUUUUUAUGCUCCUUUCAAGUAAUAAUUUAAUUUUGAAGCUUUCAGUCACAAUAAGAUGUUGUUGCGAUAAUAAAGUCGUUAAUUACUGAAAGGAACAAUAGCAAAGUUCAUAAUAAUACCAUACCAAAAUGCAAUUCUUCGAAACUUGGUCAUCCAUUAUUGGAGGUGAUGUUAUGCGUUGAUUUUGAGGUGAGAAAAUUAAAUUUAUUGCAAUCCUAAUGAGCUCCAUAUAAAAAACUGUGGGUUAGAUAUUAUUUUCUUGAAAAGGAGAACGUUCGACAUUUUAGUUAAAGUUCUACAUUUUGAUUUUUAUUUUUCUUUCACGUAGGAAUUUAAUUGUGGUGCUUUCAAUCAUAAUAAGAUAUUAUCGAGAUAUUGAAGUCUUUGAUUACUCAAAGGAACAAUAACAGAUUUCAUAACAAUUAUGUACCAAAAUGCAAUUCUUCUAAACUUGGUCAUUUGUUAAUAGAAAUGAUGUUAUGCAUUGAUUCCGGGACAAGAAAUUUUAUUAAUUGCAAUCCUAAUGAAUUCCAUAGAAAAAAUUAUAGGUCAGCAAUUAUUAUUUUCAUAAACAGGAGAACGUCUUAACUGCUCUUGGAGCAUCGAGUAAUUUUUGUCAAUGGUGCUCCAACCAAAUGACAAGUCUCCACAGGCACUAAAAAAAAUUAAAAUUCUUUAAUUGAAAUAAAUGUUAUCCUCUAUUACAAUCUCCUUCUUUUUCUCCCUCGGAUUUGCUUGCAUUUUCAGCUAUUGCUUCUUCGUUACGAAUAACAUUGGUGGGAGAUGUACUUGGUUCUUCAAAAAAAAUCUAAAAUCUUCGUACUCAAGGAAUCAAGGUCACAUAGUACGGAGCUCCAAAAAGCUUGAUAAAAAUUAUGGUCUCUAUCUCUGCACUUUGCCCCCCGAAAAAGGCUUAUUCUUCAUCUUUCCUUUCUAAAGGAUGCAAGUUUCGUUUGGUAAAGUGUAGAGAUAGAGAGGAGAGAGAGGAGUGAUUGACUUCAUCUGCCCUUUUCUUUUUCAUUUUAUUCGAAGGCCCCACAUAGUAUGGUCUCUAUUUAUUUAUUAAGACCUUGAGCUUCCUUGCGUAAAAAGGACAAGACCUUACAAGGCGGUUGAGACCACCAAACGAAAUAAAAAAUUGUAGCACCCACGUUAGCCAACUUAUUAGUAUGUCCUAUUACAUUCCCUUAUUAUGUGAGUAAACCGCACUUCUAUCUAGAUCAUAAGCUGCAAAAAAUUAUUUCAUCUACUAAUCGAAGGCCAAAGAGGAGGAAGAUGACCAUUCUAAAGAUGGAAAAUGUAUGGCAUGCAUUGAAUCACAUUCAAUCCAAAUCUUGAAACAUUGACGAUCAAAUGCAUUCUUAAUUAUUAGAAUUACAGCCAUCAGCACAACAUAGGAAGCUGAAUGAAUGAAUCCCAAGCGAACAAGCAAAACAACCAAGAAUGUAUUUAAGUUUUUGCCUUUUUCUCUACUUAUAUGGAGGAGAUGUGUAACACCCUAGGCAAAUCUCACAUUGGCAAAACGCAGGAGAGAUGUUGGGUUUAUAAGGGGUGAUCUACUCUUUAAUUGGCAAGACGAGUUUCAGGGUGUAUAGGCGUCCCAAAAAAAACCUCGGGGGCCUUGUUAAGGCUCAAAGCGGAUAAUAUUUUGUCAAGUCUGGGUUAAGUCAUGACAGAUGGUAUAAGAGGGGCUCCGCGUGUCUUCUUGAGCAAUAGUGGGGCAAACCUUAGCUAGGACGUUGACUUUCUAAGGGGAUGUAUGUAACACACUAGGUGAAUCCCACAUCGGCAAAGCAUGGGAGAGAUUCUGAGUUUAUAAAGUAAUCCAUACCUUAAUUGGUAUGGCGCAUUUUAUGGUGCAUGGACGCCCCAAGAACAAAAUCAUGCGGGCCUUGUUAAUGUCUAAAACCAAUAAUAUCUUGUCAGGUUUGGGUUGGGUAAUGACAAAAUGGAACACACACAAAACCAUAGUACACGAACAUAAGGAAUUCGUUAUUCUUCUCUAAUGCUUAGAUUACUUAAUGAGGAAAUAAUCACUUACCUUUAAUGAGAACUCGUCAAGAUUAAUAUAACCAAGGAUCAUGCCAACUUUGGAAACAUAUAACCUUACAGGACAAGCAUGCAAAUAGUCUCUCUUUUGAUGAUUCUUUUAGUCCCCACAUGAAGAUAUUCGAUAAACCCCGUGUUCAGCUAUAAUAUCUCUUGUGCGAUCAUCUUCAUGCCUCUACGCAUCGACGCGGUCCAUAUAUACUUAAUGAAACACAAAGCCCUAAUUCUUGAUUGAGUCAACUCCCGUUGAUAGCUAGCUCUCGUUGUAACAAAAGACAACCUAUGUUACAGAGAAAAUUACUUGAUAAUAAAGACUAGAUUAUGUUGACAAUAAGGAUUCCAACUCAUAAAAAUAUGUAAAAGAUGUUAUCAAUGGAAUGCCACACUCAUAUUAGAACAUAGAUUUUACACAAUCUAAUUAACUUGGACGAGGAAAAUUUUGUAUUCAACAUCAUUUGAAGUUUUGAACACCUCAUUUACUUAUUUAUAUUUAUUUGUGUGUGCGUCCGUGAUUGUUUUUCGAAACGGAAGGAUCAAAUUCUUUAGCCCAUAGGAACAUGGUGAGUUUUAGUUUAUAAGCUACCACAAGUUUUGUUCGAUUUUAUCUUUCCAUCAUUUUUUUCAUUUUCUUUUCCUUAAAUUAAGAAAGGUGUAAAUAUGUGGGCGGGGGAUUUUUUUUUAAUUAAAAGUGUUGUAAAAUGAAAAAUAAAAAGAAGUGGUUAACUUACAAUGGGCUGAUAAUAGCCAACAUAGUUUCGAAGUUGAUGACCAUCCACUUUUACUUCUUUUCCGAAGUUGACGGCCAUCCACAAUUGCUCUUUUAAAAUGUAAUUUUCACAGAAAAAUUUGGUGAAAAAAAUGACAAAAACAUUGAAGACUGAAAAUCUCGACGCAGAUAAGAUAAUGGCAACAAACAAUGGAAAUUUUUUUGAAGACAUGGUGGUUGAAAUUCUGUCGAAGUUUCCCGUUAAAUCUUUACUACGGUUCAGGUGCGUUUGUAAAUCUUGGUAUGAAUUAUUUGAAAGCCCUAGUUUCAUUUCCAAACACCUAAAAGCUGGAAACAGUAAUACUCGUCUCAUUCUACGUUAUGUAGAUUCCAGUGAUGAUCCUGAAUUUCCAAGACUUCGUGAUUGUUUGUUCCUUGAUCCAACACUGGCAAAUAUAUCUUUAGAGGAAGAUCUUCUUCUACUAAUGCCCAUAGACGAUCAUUUGAGGGGUCCUUUUGAAGGUUUAUUUAUUAUGUUUAUAGGAGGAGAUGAAAUUGCUUUAUACAACCGUGCUACCAGAGAUUUAAAAUUUCUUCCAAAACUUACACUCAUAGACAAUCUAGAAUCAAUUUACACUAUUAUGUUUGGAUUGGGAUUAGACCCAAAAUGUAACUACUAUAAGUUAGUUUACAUUGUGACUUACCAUGAUAGUGAACUUGGGGAAGUUCUUAACGAUUCAAGACAAGUUUUUAUUUACAGCUUUAGUGAUAAUUCCUGGAGAAAUUUUCAAGUCUUUGAGUUUGGUACGUAUGAUCUUAAUGAAGUGUUAGAUUGCACAUAUCAUAAUGGAGCUUGUCACUGGUUGGUACCGUUUGGCCCUUUUCAUCCACUUUGUUGUCAUUAUGUGAUCCUUUCAUUUGACAUGAGUGAUGAAGUUUUUGAAGAGAUACAAGGGCCUAAUUGCCUUCUUGAAAUAGCACCUGAGCAUACAGUUUUUGGGUUAUACAACGAUUCUCUUUCAUUUUUAGUAUUUGAUGAAAGGGAGAGUUGUUUUGAUAUAUGGACAAUGAAGGAGAGAUAUCAUUGGACCAAAGAAUUCUCUACUACCCCUAUUCUCGCAGUUGAUGCUCCAAUUGGGUUUUGGAAGAAUGAUACCUUUUUUAUAGGAUCUAACACGGAAGAGUUACUUUUAUAUGAUCCGAAUUCUGAAGAAAUCAUUGACUUUCAACACAAAGGCUGUUGCUUUACGAUUUUUUUCGAUAAAGAGAGUUUAUUCACAUUGAAAGGCUAGAGAAAUUCCUUGACUCAAAACCAUAAGUUGAUAGGUAAGGGCUCAACGACAAGUCUUAAUAGGUUGUCUACUUUACGGGAAACGUGGGCUAAGACUUGAGGUAGAAACCCUUAUACAUGGUUUUAAAGAGAAUACGAGAAAGUGAGCUAACAAAUUGAAGAAAUAAUUGAACGAACAGACUCACUGUACCAAGUGAUUCGUCAAAUAAGGAGCUUCGGUAUGGCCUUAAUAAUGUAGGAGCUAUUUUCAGAUACAUUAUUGGUUCUACAAGUGUAGUGGGCUACUGUAUCGGCUUUGUGGGUUAAAGUUUCUACAGAGUUUUAGGGAAAGAAUAUUGCCAUUGAGAGAUAUGGAUAAUGUAAUGCAGUAGCCAUUAGCUAUAUGAAUUUAUUAAAUGAUGUAUUAGUAUAGUUCAGAGCAAUCUUGUUUACAUAUUCAAAGUAAUACCCUGAAAAUACCCAUGUAAUACCAAGAUUUUUACUUGUAGUCCAUAAUUUCUGAGUUCUUACAUUCCAGACUUCAUGGUUUUGUUCCUUUUCAAUGUUAAAUUUGCCUUGAUUUGUACCACAACUAGCCCGGAACUGUAUGUCGGAUCCAAGGUGAAUCAUGCGGUUUGACAUCUAGUACUCAUGAUAUAAACUUAAUUCAUAAACAUAUAAAAAUAAUUUCGGGCCUCUAAUAUAAACAUGUAAUAACAUCCAUGUCUCAUCCGAAAACAUAUCCAAUCUUCGCACACUCCACAUCUCACUAUGUACACAUACAUCGUAAAUACUAACAUAAGAACAUAAAUGUGCUCAAAGUACAAGUGAUACAACAAUGCGUGUCAUGGCCCAACCUCGAUUUAUUCAAAAUUGGACAGCACAAAAUCCAAUAGAAACCUGUGAGAAAUGGGCCAAAUAGGAAAAUAGUGAGCAGGGGGCUAUAUAUAUAUAUAUAUAUACAUACAAAGAGAGAGAGAGAGAGAGAGAGAGAGUAAUGCACCAGUGCUUAUUCAUAAUCAUAUGACGUAACUCCACAGAGAACACAUUAAAGACUUAAGAGGAAACGAUGAGAAGGCUUAAUCAAUUUCAUUGAUUUACACGUACCAAUAUAUACAGCAAAGAGUGCAACAGCUACCUAUAUUAUUGGUUUGUUACAACUGAAUAUAUCUUUACGUUCAAAAUACUUUGAACAGGUAAACUCCUAUAAUCAUGGAGGAGAAUCCUCUAUCAUGCCCCCUCAAGAUGGACUUCUUGAAAGCAGUCCGAUCUUGCAUCGAAGUUGAAGGAAACGUGGUCGUGGGAGAGCUUUUGUAAGAGCAUCAGCUAGCUGAUCAUUAGAUGAUACAUGUGCAACCCGUAACGAACCGUUUUGAACUUGCUCCCUGAUAAAAUGAAAAUCAAUGGCAACAUGUUUCAUCCGUGAGUGAAAGAUUAGAUUAGAACACAACUGAGUUGCUCCCACAUUAUCGCAGUAAAUAACUGGACAAGUAGGCACUCUAAUAUGCAGGUCUGUUAACAGUGAACAUAUCCAAUUAAGCACGGCUACUGUAUUGGCAACGGAGCGAUACUCAGCUUCAGUGGAGGAUCGUGCCACUGUGCGUUGUUUCUUCGAACACCAGGAUACUAAGUUUCGACCAAGAUAUACCAAGUACGCACCUGUCGAUGAAAAAUCAUCUUUGUUGCCUGCCCAGUCGGCAUCAGAAAAGGCAUGUAUACUGGUGGAAGAAUGAUGAUAUAGUUGAAGACCCUCAUUAACAGUACCUGCCAAAUAUCGAAGGAGUCGCUUGACACAGGUCCAGUGGUCAGUUUUCGGACAAUGCAUAUACUGUGAUAAGCGAUUAACCACGAAAGCUAUGUCUGGUCUGGUGAUUAAAAGAUAUUGGAGACUGCCCAACAUAGCACAAUACUCAGUGGCAUCAUCCAGGGGAGUGCCAGAUUGUGACGUCAGCUGCGCAGUAGUUGAAAGAGGAGUGAGUACCGAUUUUGUUGCCGUCAUGUUUGCUCGAUUUAAUAACUCCAGUAUAUAUCUUCUUUGAGACAAGAUCAACCCCUGGUCAUUCGGUACAACUUCAAUGCCCAGAAAAUAUGCCAAUUUUCCAAGAUCUUUGAGAGAGAAUUGCUUGGCAAGAAGAGUUAUAAAUUCAUUGAUCUUGAGAGGCUUGUCCCCCGUGAUUAUGAGAUCAUCAACAUACACAAUGAGAUAUAAAAUAUGUGUGCCAUCAUUAUAUACAAAUAGCGAUGUAUCAGCUAUAGAAUUUUUGAACCCGAAUUGAAUAAGAAAUGAUCGCAGUUCAUUAUACCAGGCGCGGGGAGCUUGCUUUAGUCCAUAGAUGGCCUUUCGAAGCUUGCAGACAUAGUUAGGUUUGUCACCAUCUAUGAAUCCUUGAGGUUGAGCCAUGUAUACAUCCUCAUACAAGUGCUCUUGAAGUAAUGCAUUAUUUAUGUCUAGUUGGCGUAGCUCCCAUCCAUGACUGACUGCAAUGCUUAGAACAAUACGAACUGUUGUUGGCUUUACAACCGGACUGAAAGUAUCAUGGAAAUCGACCCCUGGUCUUUGAUGGAAUCCUUUGGCCACCAAGCGGGCUUUGUACCUGUCAACAGAGCCAUCAGAAUUUAUUUUUAUUUAAAAAAUCCAUUUACACCCAACAAGAUUAUGAUGUGGAGAUGGUGAAACAAGAGCCCAUGUCCCAUUCUUAACUAAAGCAUUAAACUCAUCAGACAUUGCUUGUCUCCACUUGGAGUCUGUUAACGCUUGAGUUACUGUGGUUGGUUCAAUUUCAUCAGUGGUGGCAAGUUGAGCAAGGAGAUUCAUUCUGCGAAUAGGUUUAUGAAUAUUAUUUUUAGAUCUGGUGACAAUGGUGUGAGCGGGUGGCAUUGAUGGUUCUAGGGUAGUGAUUGAGGUAUGUUGAGAUGCACAAGGUUGUAUUUGAGGAGCUUCGGCCGCAGAUGACGUAGUGAGUGGCAGAGUAGUUGUAGAGAUAGGUAUUUGUAGGGGAGGAGGAAACCAAGUGGCUAUUGUGUUUGAUUGGUUUAUGGACUCUUGUGGUUUUUGGUAGACGAAUGGGAAUAUAGACUCUACAAACUUGACAUGUCUAGAGACGUAAAAUUUGGAGGAACUUGUAUCAAGACACAAAAAUGCACUCUGACUUGUCGAAUAACCAAGAAAUACACAUGGUUUAAAAUUGGACUCUAGUUUGUGAACCUUAUAAGGUCUGAGCCACGGAUAGCAAAGACACCCAAAAAUUUUGAGUUUGGUAUAAUUGGGUUUUGCCUCAAAAAUUUUCUCAUAGGGUGAAUAGUAUUGGAGGGUUGGUGUGGGCAUUCUGUUUAUGAGGUAAACGGCGGUGGCAAAAGCACAUGGCCAAUAUUGUAAAGGUAUUGAUGCAUUGGACAAAAGUGCAAGACCAGUUUCGACAACAUGCAGAUGGCGACGCUCAGACAUACCAUUGUGUUCUGGGGUGUGUGGGGGAGUGGUGAGAUGAGAAAUUUCAUUUGUAGAAAGAAAAUUGGUUAGUGCAAUGAAUUCACCACCGUUGUCAGAGUACAAGGUUUUGAUGGGUUUUUCAAAUCGUUUUUCAACAAUGGCCUUGUAUCUUAUAAAAACUUCUUUGAAAUCAGAUUUGUUUUUCAAUGGGUAAAACCAGAUAUAUUUUGUGUAGUGAUCUACAAAAAUAACAUAAUAUUUGUAUCCAUUAACAGAGACCACAGGAGACGUCCAAACAUCAGUGUAUAUAAUUUCAAGAGGAUGUGAAGAUGAUAUUGUAGAUUUUGAAAACGACAACUUAUGACUUUUAUUUGACAAACACGCAUUACAAUUGACAUCAGACAGCAUAGAAGACGUUACACUGAGUUUAUUGGAAGAUAGAAUUUGUUUUAAAAUGGGAAUGACAGGAUGUCCUAGCCUAUGAUGCCAAGUAGAAGACGAGGUCAUGACACUUGAAAAGGAAAUAAUUGGGGUGGAGUCUGGCCACUCAUAUACGCCACCUUUAGCUUGGCCCUUCAAAAGUGUUGUCCCUAUGCUGAGUUCCUUCACAAGAAAAGUAUCUGGUAAGAAUUCUACGGAAGCAUUGUUAGAAUUGCAAAAUUGAUAAAUAGAAAUAAGAUUUCUUUUCAUGCUUGGAACACAUAGGACAUUGUCUAGAAGAAAAGACUUAUGAGGAGAGUUUAAAGUUGUUGAACCAGUGUGAGUUAUUUGUAACUCAGAUCCAUCCCCUAUCAUCAUAUCAUCACCUCCUCUGUACGGGUUAUGUAAAGAGAGAUUUUCCAGAUCAGCUGUUACAUGAUGCGAUGCACCACUAUUUAGGAGCCAGGUUUGAUUGUUGUUUGUUGUGGCUGCAUAAUUUGCUUUUGGCUGCCAUGGGGUGGAUGAGUGGUUAUUGUUUGACUGCACGGGUUGCAAUUUGUAGGAUGGACAUUUCUUGGCAGUGUGCCCUUGAAUGCGACAGAGUUGGCAGUAGCCAAGGUAUGGGCGUUGUUGUCGCUGAGUGGAAUUGUUGUUUUGGGUCACUCCUAAGUUACGGUUUGGGUUGGAGGAGUUUUGGUUGGUUCCGUUGUUGAUACGCCAAUUGUUGUUAGUACGAGUUGUCACAUGGGCUGUUAUUGGGAACAUUGUGUCAGGUUUUGAAGUGUUUAGAGAUGCCUCAAAAUUGAGCAAUUUCUCAUGAAGUUCUUCGAAUGUGAUAGGGGUGUCCCUGGCUUGUACAGCUCGGGCCAGCUCUUUGUAGUCAUCUCCGACAGCCUCCAGAAUUUUGUCUGUAAGAUCAUCUUCGUCAUAAAGUGCGCCAAGAAGCGUAAGUUCAUCUGCCCGAGCCUUAAUAUUUUGGAGAAAUUCUGUAAUGGAUGCUGACCCUCUAGUCAUUUGUCUAAUUUGGCUUUUAACUUGCUUAAUUCGUCCUCUGGAAGGCUUUGCAUAGGUGUUGGCAAGUGUUAUCCACGCUUCUUUGGAUGUUUUGGCAGUGGCCACAAACGGGAUGAUGUUGGGUGAGAUGGAGCCAAUUAUGGCAUUGAGGAUCAGUUGAUCCUGGCGAACCCAAAGUAAAUGAGCUGGAUUCGGGGUAGUAGUGUUGUUGUCUGUUAUUGUAGCUGAAGGACAAGGUUUAGAACCAUCUAUGUAGCCAAGAAGGUCAUAGCCUGCGAAGAGAGUUUGAAACUGCAAUUUCCAUGAUAAAUAAUUGGAUGAUGUGAGCUUGAGAGGAGUUUGUGCAGCUACAUUAAUGGUGAUUAAGGUGUUGUUGAGGUCAUUAGUGUUUCUGAUGGUGGUGGCCAUUGCAGGAUUUUCUUUCCAGAAAUAAGGAGAGAAAGGGAGAGCCUCUAGUGCUCUGAUACCAUAAAGACUUAAGAGGAAACGAUGAGAAGGCUUAAUCAAUUUCAUUGAUUUACACGUACCAAUAUAUACAGCAAAGAGUGCAACAACUACCUAUAUUAUUGGUUUGUUACAACUGAAUAUAUCUUUACAUUCAAAAUACUUUGAACAGGUAAACUUCUAUAAUCAUGGAGGAGAAUCCUCUAUCACACAUUACAUAAGGAAACAUAAAUUCAUACAUACAUACAUGACAAAACUGCACUAAAUAGUACUAUGGGGAAAUAACUCUCAGUACGCAUAGCCAUCAUCAUUGCCGGAGUAUAGCGAGGGAAAACUCGUUCAAUACCCGGUGGAAUUUAACUACAUCGCAUGGGUAGAGUAACCUAAUUCUCAAUACGCAUGUAUAGAGCCUAUAGGGAAGGGUACACAUACAGUGACUGACAAUCAUAUCUCAUGGCUAUAUCAAAGAUAUAAUAUGCAUACAUGUAAUCAUGACAUGAUAUUGGAUCAUGCUAUCAACCAAAAUACGUCACAGAAAAUAUAAUAGUAAUAAUAAUAUCCACUCAUAUCUCCUGAUUCACUCUAGGGUUCGUUGGGGCUCUUGUAGGUGUCUGGAUUUUCAGAUUUCUCCUAAAAUAUAGGGUUUAACUGUUAGAACUAAUAUAAUAACUUAUACAUAUGAUGUAAAUUAAAUCAUAAUUACUUAAAAUUCAUAAAUCUAUUACCCUUUGACUCACUGAAUAUAGAUCUAAAUGCCCAAUUCUAUUUCCUGUAAUAUUUCCUCUUACUUCCUCUUUUUAACUUCUUUUUCACUCUCGGGUUUCCUUUUCUUUCUUAUUAUUUCCUUUUCUCUUUUCUUUUCCGUUUUCUUUUCUUUUUCUCUUUUUCUUUUUUUUCUUUUCUCACUAUCUCUAUUUCGAUCUCGAUUGCAAAUAAUCUCUAAUUGUGCAAUAGCUCUCAAUUUCCAACUUGAUAAAAUAAAGUGGCUUAUAAUAUUUUUCAAUUUAUAUAGCCUACGACCCUAUGAAUCCAAGUGAGCAGGUGAAAAAUUCAAUGAAAUAGACAGCUAAAGCAAUUGAAGCAUGCAUGUGAACUUAUAAAGCAGGCUGCUGGCUAUUUUCAACUCAAUAAGCCACAUGUGGCCUCUUAAUGCACAAGCAAUGCAUGACAAUUCCUCUCAACUUAUAAAAAUUUCAUCCUACAAAUUUAAAUGCCUAACUGAAAUAAAUAUGGAUAUUGUGAUUGCAUUUGUUCUUCAUGCUCCUAGGUGGCCUUCUUUACUGUAUGACCCUUCCACAUCACCUUAACCAGUGAGCACUACUACAAAAAUGUAAAACAAUGACACAUAUAUUAUGACGGUUUAUUUAAAAAACCGUCAUUAAAAAUAUUUAAUGACGGUUAUUAUAUGAACGGUCAUAAUAUGUACUAUUUAUAAUGAUGGUUCUAUUAUAAAACCGUCAUUAAAUAUCAUGCCAAAAUAUAAUUUUAUUUUUAAUGACGGUUACUUGUAAAAACAGUCAUUAUAAAUUUCAAAUUUUUAAUGACGGUUCUAUUAUAUAACCGUCAUUAAAUAUCAAGUUAUUAUUUUUAAUGACGGUUUAUAAACCUUACAUAUUAAAUUAUUAUUUUUUAUGACGGUUCUACUAUAUAACCGUCAUUAAAUAUAAAGUCAUUAUUUUUAAUAACGGUUUUUAAACAAAACCGUCAUUAAAAAUCACUAAUGACGGUUACAUAUAUAAACUGUCAUUAACUAUAAAAUGUUAUUUUUAAUGACGGUUUUGUUUAAAAACUGUCAUUAAAAAGCCACAAUAUUUUUAAUGACGGUGUUUAAUAACCGUCAUCGAAUAGAAAGAAUCAUUCUUAAUACAUUUCAUGACCAUUUUAUAAUAACCGUCGUUAUAUGUUAUUUGCCUUAAAAAAUUUUUUAAAAAAAGCCGAUAAAAGGAAUAAAGGAAACGCGCAAUCCCUAACCACUCACAUUCGUUGUCUUCUUCUUCAAUUUUCACGAAUUACAAUCACAACGACUCACUCAGUCACACACACCAGCCCUAACCCUACCUAAGCUAUCAAACGCCAAUGCCGCUGCCGCUGUCAAAUCGAUUCAAGUGCUCCGGCGCUGAGUCUAGCCGUCCUUGAGCCGAUUUGCUUCCUUUUUCUGCCGCCGCUGUCAAUCUCUGCCAUUUUUGAGCCGAUUCACUUCCGCAAAACAGCUGCUGUCAUCUCUGCCGACAUUGCCUCUGUGUUCGUUCACCGUCAGAUGCAGUGUUAUUGUGGUGACACUGCCUCCGCUAUCAAGUCAGUUCAAAUUUUCUGGGUGCUAUCUCGAAAAUGUUGGUGAGAUUGUUGCCAAUGAUAUUCUAAAAUUUUGAAUUCAGGGUUAUUGUUUCACCACUGUGAGUUGCUUUCUCCAAUUUUGCAAUUCUUUCCUCUUAAUUUGCUUUGAAAUAUUUGCUCGUUGGAUUUAUUUCCUCUUCAUUUAUAUUCGAUUUGGUGUUUUGUGUUGUGUAGCUUGUACCUUAGUCUCUCCUUUUCCUUUCAUAAUAUUAUAAAAUAUGUCGUGCACUUUGGCCUUUCGUUUCUUGAUUUUCUUGGUUAAUGAAUUUGGAAAAAGAGUGAAUUAUGGGUAAGGGGAUAGAAAAUCACAUUGACAGAAAAGAGGACUGAAACGCCCUGAUUUUUACUAAGUGGAGUUUACUUAUUUGUUAAAAAAAUAAAUUUUAAAUUAUUAAUGAUUUAAUUGUCUUAUGCUUAUUAUAUUGUUCGUAAAAUUUUUGUUACAAGUCCAGCCCAUGAACCUCUUUAUGUUUUAGCAUUUCUUUAUUUAUUUACGAAACGAAAACCAGCGUUCGAAUUCAAAAGUAACAAAACAGAAAAAGGAAGAAAGGAAACAAGAGGAUAACAGGACGUGAGAGAGGAGAAGAGGGAGAAAGAAGAGAAAGACAAGAGAGGCUAGGUGAAGGAUUUCGAUUUAAAGAGAGAGAAUUCAAUUUCAGAGCAAAAUAUUAAAUAUAUGGCUUUUUAAAUUUGUAAGCCUUAUUCAAUUUCAGAGCAAAAUAUUAAAUAUCUGGCUUUUUAAAUUUGUAAGCCUUCUUUCUCAGUUCACUUUAUUCUUUUAUUUUUCUUCAAAAUUCUUGUUUAAAUUGGCAUGCUUGUUGAUGUUGUUAAGUCAUUUCUAAAUUAACUUGCAUGCAUGAUUAAAAUUCUGUUUAUUUAGAUAUUAUGUCAUUGAAAUUAGUUUCUUUUGCCAUGCUUGUUUCAUGUUCCGAUUCUUAUUUGAAAAAAAAAAAUUUCUAUGUUCGUUCCAUAAUCUGUUUUGGGUAUUAAAGUUGAUACUACCUAGCAAAUUCUAAACUGUAAUGGCUGAUUUCUUCUCUUAUUUUUGUUUAAUCUAUUCAAAUUCAUGUAUAAAUUUACAGGUGUCAGAUAUUUGCCUAAUUAUCAUGUAUGUGUUAAAUUCAUUUUGGGUGAAUUUUUAUACUAUUUAAUCAACUUCAAAGUUACAUGGGUUUGGCCAAUUAUCACAUAAUCUCUUCUUUGACUAUUUGAUUAGAUUUUUGUUCAUGCGUGGCUUAAUUAAUUUCGAAAUCUUCUUACUUGUGAGUGUGGUCAAACCCCAAACAAAUGAAGAAGUCUUCUGGUUUUAUGUCUUAAAUAGAGUGCCUGUAAAUAUAAAAUCGAGAUUGAGCUAAUGAGUGAAAAUGAUGGUACUUGGAUUUUUUGAGGCUCUGUUUUUUUUUCUUUACUUUAAAAGCUAAUUUGUUUAGCUUUACCUUUGAUUUGAAUUUUUUGCUUCUGUUCUUUGCAGCCAACCUAUGAAAAUGGUGAUAAUCGGGCUCCAAUAAAUAUUGAUUUAAUAGGAACCACAUUGGUAAGCCUAGUUGCAAGACAAGAACUACUUUGCAAAGCAUGCUAUGUGUAUAAUUCUGAGCAUUAAGGAUUCAGUUUCUGAAGGGCAAGCUUGCUGGCUGGGUAUAAAUGUUCCAAGUGCCAAUCCCACCUUAUGUAAGCACAAAAUAUAGUCUCCAUUUCCUUUUUGGAUUAUAUUUGUUUGUAUAGUUAUAUGAUACUGGAUUUUAAUUUAAGAAUUUGUGCAGUACAUUUUUUUACUGUUAGGAGUUAGUUUGAUCAAGGUUAUUUAAGUACUAAACUGUUAUAAUUGAGCUUGUAUGCAUUUAAGUUCUUUAUAUGUAAAUGACAAUUAUAUCAAUGUGUAAUGUAAAUUGAAAUUUGCCAAUGUGGCUUCAAUUGUACAGUUUAGAAUGUGAAAAUAACUAUCUAAAUUUUAAUUUAAAAAAACAAUUGAAGUAUAGUAAUUUUAAAUUGUUAUUUUUUUUUUAUUUUUACUCGUGCAAAAGAUGACGGUUCUUAUAUAAGAACAUUCAUCAAAGAGCGAUAUAAGAUGACUGUUAUGAUACAAAACCGUCACUAAAAAUUAAUAUUUAAUGACGGUUAUUAAAAAUCCGUCAUUAAAAGUAUAUAUUUAAUGACGGUUAUUGGCAAAAAACGGUCAUUAAAACUUAUGUACCUAUAGCAUAUAAUGACGGUUUAUUAGAAUAACCGUCAUAAUAAGUAUACAUUUAAUGACGGUUUUUAAACCGUCAUAAAAAAUGUACCCCUUUUAAUGUCGCUGCCUAAGAUAACGGUUUUAAAACCGUCAUCUUAUGUCUUUUAAAACCGUCAUUAAAGGCCAAUUUUGUAGUAGUGGAGAUUAUCUUAUUACAAAACACAUGUUGUUUCUGAUCAAGUAUCUAGAUUAGUUCGAUUUCAUAAGUCAAAUCCACUGUCAUUUAGACUAGUUCUGUAUCUAAAACAUAAAAAGGAUCAAGAAUAUACUUCUGUAGAAUCAAGACUUAAAAAACAUCAUGGACUCAUGAUAACUCUAGAGGUAAAGCCAAACGGUAAGCAACUAGACUAACAUAUUGAAUAAUCUCAGAUGGGCCUUUAUAACGAGGGCUUAACUUCCUAUGUUUUCCAAAUUGAAGAAUGCCUUUCUAAAGGGAAAUCCGUAGGAAAACUAUAUCACCUACUGCAAACUCAAGUGGCCUUUAAUGCUUAUCUGCAUAUCCCUUUCUGUCCAUCCUACGCUAACUUUAACUUCGUAUGUUUUCCAAAUUGAAGAAUGCCUUUCUAAAGGGAAAUCCGUAGGAAAACUAUAUCACCUAUUGCAAACUCAAGUGGCCUCUAAUGCUUAUUUGCAUAACCCUUUCUGUCUAUCUUACCCUAACUUUGACUUUUCUCUGAUGACAUUAAUCUUCUGAUUAGUACUUUGGAUGAUUUCUAGUUUCUGGACUUAACAAUUGCCUUUCCUUGACUUCAUCCCAACAAAUAGAAGUCCUGCAUUUCCUUCCAUAUAGAGCCUCAAAUGGUGCCAUUUAAAUACUAUACUAAUAAUAAUUAUUAUUAUAAGUAACUUCCAUCAAAGGCAAGUAUAUAUCUUAAUUGCCUCGAAACUGCAUGAGGCAUGCUCGAAGCAUAUCUUUUAAAAUUUGAAAAAACCCUCUUUGAUUGCCUAUUUGUUUGCAGAUGAUAAGCUAUACGAUAAUAUAAUCUAGUACCUAUAAACUACUAUAAACAAGGCCAAACCCUAGAAGUAAACAGUACAUCUUUAUCUGAAAUAAUAGGUAUAGGAGCUCCAUACAAAUUUACUAUUUCCUUUAUAUAAAAGUUUGCAAUCAUACCAUAAGAGUACAUGCUCUUAUAAGGCAAAAAGUGAGCAAACUUUGUGAGGCAAUUAACAAUAACCCACACAUUAUUAUAACCACUAUUAGUAUGAGGAAGUCCUAUUACAAAGUCCAUUGUGAUGUGUGUUGGUGUAUAAAUACUAAUGCUAUUGGUGUCAAUGUGCAAGUGUACACAACAAGUAAUAAAAUGAUGAGUAUUUAAGAUCGUCUCCACAGGGAUUGAUGUUAUCAGAUUUGCUACAACAAUCUUAACAGUGCAGAUUUUGUGUCUAAAUUAAGAUAAACAACUGAUGAAACUAAUUUACUAAUUAAAAUAAAAACACAAUAAAUAAAAUGCAACAAAGUAGAUUAUCACGUCAAACUCAAGGAUAAAACUAAUGAGAAUAUAUAGUAGUUGAGUGAGUAAACUCUCUUAAUGAUUUUGACUAUUUUCUAAUGGUUGGCUCGGUUACUGCAGUAUCUGCUAUAGCACUGGGCAGAAUCCUUAUGUAUCCUCAGCCAUCGCAUGUUGGAUAUCUUAUAUCUAUAUGCAACCUAACAGUGAUCAAUUGUUAUGCCAACAUAAGAUAUAGCAUUACACGCUUAGGUUCCAUUUACCCUACAAGGUGAGUCCCUAUGUCUAGUUCAUCACUAAUCUUAAAUCAAACAUGGCCCUUUUGGGACUUAAGUAAAACUCAAUCCGGGAAACCCAAUUUAAGAUCAAGUAUUGCUUUGAUAUGUUCCACUAAGAUAGGCCAUUUUGCGGCUCUCUCCUAACUUGUAUCAUUAAAUGGGUGAUCAACCGAAAUAAUGAAUAAAAUAAAUACUAUCAAAAUAAAUUGCUACAGCAAACAUACAGCAACACAUAUAUUCAGUCAAUAAACUAUCAAGAUUGUUUAUCACUCAACCACAAAUAAAUUUAGUUCAUGGUUUGCAAAAGAAAAAUAAAGAACAAAGUUCCAGCCAUGAAACACAUCCCCAUAAAUAAAUAAAUAGAAAACGAGAAAGCAAGAGAAGAAUAAGAAUGAUUGAGCUCUCAAUUGAUUUCUGCAAAUUCUCCUCUUGUGCAGCCCUUAAUCUCUCUCUUGAAUCUUGUUUUUCUUUUGUUUCUUUGUGUUUUUCUCCUUGGGUGACGGCUCUCCUCCAUUCCUUAUGAUGUGUGCUUCUUUUAUAGUUGAAAAUUAGGGUAAACGAAAGCCUAAGUCGCGCAUAAGUCAGAUUAGGAAACUGCAGAUCGCAAUUCUGCAGUUAUCCCGCACAGAAUUUUCUCUGUCGUUGUUCCAGGAUUGCUACAGCAACGGCUACAGCAAUGGUUGCUAUAGCAAUAUCUACAGCAACUACACUGUUCCAGAUUUGUUUCAACUCUUUUGUAGCCAUGUUCUUUCCUUAUUUUUUGCAAGUCUAUUGCAUAACAUUCCUUCCAUGAAUUAUAAGCUUCUGGAAACCUACAAUUAUGCACACAAUUUAAGCACAAAUUACUUUAAAUCGAGCAAAACUUAUUAAGAUUGACUAAAAUAAUUAUUUAUGCAAAAUGUAACAAAAAUACAAUAGAAACACAUAAUUUACUCUCUAAAUAGUAUUGAUUUAAAUCUAAAAGUGCCAUGAUAACUCUCAUUUCAUAGAGUUAUCAAUGUGCUCCCAUUUCCACUCAAGAAUAGACAGUGGUUGAUGUUCUCCUAUAGGUUUCUAAUGUUUUACGUUAACUUGCUGACAAGUUAAACAAUGUGCUAUAAACUACACUAUUUCUCUCUUCAUCCCCUCUCACCAAUAAUGGUCCCUCAAAAUGCGAUACAUCUUCUUCCUACCUUUAUGCAUAGUAUAUGCCGAACUAUUUGCUACUUCUAAAAUCUGGUUCUUCAAAUUUGAAUUAUUCGGCAAACAAAGUCUACUGCCCAUAACUAAAGUUAUAUUAUCUCUCAGUGAAAAGUUAGUAUGCAGUACAUUAUUCACAUAUUCUUUUUUUUAAUCAAUUUCGAAUCUUGAUCCUGCAUCUCUUGAAUCUGAUCAAUCAAAACAGGCCUAGCCUGAAAAUGUGCCAAAAGUGCUCCAUUAUGAUCCACUGCCACUUCUAUAUCUAAAGACUUCAAAUCAAUCAACAAUAAAAGGUAUGACACUUUCAAGUGGGAUAUCAAACUCAAAGACUUCCUACGGAGAGCAUUAGCUACCAUUUUACCUUGCUUGGAUAGUAAUCAAUGACACAAUCGUAAUUUGCAAUCAACUCAACCCAUUUAUGUUGUCUCAAAUUUAAUUUCUUAUGUAUGUAUAAGUGUUUCAGGCUUUUUUGGUUUGUAUAAAUCUCACAAACAUCUUCAUAUAAAUAAUAUCUCUAAGUCUUUAAAGUAAACACCACUACUAUGAGCUCUAAAUCAUGUGUUGGAUAAUUCAAUUAGUUUUGCAUAAGCUAUUGGGAAGCAUAAGCAAUUACCUUUCCAUGCUGCAUCAAUACAUAACUCAAUCUCUAUCUUAAUGCACCAAUGUAAACUAUGAAUCAUUUUUUACCUUAUAGAAGUGUAAGAAUUAGAGUUGUAGUUAACCUUUUCUUAAGUUCUAGGAAACUCUAUUCACAAUCAUUUGUUCAUUCAAAUUUCACUUUCUUCCUUCUUAAUUUAUUCACAAUCAUCUGUCCAUUCAAACUUCACUAUCUUCCUUGUUAAUUUCAUUAGAGGUAAAGUUAUCUUUGAAAAACCUUCGACAAAUCUGUGAUAAUAACCUGCGAAGCUAAGAAAACCCCUGACCUCUUAUAUAUUAGUCAAUCGCUCCCAAUUACCUACAUCUUUUAUUUUCUAGAGAUCUACAUAAAUACCCUCAGUAGAAAUCACAUGACCUAAGAAUUCAACUCUAUCUAACCAAAAUUGACAUUUAUUGAAUUUAGUAUAAAGCUGCUGAUAACUCUAUAAAAUGAGAGUUAUCAUAGCACUUUUAGACUUAAAUCAAGAUCACUUAAAGAGUAAAUGAUGUGUUUUUAUUGCAUUUUUGUUACAUUUUGCAUAAACAUUCAUUUUAGUUUAGUCUUAAUAAGUUUUGCUUGAUUUAAAGUAAUUCGUACUCAAAUUGUCUUCAUAAUUGUAGGUUUCCAGAAGCUUAUAAUUCAUGGAAGGAAUGCUGAUGCAAUAGGCUGGCAAAAAUAAGGAAAGAACAUGGCUACAAAAGAAUUGAAACAAAUCUGGAACAGUGCAGUUGCGGUAGCCAUUGCUGUAGCAAUCCUGGAACAACAACAGAGAAAAUUCCGCGCAGGAUACUUGUAGAAUUACGAUAUGUAGUUUCCUAAAUCUGAUUUAUGCGCGACCUAGGCUUUUGUUUACCCUAAUUUUGAACUAUAAAAGGAGCACACAUCAUAAGGAAUAAGGGGGAGCCGUCUGUUGAGUGUUAGAAAAUGUAAAUUUAUAAAGGAGAAAAUCGUCAUUUUACAUUUCACGUCUUACUAACAACCCUUACUUUUAUGUAUUUAAGGUUCUUGUAAUUUAAUUAUGUGUGUUUUAUUUUAAUUAAGUUUUUGUGUAUUUUAGGGGCAUCAUAGUCAUUUCACAAUAAACGAGAGAUCAAACGGCAAAACGGACAUCACUUUUGAACUCAGGACGGUCGAAAACCUUAGGAGGAGCAUAAAAGGAAAAAUAGCACUAUUCACAUGUACGGUACUAUUCACAUGUAUGGUACUGUCUACGUUACUGUUCACGACACUGUUCACAUAGACGGAUCGAUGACGUGGCAUUGACCGAUGAUGUGGCAUUGACUGAUGAGGUGUCAUGAUCCUGUUGGUCUAAAAUUCUUAUGAACUGUUGAUGGUGACGUGGCAGCAUAUUAGUGGACCAAAACUUGCGCGUACGGUACAUGCAUUACACAGGAUUAUUUUCAACCAAACUACGUUACUGUUCAAAGCCGGGUCAAACCGUGUUACUGUUCAUCCGCGUGGUCAAACCGCGUACUGUUGACUGAUAACGUGACACAAUCAUGAGCGUCCAAACUGUUUUUAAUCCGAUGGCCAUGAUUUACUCCAUGUAUCUAUAAAAAGGGGGCCUCCCCCCCUAAUUUGAUACCUCUGAAUCCAUUUUUGGGAUCCAUUUUCUGUAAUUCCUUCUCCAUCUUGUAUUUUCUAUGUAUUUUAAUAAAUUCCCAUUUUGCCCCUAGUUCAAUUAUGAGUACCUAAUUUUCUUUCAAGCUUGGGUUGAAGGUGAAGUCUCAACAUGUGUCAUGGGCUUUAUUUGGUAAAUUUAUUUUCUUUUCCCCUCUAAUUUGUGUGGAUGAUUUGACUUUUCGUAGACAAAUAAUAAUAAUCUUGUCUAGAUACCGCCUUGGUUACAUCGGCUCUCUAGUACAAGGUUAUUAUUAUUUGGCACGAUAAUAAUAUUGAUUAGAGUGUGGCUCAUGAGGUGUGGAUUCCCCCCUCAUGUUUUAAUUGGCAUUAAUAAGGAAUAUUUAGUCCAUGGUGCAUGUUGAUACGGAUCUAGGUACCCAAGUACGUCAUUUCAAUAGAAUUCUCUUCAAUUUAUUCUCGCCAUUUCAAUUCCAAUUUUAGAAUUUAUUCUCCCCAUUUUAGUUUAAGUUUUAGCAUAUUCCAAAUUAUUUCCACCACAAAUCCAAUCACCCAUUUACAAAAUUAAUUCUACACACAAUUAAAAUCCACCUCCUCGUGGGAUCGACACUCGUCACCAUUGAUCUAUAUUACAAUAGAUUCGUGCACUUGCGAGUUCAAUAAAAUUUGCACAACAUCGUCACCCAAGGAGAAAAACACAAAGAAACAAAAGAAAAACAAGAUUCAAGAGAGAGAUUAAGGGCUGUACAAGAGGAAAAAUUGCAGAGAUCAAUUGGGAGCUCAAUCCUUCUUAUCCUUCUCUUGUUUUCGUGUUUUCUAUUUAUUCAUGGGGAUGUGUUUCAUGGCCGAAACUUUGUUCUUUAUUUUUCUUUUGCAAAUCAUGAACUAAAUUUAUUUGUAGUUGAGUGAUAAAUAAUCUUGAUGGUUUAUUGACUGGAAAUACGUGUUGCUGAAUGUUUGCUGUAGCAUUUUGUUUUGAUAGCAUUUAUUUUUAUUCAUUAUUUCGGAUGAUCGCCCAUUUGAUGAUACAAGUUAGGAGAUAGCCACAAAAGGGCCUAUCUUAGUGGAACAUAUAAGAGUAAUACUUGGUUUUAGAUUGUAUUUCAUGUAUUGGGUUUAACUUAUUCCAAAAGGGCCAUGCUUAAUCUAAAAUUAGUGAUGAACUAGACAUAGGGAUUCACCUUGUAGGGUAAAUAGAACCUAAGCGUGUAAUGUUAUAUCUUAUAUUAGCAUAACAACUUAUCACUGUUAGGUUGCAUAUAGAUAUAAGAUAUCCAACAUGCGACGACUGAGGAUACAUAAGGAUUCUGCCCAGUGCUGUACCAAAUGUUGUAGCAACCGAGCCAAAUAUUAGAAAAAUAGUCAAAACCAUUAAGAGAGUUUAUUCACUCAACUACUUUAUAUUCCCAUUGGUUUUAUCUUUGAGAUUGACGUGAUAAUUUACUUUGUUGCAUUUUAUUUCUUACAUUUUUAUUUUAAUUAGUGUAUUAGUUUCAUUAAUUAUUUUAUUUUAAUUUAGCACAAAAUCUGCACUGUUAAGAUUGCUGUAGCAAAUCUGAUAACAUCAAUUCCUGUGGAGACGAUCUUGAAUACUCAUCACUUUAUUACUUGUUGUGUACACUUACACAUUGACGCCAAUAGCAUUAGUAUUUAUACCCAACAAGUUUUUGGCGCAAUUGCCGGUGAUUGAAUGUUCAUUGUGAUUUGUGAAAUUAGUUUUAACGGUGCUAAUUUUUAAUUUAAUUUUAAUUUGUUUAUGUUGUUGACAUAGGUGAUCUAGCAACCCUUGCAUGCGCAAAUAUAAAUAUGUUGAAUUCCAAUUUGAUCCAGAAAUUGAAAAAAAUCGCAAGGAGAUUGAGAAUAGAGCAUAAAAAAUUACAAGCUGUUGUAGUAAUGGAUGACUUGCAAGAUAUGAGAAACUUGAACCGUAGAGAGGAGAUACAACCAGUCAAUGUACAUGAAGGUCUAAAUGGACAAUGUGUUCAACAUCGUGGUAUUCCUUGCUGCAUACAAUUGGAAACUUUCUAUAAUGGUCUCAACCCAAGCACUAGAUUGAUGGUGGACGCUUCAGUAAAUGGGGUAUUGUUAUCUAAGUCUUACGAUGAAGCUUAUAAAAUUUUGGAGAGGAUAGCCAACAAUAACUAUCAGUGGCCAUCAACUAGACAAGUUGCAGCAAGAGGAACAACAAGAGUCUAUAAUGUAGAUGCCUUAAUAGCAUUGUCAGCCCAAGUAACUUCAUUAAAAAAGAUGGUCAAGGUUAUGACUAAUGCUCCAGCAACUGUUAACCAAAUUUCUGAUGUGUCUUGCGUUUAUUGUGGAGAAGGGCAUUUAUUUGAUAAUUGUCCUUGUAAUCCAACUUCGGUUAACUAUAUGGGUAGCUUCAACAGACAAAACCAGAGCAAUCCAUAUUCAAACACUUACAACCCUAGAUGGAGACAGCAUCCGAACUUUUCAUGGAGUUAUCAGAACCAGACUGCUGCAGUACCCAGCAGAUUUUAUCAGCAAAAUCAAGAGCAAAGAAGCAUCAACAAUGAUCAACUCAACUCCCUUGAAGGUUUGAUUAAAGAUUAUAUUGUGAAAAAUGAAGCAGUUGUCCAAAGUCAUAGUGUAUCUUUGAGAAACUUGGAUAAUCAAAUUGGACAGCUUGCUACAGCAUUGAGCAACAGACCUCAAGGUAGUUUACCUAGUAAUACAGAGGACCCAAGAAGAGAAGGGAAAGAGCACUGUAAAGGGAUUAACUUGAGAUCUGGAAAGGAUGUUCAUAGUCCCAUUAGUGUACCAAAAAGAAGAGUUGAGUCCACUUCAAUCCAGAAAGAAACUCAAAUUGAAAAAGAGCCACAAUCCUCCACUUCACAGCACAUUGGUGAGAGCAGUCAAGCUGCAGUAUUUGCCGAAAAAUGAUAAUCCAACACCUGUGGAUAACGAGGCUGUAGCACCAACCCAGAACAUAGCAAAAAAGAAACAGUCUGCACGACCUUCUACAACACAGCAGUUUAGGCACCCACUACCACCACCCUUCCCUCAAAGAUUUCAGCAGCAAUAAGACAAACAGUUCAGCAAAAUCUUGGGAGUGUUGAAACAGUUACAUAUCAAUAUCCCUUUUGUGGAAGCUCUAGAGCAAAUGCCAAAUUAUGAAAAAAAUUUUAAAGAUAUUUUGACAAAAAAAAAUAAGACUUGGAGAAUUUGAGAUAGUUGCUCUAACACAAGAGUGCAGCCGAAUGCUUCAGAGUAAGAUACCGUAGAAGAUGAAGGAUCCAUGAAGCUUCACAAUCUCUUGCUCCAUAGGCACUAAAUACAGUGGCAAAACACUUUGUGAUCUGGGGGCUAGCAUCAAUCUCAUGCCUUUAUCAGUGUUUAAGCAAUUGAGAGUUGGUAAAUGUAGACCAACAACAGUGGCUUUACAACUUGCUGACAGAUCUCAUGCAUAUCCAAAAGGGAAGAUUGAAGAUGUGUUGGUGAAGGUGGAUAAAUUUAUUUUUCCGGUGGAUUUCAUUGUGCUAGACUUUGAGGCAGACAAAGAAGCGCCAAUCAUUCUAGGGAGACCUUUCUUAGCCACGAGAAAGACUUUAAUUGAUGUUCAAAAAGAAGAAUUAACUAUGAGGGUAAAUGACCAGCAAGUUACAUUCAAUGUGCUAGAUACCAUGAAGAGUCCCGAUGAGAUUGAAGAUUGUAAUAUAUCAAUGUUGUGGACUUUGUUGUAGCAGAGAGAUUACACAGUUGCUGCAGUAAGGAAGAAAUCAAUGUUGUAACAUUUGAAGAACUUGAUGAUGAAGAUCGUGGAGUAGCUAACAUAACAUGGUCAGGGGAGAAGUAACCCUUCAGAAUUGACGAGCAUAUCCAACAAAGGGAACUCACUCUAGACCAACAAGAAUUCAAGGUUAGCAGGCCGAAAGUGAAGCACUAUAUGGGAGAUGAUGUGAACAGCCUAAAGAAGGAUCGGUUCUUGAAGGAUCCAGGUUGAGCAAACAAGAAAGGUCAGGCUGAAAAACCUAAAAUCAAGCGCUAAUUGGGAGGCAACCCAAUAAGGGAAAUUGUUUUAAGUUUUUAAGGCAUUGAUUUUAGUUUUUAAAUUAUUUAAUUUGUCUUUUUGUUAUUUUAAGUGUGCAUAUAAUUUUUUGUCUUUUUGUUAAAUUGCAGCAAGUAAAAAAAAUGUGGGCAAAAACAGAGCAUGAUGGAAUUGCUGCAGCAUCACUUACAGCAUGACAUAUAACAGAAGAUUCUCAUACAAUAUAGGCAUUUCUUACUUUUACAGCAGCAAAUGGAUUGAUCAAAUUUUAUGAUAAGGAGCGUUUGAGAAGUGAAUCAAAUAAGAAGUGACUCUUUUCAGCCUGUGCUGCAGCAGUGCUUCCAGCAACAGGGGAGUACCCCUACCCGCUAGUUUAUUUUACUUCUUUCUGUAAAAUUUUUCUUUCAUUUAGUUUUAAUUUUCUAAUUCAUUCUGCAUGUCCUUUUAUUUAGUGUAUGCAUGUCUGGUUUAUGUGAUUUUGUUUUAUGUGUGAGGACACAACACCACUCAAGUUUGGGGGGGUUGUGUUUCUGAGUGCAUGUGUUUAUACUUGUGUUGUGUGUUAUGUGAAGCUCUGUCAUCUAAUAUUUGUGUAUGGAUUUGAAAACCUAAUGAAGAUAAAUUGAGUGUUAGUCAGUAUUUAUGAGAAUGCCAAGUAGAGAUAGUUAUAGAUGGAGGUUGAAAUUUUGUCCCGACACUUAGACUUUGGUUGAGUUUUAUGAGAAUGCUAUAGCGAAAACCAAAAAAGAGUAGAAAAUAUCUCAAGUUUAGGGAAAAUUUUUGUUGGACUGUGCCUGUUAUGAAAUAAAUUUUGCUCCAAUGGCUUAAGUUGCUGAGUAACCAGGGCUGAGUAUGUACCACAUAUGCAGACUUGAGUCCAAAGGCAACAAGAGCUAUGAGCAGUCCUGCAGCAAUUUUAUAUAAAAAAAAGUAAAAAAAUGGUGAUGAAGGAAUGAAAAAUAAAGAGGUCUGCUGCCUAGGAUAUUGAGUAACCUGGUCUGUUCAUGAGCCCCAUGUUCAGCCUUGAGUUAAAGGCGUCCGAAGGUAAGACCUAAAUAUAGCAUCCUGGAUGUGUUGCUGCAGCAACUCUGAUAUGUGCUUUGAGUGAGUAAUUGGGUGUCGUCAUUACAAGUUAUAGGCAUUCACAUGAAAGCUCAAUGUUGCAUUGAAGAGUUUAACUGAAAAAAAAAAUUUAUGUUUGUUGAAGCAUAAUUUGAGUUUAUUUAUGAAUUAUGCUCCCCCAUAUGUGAAUAUAUUUGUGUUCUACCUUUAAAUUAUAUGCAAUGUCUGUGUAAUGUUGUAGCACUUUUGGAAUUUGAUCAAAGUGGCACACACACACACUGGACAGAAUGAAGCCUAAGUCUAAAACUUGAAUUGUUAUGGCAAUUUUGUACGAUUAAAAGUGUGAUAUGAGGGUUGAACAAUCUUUGCAAAUUUGAUAACAAAGUUAAGUUAUUUGUUGCAUGAUUGUGUGCUUGAAGUGUUAGUGUUUCGUCAUUACUUGAGGACAAGUAAUGGGUUAAGUUUGGGGGUGUGAUAACUCUAUAAAAUGAGAGUUAUCAUAACACUUUUAGACUUAAAUCAAGAUCACUUAGAGAGUAAAUGAUGUGUUUUUAUUGCAUUUUUGUUACAUUUUGCAUAAACAUUCAUUUUAGUUUAGUCCUAAUAACUUUUACUUGAUUUAAAGUAAUUCGUGCUCAAAUUGUGUGCAUAAUUGUAUGUUUCCAAAAGCUUAUAAUUCAUUGAAGGAAUGUUGAUGCAAUAGGCUAGUAAAAAUAAGGAAAGAACAUGGCUACAAAAGAAUUGAAAUAAAUCUAGAAUAGUGCAGUUGUUGUAGCCGUUGCUGUAGCAAUCCUGGAACAACAACAGAGAAAAUUCCGUGCAGGAUACUUGUAGAAUUGCGAUAUGUAGUUUCCUAAUCUGACUUAUGCGCAACCUAGGCUUCCGUUUACCCUAAUUUUCAACUAUAAAAGGAGCACACAUCAUAAGGAAUAAGGGGGAGCAGUCACCCAAGGAGGAAAAACACAAAGAAACAAAAGAAAAACAAGAUUCAAGAGAGAGAUUAAGGGUUGCACAAGAGGAAAAAUUGCAGAGAUCAAUUGGGAGCUCAAUACUUCUUAUCCUUCUCUUGUUUUCGUGUUUUCUAUUUAUUCACAGGGAUGUGUUUCAUGGACGAAACUUUGAUCUUUAUUUUUCUUUUGCAAAUCAUGAACUAAAUUUAUUUGUAGUUGAGUGAUAAACAAUCUUGAUGGUUUAUUGACUGAAAAUAUGUGUUGCUAUAUGUUUGCUGUAGCAUUUUGUUUUGAUAGCAUUUAUUUUUAUUCAUUAUUUUGGCUGAUCACCCAUUUAAUGAGACAAGUUAGGAGAGAGCCACAAAAGGGUCUAUCUUAGUGGGACAUAUAAGAGUAAUACUUGAUUUUAGAUUGGGUUUCCUGGAUUGAGUUUAACUUAUCCCAAAAGGGCCAUGCUUAAUUUAAAAUUAGUGAUGAACUAGAUAUAAGGAUUCACCUUGUAGGGUAAAUAGAACCUAAGCGUGUAAUGAUAUAUCUUAUGUUGGCAUAACAACUGAUCACUGUUAGGUUGCAUAUAGAUAUAAUAUAUCUAACAUGUGACGGCUGAGGAUACAUAAGGAUUCUGCCCAGUGCUGUNNNNNNNNNNNNNNNNNNNNNNNNNNNNNNNNNNNNNNNNNNNNNNNNNNNNNNNNNNNNNNNNNNNNNNNNNNNNNNNNNNNNNNNNNNNNNNNNNNNNNNNNNNNNNNNNNNNNNNNNNNNNNNNNNNNNNNNNNNNNNNNNNNNNNNNNNNNNNNNNNNNNNNNNNNNNNNNNNNNNNNNNNNNNNNNNNNNNNNNNNNNNNNNNNNNNNNNNNNNNNNNNNNNNNNNNNNNNNNNNNNNNNNNNNNNNNNNNNNNNNNNNNNNNNNNNNNNNNNNNNNNNNNNNNNNNNNNNNNNNNNNNNNNNNNNNNNNNNNNNNNNNNNNNNNNNNNNNNNNNNNNNNNNNNNNNNNNNNNNNNNNNNNNNNNNNNNNNNNNNNNNNNNNNNNNNNNNNNNNNNNNNNNNNNNNNNNNNNNNNNNNNNNNNNNNNNNNNNNNNNNNNNNNNNNNNNNNNNNNNNNNNNNNNNNNNNNNNNNNNNNNNNNNNNNNNNNNNNNNNNNNNNNNNNNNNNNNNNNNNNNNNNNNNNNNNNNNNNNNNNNNNNNNNNNNNNNNNNNNNNNNNNNNNNNNNNNNNNNNNNNNNNNNNNNNNNNNNNNNNNNNNNNNNNNNNNNNNNNNNNNNNNNNNNNNNNNNNNNNNNNNNNNNNNNNNNNNNNNNNNNNNNNNNNNNNNNNNNNNNNNNNNNNNNNNNNNNNNNNNNNNNNNNNNNNNNNNNNNNNNNNNNNNNNNNNNNNNNNNNNNNNNNNNNNNNNNNNNNNNNNNNNNNNNNNNNNNNNNNNNNNNNNNNNNNNNNNNNNNNNNNNNNNNNNNNNNNNNNNNNNNNNNNNNNNNNNNNNNNNNNNNNNNNNNNNNNNNNNNNNNNNNNNNNNNNNNNNNNNNNNNNNNNNNNNNNNNNNNNNNNNNNNNNNNNNNNNNNNNNNNNNNNNNNNNNNNNNNNNNNNNNNNNNNNNNNNNNNNNNNNNNNNNNNNNNNNNNNNNNNNNNNNNNNNNNNNNNNNNNNNNNNNNNNNNNNNNNNNNNNNNNNNNNNNNNNNNNNNNNNNNNNNNNNNNNNNNNNNCCAAAUAUUAGAAAAAUAGUCAAAACCAUUAAGAGAGUUUAUUCACUCAACUACUCUAUAUUCCCAUUGAUUUUAUCCUUGAGAUUGACGUGAUAAUUUACUUUGUUGCAUUUUAUUUAUUACGUUUUUAUUUUAAUCAGUAUAUUAGUUUCAUUAAUUGUUUUAUUUUAAUUUAGCAUAAAAUCUGCAUUGUUAAGAUUACUGUAGCAAAUCUGAUAACAUCAAUCCCUAUGCAGACGAUCUUGAAUACUCAUCACUUUAUUACUUGUUGUAUACACUUGCACAUUGACACCAAUAGCAUUAAUAUUUAUACCCAGCAAGUUUUUGUGCUAGUGCCUCAAGGUUUAUAAAGUAAUCCUCAAGUGCUCUGCAUGUUCCUCUCAACUAUAUGAAUAUAUUAGGAUAUCAUCAAUAAAUACAAUAACAAACCGAUCUAAGUAAGACUGAAAGACCCAGUUCAUGAGAUCCAUAAAUUCUGCAGGGGCAUUGGUUAGCCCAAUUGGCAUUACCAAAAACUCAUAAUGCCUAUAACGAGUGCUAAAUGUGGUUUUGGAUACAUUAACAUCUCUCAUCUUCAAUUGAUGAUAACCUGAGCAUAAAUCUAUCUUUAAGAAAACUGUCACACCCUAUAGCCAAUCAAACAGGUCAUCAAUCUGAGGAAGCAAAUAUUUGUUACGAUUAAUGACUUUAUUCGACUUCUUGUAUUCAGUACAAAAUCUAUAGUUCUAUCUUUUUUCUUCACAAAUAAUAUUAGUGCUCUCCAUAGAGAUAUACUAGGUCUGAUGAAGCCCUCAUCAACUAGUUUUUGUAACUAUACCGUUAACUCUCUUAACUCUAAUAAAGCCAUCCUGUAUGGGGCCAUAGAAGUAAGGGUUAUGCCUAGAAUUAAAUCAACAGUGAACUCUAUAUCUCUAUUAAGUGGCAAGCCAAGAAGAUUGUUAGGAAACAUAUUCAGAUACUCUUUUACCAUAAGAAUAUCUUCUAAUUUCACAUCAUUAAUUUAGCUAUCAAUAACAUGAGCCAAAGUAGCAAAACACCCUUUUUGAGUAAUCGUUUAGCAGAAAUAGUAAACAUCACACAAGAAAGAAAGAUUUAUUGUUCCCUAUAGAAAAUUGUAUUAGAUUCUCCAUAUUUUCUGAAAGUUACUUCUUUUCGAAAACAGUCCACUGUAGCAUGAUUUGAUGAUGGUUCGUUAGCCAAUCUAUCCUCAGUUUAGUAUCAAAAUCAUGAAUGUCUUACGAAUCAGAUUUGUUACCAUGUCACUAUUAUCCAUUCUUACCAUACAAUCUCAAAAUAUACUCUCAAGCAACAAAGAAUUACUAACUGGUGUAGCUACUACUAAAGUACAAUCUAAUGGUCAUAUCUCUAUAUCCGUAUAUGUGGAAAAUGUAUAAGAAACAAAAGAAUAGGUAGACUGUAAUCAAUUAAAACAUACGCCUUACGGCUAAAGAUAGUCAAAAUACCCGUCACGACAUCUCAAGUAGCAUAGACCUCCUACCGAGUUAGAGCAAAUAAAUGUGCUUGUGUAUACGGUUUACUUGGCUGACUUCUCUGUUGAUUACCACUAGUCUCUCCUACAUUGGACUGAGACCUACUGGAAAAUGUGGGUCCUCUUCUUUAGGAAUCUCCUCGCCCUUGAAAGUGACUACUGCCUCUCUAAAGGUAGUAAGGGUCUCAAUCUAGCAUAAAACUAGUGUUCGAUGUCAAGUUUGGAAAAUCUUUCUUCAAGUAUCCUGGUUAUCUAAACUAAAAGUAACAUGACAGACCGCUCAAACAUUGUCACUUGUGAAGUUUGCCACAAAUAUUACACUGAGGGCAAUUGCCUCUACUUACAUUGCAUCUCUGUCAAACAUUGUCGUGACUAUUAGAAGGUCUCUUCCUUCGAAGAAACCCUGGUCGUCAAUUGUACUACUGCCUAGUUAAGAAAUCUUUGCUCCAUUUCUCUCCUUUGAGAUCUACUACUAAGUUCACCAACUGGCCAAAUAGGGCUUUGCUUAUGCUGUUACGAUUCAACCAUUUGUGCUUGUCUAUGACUCCUCUCGAUUCUUGCAACAACUCAGUGUGCCAAAAUCUAUACAUUCUGCUCUAAUUACUAAAGUACUUAUGCCCUUUCAAAGAACUCGUUCGAACGUUCUACACUUCUCCUUAUCAUUCGGUGCAACAAAUGGGACAAAUCUUAAUAGCUCAGAAAAUUUAUGCUCAUACUCUUCCACAUUUAUGUAUUCCUGUACAAGUUUCAUAAACUCAUUCAUCAUGUCCUCCAAUAAAUAAUGGGAAAGAAUUUAUUAGUAAACUCUUGCUGAAAAUCUACUAAGGUGGUCUGCAACCAAGUUUUCUGCUCCUUUCAUGUCACGGAUCUCUAAGUUGAACUCUUGAAGUAGUAGGAUCCAGCGGAUGAGUCUGAGUUUCGCUUCCUUCUUGGCGAGCAAAUAACUGAGAGCUGCAUGGUUAAAAAAAAUAAUAACUUUAGUACCCAAUAAAUAUGAACGAAAUUUUUCUAUAGCAAAAACAAUAGCCAAAAGUUAUUUUUCCGUUGUUGAGUAAUUGCACUGAGCACUAUCAAGUGUCCUUAAUGCGUAAUAUAUCACGUGAGCAGCUCUUGCAAUCCUUUGUCUAAGAAUAGCACUAACAGCAUAGUUACUGGCAUCGCACAUUAUCUCAAAAGGGAGGCUCCAGUCGGGUGGUUGUAUAAUUGGAGCUGAACUCAAUAACUCCUUAAGCUUAUCAAAUGCUACCUUGCAUGCUUCAUUAAAAUCAAACGUCACAUCUUUCUAAAGUAGCUUGUAUAAAGGCUGAGCUAUCUUCAAAAAGUCCUUGAUAAAACAUUGAUAGAAACCUGCGUGACGAAGGAAAGAACAAACUUCCCGCACACAUGUGGGAUAAGGUAAAGAUUUAUUAAUAUUUAUCUUAACUUUAUCUACCUCAAUUCCUCUAGCAGAGACUACAUGGCCCAAAAGAAUGCCUUGAUCAACCAUAAAAUGACAUUUUUCAUAAUUCAAGACAAGGUUUGUUUCAAUGCAUCUUUCAAGCACUUUCUUCAUAUUAUAGAGACAAUCAUCAAAAGAAUCAGCAUAGACUGUAAAAUCGUCCAUAAAUACCUCUAUAAUGUUCUCUACAGAGUCUGAAAAAACAUUGACCAUGCACCUCUGAAAAGUGGCGGGAGCGUUACAAAGACCAAAUGGCAUACGUCGGUACGUAAAGGUUCCAAAAGGACAUGUGAAGGUAGUCUUCUCCUGAUCCUCAGGCCCAACUGGUAUCUGAUGAAAACCUGAAUAGCCAUCAAGACAACAAAAGUGAGAUUUUCCUGCCAACCUUUCAAGCAUCUGAUCAAUAAAAGGAACAGGAAAAUGAUCAUUCCUAGUGAGUGAAUUAAGCUUUCUAAAAUCAAUACAAACCCUCCACCCAUUCUGAACUCGGGUGAGUACUAACUCACCAUAAAAAUUCUCAACAAUUAUUAUACUAGUUUUCUUCGGUACCACUUGUACCAGACUUACCCAUUUGCUAUCGGAAAUUGGAUAGAUUAUACCUGCAUCAAGAAGUUUCAGAAUUUCUUUCUUCAUUACUUCCAUCAUGAGUGGAUUCAAACGGCAUUGACCUUGAAUCGAAGGUUUGGCAUCUUCCUCCAAUAGUAUUCUAUGCAUGCACAUGGAUGGACAUAUCCGUUUAAUAUCAACAAUUGUCCACCUAAUAGCCUUUUUGUAAUCCUUCAGCACUCUAAUAAGCUUUUCUUCCUCUAAAGUACUAAGCUUUGAAGAGAUGAUCACCGGAAGUGUCUCACCAUCUCCUAGAAACAUGUACUUUAGAUGACUCGGCAAUGGUUUAAGCUCUAUUUUCGGUGCCUACAAAAUAGAUGGAAGAAGUUUUGCAUGAGAUGAAUGUUAACAUAUAUGUUUCCAUAAUAUUGAUUUUGAUGAUAACAAACAAGAUUAAGAAUGAUAAAUAUUUUAAGCUCAAACUAUUUAAUAUUCUUUUUAAAUAAAUCAUUAUUUUCAUAUUAUAAAUGCUUCAUAUUUAAUGAAAAAUGAUUUUAUGAAAUUGGUUAUUUUUCAAAGUUUAUGGUUUAAUUGAAAGAAUUUUGAAAUCUUUGAAAUAAACAAGUAGUGCUUGAAAUUUCAGAUUUGGACCUAUUUGAAACUAUUUAAAUGUUUUUGGGCCCUUCUAUAAUUUCAUAAAGUUUGGGCGAAGUCAUAAUUUCAGAAAGUUGUGGGAUUGAGAAAGCAUUAUUUAAAAUUCUGAAAUUGGACCUAUUUGCAAACUUUUAUAACAUUUUGGGCCAUACUAUAGUUUUAUAAAGUUUUAGGGUCAAACUAUAAAUUUUGGGAAAUAUUUUACUGUAGCAGUUACUGUAGCAAGCGGCUUACCGGAUACUGAUAAACGGCAGGCCGAAUUCGGGGCAGUAAGCACCAGAACGAAAACGGCUUACCGAAUUCCGAAUCCGGCAAACCGGUUAGGCAAAAUUUUGAAUUUUUCCUUAACGGUAACAUAAAUCCGGCUUACCGGAUUCCAUAAACGGCAAACCGGAUACGCCUGGAAUGUGAGUAACGGCUAGUUUUUGAGCUCAAACUAUAAGAACUCAAAUCCAACUCAUUUUGAAGCUCUCAAACAAUCUCCAACAAGCAAGAACAAGUGCACACAACAUAUAUUGAGCUUCAACUUCGUGAAUCAUCAUUCAUUAAAUCAUCUUUGUUCUUCAAUUUGUAUAUCCACUCUUAAAGAGAGAUUUAUUGUUGUAUUUAUCAUUUCUCAUCAAUUUGUGAGUGUACAAGUGUGGUAAACACUUGGGGUGAAGAGAUUGGGGAUAUAAUCUCUUGUUGUAAAGGUUCAUUAACACCUUGGAAGUCAAUUGUAAACAUUUGAAGCCUUGGGAGGCUUGGAUAGUGAAAUCCUCAAGCCGGGUGAGCUUGGAGGCGUGGACGUAGGCGGGGAUAGCCGAACCACGUAAAAAUCCUUGUGUUCGUUUUCUCUUCCCUUACUCUUUUAAUAUUGUGUUUCAUUGAAUUUAUUGUUUUCGAAUUUAUUAAGGCAUUAGAUUGAAUUGUUGUGUGGUUUGCUUAGGAUAAUUUUUAAAAUUCCAAUUCACCCCCCCCCCCCUCUUGGGUUGCCUAGCUAGUAUUUCAAUGAAGGUAAUUUAAUAUAAGACAUAUGAUGAGUUAAAGUUCUCAAAGAAUUUAAUUCAUAAAUUGUCUCUUGCAAUACAUAAUUUAAAACAAACUCAUUUUCAUCCUUUUGCAAUCCUUUGAGGCCCAAACUAUUAUUUAAAGUAGCUACCAAUGAAUCCUCAACAUCCAAAUAAAAAACUUCCUGCACUAUAGGGUUAAUAACAUCCACAGAAAAUACCGAAUGUUCCUCACUAGGAUAUUUCAUGGCAUCAUUCAUAUUGAAUUCUAUAACCUCUCCAUCAAACUCCAUAGUGAGAGUCCCUUUAUAUACAUCCAUUUUAGUCCUAGCAGUCUUAGGAAAAUGUCUUUCUAGCAAAAUUAGGACAGAAUUAAAGGAGUUAUCAUGUUCCAUAUCAAGUACAUAAAAAUCAGAAGGAAAAACCAACUCAUUAACUUGUACUAAGACAUCUUCUAAUACCCCAUCAGGAUAUGCAUUAGACCUAUCAACUAGUUGAAUUAUCACACCAGUUUCUUUUAAUGGACCAACAUUCAAAGAUGAAUAAAUAGAACGAGACAUGACAUUAAUAGAAGCUCCUAGAUCUAACAUAGCCUUCUCAACUCUAACACUACCAAUUUUGCAAGGGAUAGUAAACAUACCUGGAUUCUUGCACUUAGGAGGUAAUUUCUUUUGGAGAACUACUGAAACAUUCUCCCCCAUGUGAACUCUUUCAUCUUCUCUUAAUUUUCUCUUAGAGGUGCGCAGUUCCUUAAGGAAUUUAGCAUAUCGAGGUAUUUGUUUUAUAGCAUCUAAUAAAGGAAUAUUUACCUCAACCUUGUGGAAUAUCUCAAGGAUGUCUUUCUCUUGUUCCUCCUUCUUGGAUUUUGCAAACCGACUUGGAAAAGGAGAAGGUAUCACCACAGGUAGAGGUUUCGCUCUAGUGGGUUGCGCAUCUUGAGAUUUAGGCAUCAAUUCAUUCUUCUCAAGCUCAUCUUCUAUAUGUUUUGUCACUUUCUUACUAGGCUCUUGCAACUCCUUCCCACUUAUAAGGAUGAUAGUACUAGCGUUUUGCUUUGGAUUCACCUCAAAUUGUGAAGGUAAUCUCCCUGAUACUUGAGACUCCAGACGGCUCACUGUAGUCGUCAAUUGACUCAUUUGGUUCCCUAAAUUCUGAAUGUUUGUUGUAGUUGCCUGCUGAAAUUGUUGAGUGUUAGUCGCAAGUGAUUUAACAAUUUCUUCAAGAGAUAUACCUAACUUGGAGUUUGACUGUGGAGGUGCUGGUUGUCUUGGUGGAUAUUAUUGUGGGAAUCCUGACGGCCUAACUCCAUAGCUGAAGUUGGGAUGAUCCUUCCAUCCCAGAUUGUAUGUUUGUGCAUAAGGAUCAUAUCUCCUCUGAUGCAUACUUGGAAAUCCUCCAACUGCAUUGGCUUGUUCAACGGGUUCUUCUUAAAGUGUAGGACACAUUUCAGUUGAAGACCCGUAUUGGAACAAAUGCCAUAAGUCUUCACCUGUUGCACAUUACCUAUAAUAAAUUUUUCCACAAGAGAAGUAAGUUUAUCUAAACAUUGUUCAAUAGAAGAAAUAUUUACCUCAUUCACCUUCUUUGAAGUGGGAUCUUGCCUGCUGCUAAAUUAUUGUGCAUUGGCAGCCAUAUUUGAGAUCAACUCUCUUGCUUGAGUAGGGGUCUUGUUCACCAACACACCUCCACUAUCAGCAUCUAUCAUACUCCUAUCCAUCAAUGACAGUCCUUCAUAAAAAUAUUGAAUAAGAAGUUGAUCAGAAAUCUGAUGUUGAGGACAUCUGCCACACAAUUGUUUGAAUCGCUCCCAAUACUCAUACAAAGUCUCCCUAGGAAGUUGUCUGAUCCCACAAAUGUCUUUUCUGAUAUUGGCAGCUCUUAAAGCAUGAAAGUACUUCUCAAGGAACUGCUUCUUUAAAUCAUUCCACGUUGUAAUCGAUCCAGGAGGCAAGUAGUACAACCAGUCUUUAGCUAGCCCAUCUAAAGAGAAAGAAAAAGCACGCAGCUUAAUCUGCUCUUCAGUCACGCCUUGUGGCCUCAUACUUGAACACACAACAUGAAACUCCUUGAGAUGUUUAUGAGGAUCUUCACCUACAAAACCAUGAAACUUGGGUACCAAAUGAAUAAGACCAGACUUUAAUUCAAAAAUUACCUCCAAGUCUACAUAUUGAAUGCAGAGUGGUUGCUGAUUCAAGUCUGAUUCAGCUAACUCUCUAAGAGUUCUUUCUACAGGUGCAGCACUAUCAAUCACUUGUUCUUUUAAAUCGCUAGAUGAUUCAACCAAAUUAGGCACCGUAUCUAUUUCAGAAAGCAAAGGCGACGAGGAUCGUUGUUUAGCUCGCUUUAUCUGCUAUCUUAGCUGGCGAGCUGUCUUCUCAAUUUCAGGAUCAAACAAAAGUGUACAUGUACGAGAAGAACAAACAAUACACCAAGUAAAACAUAAAAAGGAUUAAAUAAACGACACCAAUCCCCGGCAACGGCGCCAAAAUUUGAUGGUUGUCGAAGCCAGCAAAAAUAAAUACCUACUCUAAAUAAAUUGUGUAUGAUAGAGCAAGGUCGUGUCCACAAAGAUCGGUAAUUAUUUAAAUCCUUUUAAAAUAUAAAAUGCAAAAUGGGGGGAUUGUUGACAAUAAUAGAAACCAAAUUAAAAUAACAAGAAUGCAAAUUCAAAAUUGUGAUUCAAAUUGGGGAAAGCUCUGGUUGAAGGAAUUAACUCAGCUUGAUUCGACUACUUAUGAAUAGAUCGGUUAUAGCUACUGAGACACUCUAAUAGCCAAUCUCUCCUUAACUAGUCGAUAAUCAAGGUAGGACCAUUGGUUAUUUCCCUAAUCAAUAGAUAACUCUAGAUACGAUCAUAGGAUUUAAUCAAUUGACAGCCUAAAAAACCAGAGAGACCCAAAUCCUAAUCAACAAACGCAUACGAUGGUUCAUUUAAAUUAGAUUGUUUAUUCUCAUAACACAACGCACUGUUAUACUAUUUGUCACAAACAUUAAAAUCUUCAUACGAUGAAUCCUUUAAUUGACAAUAGAUUAAGUUUAUAAUUAAAUAGUGGCCAAUUAUCUAAUUAACAAACAUAAUCGUGACAAUAAUUUAGAGAAUAAACAAAUACCCAAAAAGUAAUAAAACAAUUAAAGCAUAAGAAAGAUCUCACAGUAAUGAUGAAUCAAAGCUUCAUUAACUUUCAACCAGAAUAAUAGGUUUAGUUCUUCAUAGAGAGAAGAGAAAAAUUUAGAUCUAGGGUUUCUUUUUCUUUCUUUGACAAUAGAUUCCUCCCUUCAAUUCUCUUUUUUCUCUUCUCCUCUAGAGUUCUUUUUAAAAUAAAAUACUAAUAUCUAAAAUAUUAUCUAAAUAUUAAAUUCGUAAUUAUAAAAAUAACCAAAAAGACAAAACACGUUAAAAUAAAAACUGCAGGUCCUUAGUUGACAGUAUGCGCCCACGCCUUAUCAAUAAAGUUCUUCUGAAGCUCAUAAUUUUUCCAGAAAAAUAAUCAUCGUCAAACAUCAUCUUGUAGCUCAAUUUUAGCACCAAUCAAUAGAAUUGCACCUACAGAAAUAAAACACAAGUAAAUCACUAUUAUUAAAUGCAAAACAUCGAUAUUAAAGGAAGUAAACAAUGCAAAACUAGUGCAUAAAUUGCACUUUAACACCAUCAGAGAGAUUAGAAAUAUGGGAACAUUUCACUAAAUAUGAUCCAGGUAAUAGAUGCAAGUGUAAUUAUUGUGGUAAUGAUUAUGCUUGUAAGAAUAAACAUGGGACUAAAAUUGGGACUAGCACAUUAAGGAAUCAUUUAUUGCGUUGUCCUGAUUAUUUGAGCAUAUUUGAGGAUGAAAAUCAAACAACCUCACAUGAAAUAAAAGGCGAAUCUAAGUCUCAUGUCUUUGAUAAAGAAGCAUGUUGAAAAGCCCUUGCAAGGUUAAUUAUUAUUGAUGAAUUACUGCUUAGUUUUGUGGAGAAAUAGGGCUUUCAACAAUAUAGUAAGCAAUUGGAACCAAACUUUAAUUUACCAUCUAGGAGAACCCUUACUAGAGAUGUGUACAAACUUUUUUGGGAUGAAAAGUAAAAAUUGUGAAACUUUUUUGUUUCAAAUAAGCAAAGGGUUUGUAUAACCACAUAUGCAUGGACUUCUAUUCAAAAUUAUAUCACCAGCCCAUUUCAUUGAUAGUGAAUGGAAACUACAAAAGAGAAAUUUAAAUUUUUGUAUAGUACCUGACCAUAAAGGGGAGACAAUUGGAAAGGUAAUUGAGUCUUGUUUACUUGAGUGGGGUAUAGAAAGGGUAUUUACCAUUACUGUUGAUAAUGCUAGUUCAAAUGAGUUAGCUAUCAAUUAUGUCAAAAAGAAAUUGAAGAAUUGGAGUGAGAAUGGGCUUGUGCUAGAUGGUGAGUUUUUACAUAUGAGAUGUUGUGCGCAUAUUUUAAAUUUAAUUGUGAAUGAAGGGUUGAAAGACUUACAUGUGUCAAUUUCCAGAAUUCAUAAUGCUGUCAAAUAUGUAAAGUCCUCUCCCGCAAGGCUAAAAAAAUUUAAAAUAUGUGUGGAGCAUGAAAGAAUUGAAGGUACUGGUCUUGUGAUUCAAGAUGUGUCCACUAGGUGGAAUUCCACCUACUUAAUGUUGGAGAGUUCUUUAAAAUUUUAAAAGGCUUUUGAGAGAAUGGAGGAUGAUGAUCGACAUUAUGUUUCAUAUGUCAAAGAGGAUGGAGGACCUCCUAAUAGUGAUGAUUGGGAAAAAUGCUAAUGUUUUUAUGUUGUUUUUGAGGUCAUUUUAUGAUAUAACUUUGAAAUUGAGUGGUUCAAUAUACGUGACUUCAAAUUUAUAUUUUCAUGAACUGUGCUCAAUUCAUUCCGAUUUGACAUCAUUAAUUGAAAGUGGUGAUGAUCCUGUCUUAUCUAAAAUGGCAACAAGUAUGAAAAAUAAAUAUGACAAAUAUUGGGGUUCAAUUGAUAGCUUGAAUAAUUUAUUGCUCAUUUCAGUUAUUCUUGAUCCACGUUAUAAGUUAAAAUAUGUGACAUUUUACUUUGAAGACAUUUUUGUUAUUGAUGAGGUUGGGAAGAAGUCUGAAGAGGUGAAAAAUCUUUUAAUACGUCUUUAUGAUUACUAUAAAGAUCUUGACACUAAGAUUGAUGGUUGUGGAUCAUCUAGUGGUGUUAGUAAGUCGUCAAUUGUUGAUAGUAGGAAAUUUGAUAAAAAGAUGGGGUUUUCUAAACUUUCAAGUGUUGCAAAGUUCAGACAAAGAAUAGAAAAAGAUGAUUGUGUUGAGAUGAAGAAUGAAGUAAAGAGGUACUUGUUGGAGCCAUGUGAACAUGUUGAUGAUGAUGACUUUGAGAUUUUGACUUGGUGGAAAAUGAACUCAAUAAAAUAUCGAGUUCUUUCACACAUUGCAAAGGAUGUGUUUGCAAUUCCAAUAUCUACAGUAGCUUCAGAAUCUGCUUUUAGUACUAGAGGGCGCAUCAUUGAUUCAUUUUAUAGUUCUUUAAGUCCAAAGAUGGUGGAAGUUUUGAUAUGCUUACAAAAUUGGUUACGUAACACUUUUGUCCCAUUACAAGAUGAACCAACAAUGGAGGAGCUUGAGUUUUAUGAAGCGAUGAUGUCAGGUAACUAUUUAUCAUAACAAGUUUUAAAAAAAUUUAUAUAUUUGUUUAUCACUAGUUUUUUUUUCAUUAAUUUAUUUUUAUUUAAUGCAGAGUUUGGAUCAAAUAUAACAAUGGAGGCGAUGGCUUUGAAUUGAUGUUAUUCUUAUGAUUAUCAAAUAAAACAACAAAGUUUGGAUCAAACAUUAUAAUUUUUCUUUUUUGGUUAUUUAUUUAUUGGUGAAGGAAUUGACUUCAUUGAUCAUGGAAUCUUUUGAUUAAAAUACUGCGGAUGGAAAUGAUCAUUGAAUUUAUUUUCUUUCUUUUAAUUUGCUUAUUUAUGUCAUGUUCAUGGGAGUUUAUUAUUGGAGUUUAAUUUAAUUCUUUCUUUUAAUUUUUUAUCCAUAAUAUUUUUUCAUAUUUUAAUAUUAAUUUAAUAAUUAAUAAUAAUUAGUAAUUAUUAUAAUUUUGAUAUAAUUAAAUUUAUUAAAAUAAAAAAUAUUUUGAUUAUAAAAUUCAAACCAAACCCAAAUGAGUUGGUUUGAGUUGGGUUAAAAAUAUUUGGGUUGGGUCUAAAUUUUUAUGAUUUGGUUUGGAUUUACUUAAAACCAAAUCCAAAACAACUCAUGCCUACCCUUAGAUAUACGGAGACCAUGAGGACAGAUAAUGUUGAGUUAAACAAUGAGUUUUUGAGGGAAUGUUUAGAAAGAAAAAGAUGAGAUGAGCUAAUUUUAGAAAGAGAGAGGAAUAAAACUUGUCAUUAUCUUCUUCAAUAAUGGUCAGUUUUUGUUUUUAUAUUAGGUUAAAAUAUAAUUUCACCCUUUAAAGGAAAUUUAAACAGUAACAAAAGUAACGGUAGGGGGUGCUCCAAUAUUCAAGAAAUAGUAAGAAAGAAUUGGUACAUAAUUUAAAUAGUAGGGGUAAUUGACGAUCCCCUAAAAAAAUUAUUGACGGCUGUAUGUCACCACCUGUCCUACACAUUCCUCGUUCUAUUGGUCAUGCGUAACACAACAAACAUUUUUUUUUUUUCUGUUAUUUACAGUUAUAAAGCACUUUAGCAUCAUAAAGGAUAAAGCAAAGUCAGGAGUACUACAGAGUACGGAGUUCGGACACUUGUUGACAAUUAACAGUUCAACACUGUCUUACUCGGAAAUAUCCAUUGUCCAGCUGAAAAAGAUAAAUUGAAGUACACGGAAAUAUCCAAUUGUCGAGCUGAAAAAGAUAAAUAAAGAGAAACCUGUUUGUUGUAUUAUUGUCUACAAAACGGUAAACACAAAAAGAAAGAGAGAAAAGAAAAUUUUUUAACAGCGCAAUGAUAAAACAAAUGAGCGAGUUAUUGUAUUCGAAGGACUUGGAUGAUGAUCAAGAAAUUGGGUCGGAGAAAACCUUGAGAAGAUGUAGAUCUGCCUGCAAUGGCCGUAGAAGCGUCCAUAAGCUCGCCGGUCUCGACGAGCAUAUCAAAUUACAGGCGAAUUAUUCCUUUUAUUUCUUAAUUUUUUAAUUAUUAAUUAACUUAUGAUUCAAGUUAAUUUGGGUUAGCUUUAUUGAUUUAUUUAUUUAUUUUAAUUAUAUAAGUAAUUUUUGUAUUUACUUACUUAGUUCUUUGCCUAAUUUCGUUGAGGUUAAUGCCUAAUGGGAAACUUUUAAAAUCAACACUCAAGAAUUUAAAUGCAGAGUCAAGAGUAAAGGUGAAUAGUACUGAAUGAUUGAAUUUGCGAUACCAAACUAAAGGCUUUCUGUGUGUUAUAGGAACAAGUUAGAGUUUUCUAUAUAUGCUAUUCAAAAGCUGUACUUCACUUUACUGAAAAUCUGAGUCUGCAGUCAAACGAAGAUGUGCCAUCAAGUGAAUACAUUGUGAAUGAGGCCGACACCGAAGCUAGAAGAUUUCAAGAACCCAUUGAUGAUGUUGGAUCCACAAUCAGUGGCCUUGAUGUAAUGAUAAUUGAUACUCAAACUUUUGUAACCUCACUUAAAAUUGAAUUUAGGAUACCGAACUAAAUGCUGGCUGUGUGUUACAGGAACAAGUUACAGUUUCACCUGUCGUUCUAAAAGCGGUACUUCACUGUACAGAAAAUCUGAGUCUGCGUUCAAAUGAAGAUGUGCCAUCAAGUGAAUAUGUUGUGACCGAGGCUGCCAACGAAGGCAAAAUAUUUCAAGAACCCGUUGAUGUUGGAUCAACCAUCAAUGGUCAGGUAAUGAUAAUUUAUACUGAAACUUUUAUUCCUCCCUUCAAUUUUCAAAUAUCAAAAUAUGCUCUUUUGAUAUUUGAAAAUCGCUCGAGUAUCCAUUUUCCUGUUUGGAUUUGGAUACAUCGAGGUAAGAAUAUUAAAGUUUUGCUUACAAUUGGCCUCCAAUUUCUGAGCUCAAAACUUUUAACUUAAUGAAUGACAAUACAAUUUCAUUGAUUGAGAUUUAUAACUGCAUUCUUUGUAUAUUACAGAUUUGUGAGCUACUUGGUAAAUAUAAGAAACGUGCACUUGCUGUGUUUUCUGUUGUGUUGGAAGCAGCAUCAUUUUUACUAGAUAUAUAUGGGAAAAGUAAGAGGAGGAUCCUUCUUGCUGCAUUUCUAUUGUCAGCAUUUGGUUUUGCUAUUACUAUGAGUACGCAUUCUUGGACCGGGAGAAGAAACAUAGCUGCAACCAGAAUGUAUUUACAGAAGCGACUACUUAUGUUGUUGGAAAUGUCUUUCUCUUUGGUCCAGUUGAUUGUUUCGCUCAUUUAUUUUAUUCUGGCGGAAUUGGGUGUCAAGAACAAUUUUAGUACAUCUGUUUUCCCACUGGUCUUUGCUAUAAUUGCUGCUGUGUUCACUUUCAAAUAUGAUGGGGAAGUUUCUGAUUCAUCAGGCCUCGACAGUGCGCUUGUGGCCCUAGCUGCUGGUAAUCAAGUAUGAUUGUGAACACAAUUGUAAUCAUCAAGCUGCACUUGGUGAAUUCGCAUAACUUAUCACCUCUAGGACUAUGAAUUCCUAUAAAUACAUAUGUAUCUGUAAUUUGGAUUAUAACUAUUCAGUAUAUAUAUUUUAUCUUUUCUGAGUAACUUUCAAUUUAUAGAGCUCGUUGAGGGGGUUAAAUGAUGGAGUUAAGUCUUUUGGUGUCAAGUUAUUUGAGAUUCUUGAAAUUCAUGAAACUUGUAUUACGCCAAUUAGAAAAAAUGAAGCUGUUUUGAUUGGGUCACACAUGAAACUUCUGAUGUGCCAAUUAAUUAUUGAUCGGCAUGGUCAAUUGUCUUGGGUAAAGGUACACUAUAUGAUAUGAAUCAUUUUAAAAAGUGAUUUUAUUAUUAUUAUCACCAUGAAAUUGUCAAUUAACAUCACCAUGAAAUCAAGAGAACAUCCCACUAGCUAUAUUCAUGUUGCUAGUAGAUGUACAUUGGAUUAUUAUUUCCUUGUGGUUGAAGAUUCAUCUGAACCAAAUGGAGAUUGACUUUUGAAAUGUAAUAAAUAAAUAAAUAACAAAAAAGCAGGAGCACAAACAGAAAAUUUUAUAUUUUUUUUUCUGACAAAAUAAAGAGAUAGAUGGGGGUAGUGGAAGAUUGACUUUUGAUGAGUCUUUGUCCGCCAUUAGAGAAUAAAUGCAACGAAAUAAUGUUUUUCACUUCAAUUACUAUUGGUAUUAUUAAUAAUUAGGACUUAUUUAUCAACAUCGAUCUUUCACUCAAAUUCAACAGCCAAAGUCGCCCGCGGGUUGUGCUCGGCUGAUCAAAAGCAAGUAUUAUAGUUAGGGUUUAGUCUUAGAUAUAAGUUUAAGCACCUAGAAUGUAAUAAUAGAUAACGCCUUGCACACCCACGUUCUCUGUAACUUUCUCAUUCACUUUUUCAAAAGUAAUCCAGUUUGACGAUAGAACUCAAAUUUACAAUGAAUUAUUAUUAAAUCGAUUAAAAUAACAACAACAAUUCAGAUUAGCAAAGAAGUGUUAUAGAAUAAAUAAUGCUCGUGAAGAAUUCAAUUUCAAAUAAAAGAAUUUCACAUAUUGUAUUUUAUCUUAUCUCUUUUUGUUUUUGUUUUAAUUUAAAAUAACCCUUCUAACCGUUUGUCAAUCGGUUAUAUAAUUUUAAAAAUAAAUAAAUAAAUUUAUUAAUAAAAAUAAUGUGAUUAAAUCUAAUAGUUUAUAUUUCUGACAUUAUUGAUACUGUAAAAAAAUUACAGCACAGAACUAUUGUUUUCUGCUUAAAAAUUUAGCAAAAAAAUUAGCGAACCCACAAUAGAGAGAUUUAUGUAUCUUACAUAUUUCUUUAGUUAUCAUAUAUCAAAUUCAUGAUUAUGUUUUUUUCUUGAAAAUUAUCGUUCAAAAUUAUUAUGUUCCAUAGCAGAUGUCCCGGAUAGACUUAUAAAGUAAUUCAAUUUGAAUGCUACAAAAAGAUCACAAGCCAAAUAUUUAUAUGUAAUCAAGAUUAUCUUAAGUGUGAUUAUGUAUAUAAUUACUCCUUUUGAGAAUCUAUAAUUGGUCCAAUUGGUCUUGCAUGCACUUAAUUUAGAGGGAAUUAAUAUUUUAUAUGCAAUCAUAAUCUAGAUAAACUCACUAUGGGUUCAAUUGAAUAAUGAUCUGCCAAUCCACAUCUACUUUGUGACUGGAUCAACCGACCCAAUCGAUCAAGCCACGCUAGGACCAAUAUUUGACUCUAGGUUAAUGGAUCAACUAUGAACUGAGAUUAUCAAUCAAGACACCGAAUUCCUACUAGCCCAAACAAAUAAGAGUAAUAAUAUAAUUACAAAUUCUUGUACAUAUUUUCUUUGUACAAACUGAUGCGGUAUGAUUAAAUUAGUUGAAUUAAAUAUUUCUUAAUCCAUAUAAUUUUUUCUUAUUAUUUUGUAUUUUUAAUUCAACCAAAUGAUUUAAUACCAAAUCACUUUGUACAACGUAAGUUUAUAUAAGAGUUUGUGAUUGUAUUGUCACUCAACCAUAAUGCCUCCUAUGUCGAUACGAUAGUAAGCACCUUUCUGGUAUGUUUUAUCUAAUGAGUUAUAAGUGUUUAUUCAAUCUCAUAAGCUCCCUCAAAUUUUUUUUAAUGUUGUUCAUUGUUUUCUAAGUAGAGUUUUUGAAGAUUAAAUAAGUUAUUUUAUUUUUACUAGUAAAAGCUCAAAUUUUGGUCUUUUAGGAGUAGAAGUUGAAAAGUUUUUAAAAAAUAUUAAAAUGUCUAAAAUAUCCUUUACUUAUUUCAUAAUCUUAUUUGAUUCCUUUCAUAACAAGACGUUAAAUAAUUUACAUAUUAAAUUAAUUUUACAAUUAUUAAUAAAAACUCUCAUUGACAACUAAACAACUAAUUUUUUUUUUUGUGGUAAAAUAUUCACUUAUAAAAGUUCUACUAAUAAAAGCUCUACUUAAAAAAACUAUAUUUUAAAAGUUAUACUAAACAGAGCCUCAAACUCCGUUUAAGGCAUAUAGCAAAAUCCACAGUGACAAUUCAAGACAUAGUGGCAUUAAGAUAUGUUAUGUGAAAUAAUUGGUUAUUUAUGGAGUAAUCACAAUUCUUUGUGUGAUGAUAUAAAAAAAUUUAGCAAACUCCUUUAGUAACUAAAUGCAUUGCAAGGGUUGGGACUUCCAGCGCCAGUGCCAUCUUAAUUAUCACCAAUGAUCGAGCCUAACCCAAUACUUUAAACAUUAAGAUCUUAGAUUCAAUGAGUAGAAGACAGACAUAUAAUUUUUCAAGAUACAUUCUAUGGUAUACAUGUGCUUCAUAGAAAAUAUAAAAAAUAGUUACGUUAUAAAAUAUAUCAUCAAAUUUAUAAGAGUUUAGAUCAUUAGAAGAUUUAUUUUCUUAUUCAAUUAAUCAUAUAGAUUCAUUUGAUUUUGAAAAAAGUUACAUGGACACUUUAAAAAAAUGCUUACAUACUUACAUAGACGACACUAUUCAAUGAACCAAAAGGGAUUGUAUAACAAAAUAGACACGCAAGGAACAUCUUAUAUUGUAUAACCAAAUUUUUAUUACAUAUGAUUGAUAUACAUAGAAAAAAUUAGUUUCACAACUUUAAUUGCCUUAAACUGCUUACAUAGACGACACUAUUCAAUGAACCAAAAGCGAUUGUAUAACAAAAUAGACACGCAAGGAACAUCUUAUACUGUAUAACCUAAUUUUUAUUACAUAUGAUUGAUAUACAUAGAAAAAAUUAGUUUCACAACUUUAAUUGCCUUAAACUGGAUCUAUACAUUUCUUCUGAAUUAGUCCCACAAAAAAUCAACCCGUCGAGGUUAUCUUAUCUAAACCUCUUUAAUUUUUCAUUUUCUGGUCAAAUGCCAUCAUAAAUAUUAGAGCUCUCACCAAUUUAGUGUCCCUUAAAUUACUAGGAAAUUUAGAUCUUCAACUCUCAAGAAGCCAAGUCUCGGAAAUCUAGUUGAAAAUUGCUAACCAUCCUAAACGCACUUGAUCUUGGUGGUGACUGUGACAACUGAUUCUUUAAUACAUCAUAACUUAACAAAUCUAUCUUCUAUGACAUUUUUAUCUCUCUCAAACAGCGAGCCAAGUUGCAGAUCAUCAAUUGCAGCUAUGGCCAAGCCAGUUGCUAGUACUUUUAACAAGAGCUUUGAGAUGAGGCACAUGUGGUGUUGUUAGAACAAAGCCAAGGCAUCUUUUUGUUGUUGAUCCUACCAGGCAAUGAGGCAAUUCUUUCACCGAAAACACAGAUGAUUCCUAACUUCCAGGUGAAUAUUUUCUAUGCACGACUACUCACAGUACAAAAUCUGUAGAAAUGACAAUGGGACCGGCUGGGGUGGGAAGGCCUAUCCCAUUACCUACUUUAUUAAAAUUUUAUCAUUAUUUCUCAUUCUAUUCCAUAAUAAAUUUAAUAAGGGUGGGGAUGGAGAAUCCCCCACAUGCAGAAUGAUUUCUCC